UGCAAAAUGCUUGCAAAGAGGGUUAGGAGGGUAUGAAUGCACCAAUCAUCAUCAUUAAAUUCAGCAUUGUAAUUAGGAAUGUAACCCAUUAUUCUUAAAUUGUUCCCACACGAUUUAUGCACCAACUAACGAUGAAUGCAUUCGGCGCAGAUUCAUAUAGAGUACUCUCUAGGAUCUACUAGACAGUAAUUGCGCGAGUGUCAGCACUACAAUGCUCCUGGGCAAAGUAGAUGCGAUUCCCGGGGAGGUCAAAUGUGAAGCGCGUGUCCACCUGCUGCGCCGCGCCGAGCACCGUCAUCUCCUCGUCCGGCACGACGGCGAAGCACAGGUGCUGGUUCACCCUCACGAACAGCAGUUCCGGCUUGAUGAAAAGCCUGGUCGCUUCUUCGUGCAGGUCGAAGGUCAAGCUCGGAAAGCGCACGUGGUCUCACGAGACAAAGCAGAGGUGGUACCCCUGCACCGGCACCGUCGAGCGGCGCGCCCCCUGCUUGUGCAUGUCCGCCGCGACCUCGGCCUCUACGACGUCAUACGCCGCGCGGACCAGCCUGGUCAGGGGAGUCCCGGGGUCGACGACGGACCCCCCACGACGGGUUUGUAGAUCCCGCCUAAACAUCGCCGUCUUUACGCCGUUAAGUUUUUUCCUGUUGAAGCUGAUGCCGACGAUGCGGAUAUAGUACGUGCUACUUUGGCCGUAGCCCGGUCCCGUGAACAGCAGCGACGUGCUCUGCAUGUGCUCGUGCCUUGGGAUGUCGCGGCCGAAGCGGAGGAACCCGUGCCUGGCGCCGGGGUGGCUCUGUCCGGGGAAGAGGCAAUAUGAGAACCGCGAGUCGGCCAGCCCGCGUGCGGUGAGCUGGCGCAGGAACGACGUCGGGUGCCUGCUCAAGCUCAGGGCCCCGGCGAGAACGCCGUGAUUCAGGCCCACGAAUCCGUCCGUCGUGUGUGCGCAGCCGAAGAUGAGGUUGUCGACGUCCCUGUUGUGUCCUCCUCCUCCUGCGCCGGGGCUGCCGGCGAAGGCAAACGUGUCGCUGCCGAGGUAGCCGUGCGCGGCGACGUUCCAGGAGGUGGUGUAGAAGCUGCACCGGUUCCGGCCGGAGGGGGUGUAGGGGGGCGUACACUUGGGGUCUGCGGGCUUCAUGUGCUUGUAGCGAGGGGACUCAGCAGAGUCGAAGACGGCGCCCUCCUGCCGAACCUCAGGCACGCAGGGCUGGCACUGCAUCCAAGUCAGAUUGCCGACGAGGUCCAGCCCGAGCUUGUAGAAGUGCCUGGUUUGGCCGGAGCCGACGCCGACGAGGACGCCGUACAAGGGCCACCCCACGGGGGCUAUGUGCGGACUUAUGCUGGUGAGGUUCGCGUCAAAUUGCCCGAGCCCGCCGGCUGUGUCGUGGUUGGACACGAUAGGCAGACUGAAUCCACCGCUCGGUGUCGGUGGUGCCGCAUUGCCGGCGACGCCGUGGCUGGCCGAAUUCAGCAGAGCAAGGAGGAAGCAGAGCUUACAAGCAUAUAAAACAGACAUGCUUGAUUCCUCCGAUCUCUAUACUAGGGCUAUGUUCGAUGAAGCCAGAAAGACGGUUGAGCGUACGUCCUUCAUUUGGAGGUCGUCUGUUAAAUAGACUCAGAAGAAUCCAUCUCUGGAGUAUCUAUCUCUAGAUGGAUAUGCAUGCAUUGGUGACUCCGAUUACUUAGUGCAGCCAAGAUACAGGGCGGCUAAUUAAUCAAUCGACUCUGAAGUAUCUCUAGAUGGAUAUGCAUGCAUUGGUGAGGAGAAUACUCGACAUGUCGAUGGUUGAAAUGAUACGAAAGCUCCCUAAUUCCUCCAACAACCUUAUUAAUGAGUUUUUGUCAAUAGUACUCCCUCCUUUCGGGUUUACGGAAACGAACGACCAAAACGGUGCGACCAAGGGAACCUUCCGUAAAAAAUAUUAAAUGUCGAUAAUUGUGAGAGCUCCUAAUCGGCACUUCAGGCGCCAAAAAAUCGCUACGGCGCUCACAGCCCACAAGCUAUGGGCGAAUGUUUUAAAAAUGCUCACGAAUUCGAAAAAAUAUUCAUGAAGUUCAGAUAUGUUUAUGAAUUUGAAAAAAGUUCAUGGAUUUGGAAAAAGCUUAUGAAUUAUAAAAAUGUUCGCCCAUUUACAAAAAGUCUAGAAUUUAAAAAAUUCAAGGAUAUGAAAAGGUUCACAAAUUUUAAAAAAUUCACAAGGUAAGAGGACACCGGCGGAUGCCGCGCUGUGUUCGUUGGGGAUGGGGCAUGCCCGUCCCUCUCCCACUGAGAGGUUCCCUUCUGCGGCCCGGAAUGUGGUGUACUUUUACCCCUGUUUGAUGGGCAUGCAAAAGUAUCAAUCCUUCAUUUUAGUUUAUCCAGAGGUUGCGGCGAGUGAAGCGUUGAACAACAUCCGAAGCUUGUGCCCUUUGCUCGCCCCUGUACCUCCAAGAGUAUCUCAUCUGCCGCACGGGCAUCGAGAGUGGCAUCAGGACUAAUUCAUCUUAAAAUUUGUCGUUGUUAUGAGCUAGAGUGAGUAGCUAAUUUAUAUAAAUUCUACUCCCUCAGUUUCUGAAUAUAAGUCUUUUUAGAGAUUUGAAUAUGGAGUACAUACGUAUUUUAAAGUGUAGAUUCACUCAUUUUGCUUUAUAUGUAAUUCAUAUUAGAAUCUCUAAAAAAAACUUAUAUUUAGGAAUGGAGGGAGUAUUUGAUGUAUUUUGUUGCUUUUCUUCCAAGAAGUCAAAUUCGUGCAAACAAACAAGUAUAGUGCCUACAAUUUCUAGGUAUAUUUUGCUCUGAGCUCACAUAAGUUGGUGCUGUACCAACAACAUCGUCGCUUGUCAGCUAACUGUUGGUGCAUAUUCCGUUCACUUCUAGUGUUUCCUACAAUAAUGCAAACAUCAUCCAGAUCUUUUCUAGUUUCAGCAGAGUAAAAAAAAUGCAUUUCGAACAUGGGUGAACAUGGACCAGACGGGUGAAUGCAUUCUUGGAUGCCGCUAAUCUUUUGACAAUCUAUUGUGCUUGCUACAAAAGCAAAAUCACAAAAAGCUACUUCACUCAUGGAAAAAAGAAGUCAAAGACAAAAUUCAGUCUAAUUUCCCCAUGUUGCUUCAGGGGCAUCGAGAACAAACAAAAUGACAUUGGUCGCAGGAGAUCGCAUACUAAUCCAUCCAAAAGAAUCAAUACAAUAUGGAUUCUGUGGGUAGUAGAGCCUAGAUUACGUUCGAAUACCAGGGAAAUCACCUUGUUAACAAUGACAUAUCAUUAGCCAAUUCUUUGCAGAAUGGCAUGAACGUGUGGGGCGCCCCCCUACAGAAUUCCGUCCAUCGGUCAUAUUUUCGUAGUGCUUAGGCGAAGCCCUGCGGAGAUAGCAUCACCAUCAUAGUCACCACGCCGUCAUGUUGCCGGAACUCAUCCACUACUUCGCCGUCUUGCUGGAUCAAGAAGGCGAGGACGUCACCGAGCUGAACGUGUGCUGAACACGGAGGUGCCGUACGUUCGGUACUCGAUCGGUUGGAUCACGAAGAAGUUCGACUACAUCAAUUGCGUUAACAAACGCUUCCGCUUACGGUCUACGAGGGUACGUAGACACACUCUUCCCUCUCGUUGCUAUGCAUCUCCAUGGAUAGAUCUUGCGUGUGCGUAGAAAAAAAAUUAUUUUCCAUGCAACGUUUUCCAGCACCAUGGUCCUUCUUGCAUUACCCUCUCCCAAUCACAAGGCAGCAAAACUGAAGAGUGUAGAGGUUCGGUUCCCAAGGCUUGAAGUUGACUUCCUGUGCAAGAUCCCAGGCGGAUCGCAUGUUCCUGAAGAACCAUCCCUGACUGUAAGGUUUGUCAAUGUGAACCCUUGCCACCGCCAUCCACCUUGCUGCAUCUUGAGGGAUAGCUUCCUCAUCAACCACGACAUCAUCCAUGCCAUCCUCACAGAGCCCUAGCUCCGCCAUCAUCCUCUCUACCUCCAACUUUCGCCGCCAUCUGUCAAAACCUUGCCCGAAGAUGAAAAAACCGUCGGGCGAUGAAAAACAGCGGAGCCCUACACCGAGCCGCCUGCCAAGGGAGGAACGACCUAGGCCGCGAAGCCCUAGGCGCUCCUCGGAGUCAGAUCGGCGGGAGGGAAAAAACUGAUCUCAACGGCGGCUGUGGACGCCUCCGAGAGGAAGAAACCCUACCGAGAGGGAAAGAUUCUAGCAAAUACAAAAGUUGGACAUAAAAAAGGCAAUUGUUGUUUGGGCUGCGUGGCCCAGUAUUUUCUGCCAACCUAUUCUCUCACCAUCGUUUCUUCUUAAUUAAUUUACUGUCUACUACUUCCAUACGAAUGCAACAUCUACUUUUGCUUGUGCGGGUGACUCCGGAGGCGACUCAAAACCUAGGACAAAAAGCUCUAUCUCUUAUCGCUCCGGCAGUCGGCCAUGGCGGCCCCACCCUUCCAUCAAAGAUGAAGGGAGCAGGGGUGCACCUUGUGACCCUCAUUGCAAACAAGCACACGAAGUAUGGAGGUGUUGGAGUGGCGGCGAUAGCGCAUGGCAUUGCAUUAAGGUGGAAUAGGCGCGACCGUAUGUAGCUUCCUGCACCUUGGGGAGCAACUUCAUACGUUAUUGGGCUGCCAGUUGUUGCAAGCCUAAGCUUGUUCCUCCCAUGUAUGUAUGGAUGUAUAUACUGCCAAAAUCCCUUUUGGCGGCCGCGCUCGAAUGAGGUUGCUUUUUGAAAAUUCAAAAUUCAUCAAAUUUCAUAGUUUUACAUUCAAAAUUUUUUGAAUAAAAUUUAGAUAUACAUAAAGGGAUAAUACACAUGUGUGUAAAUUUUCAGAACGAAAUAUGUUGAAGUGAGGACUGUGAAAAAAAGAUAAAUCUAGGGCUAUUUAACACAUAAUACUAUUCAUUCUGCCAGACCCAGAAUUUAUCUUUUUUAUACAGAUCACAUUUCAAUAUAUUUCAUCCUGAAAUUUUACACAUACCAUCCUUGUUUAUUUGUAAAAAAAAUUGAAUCUGAAAAGUUUAUUUUUUUUAAAAAAAAGAGGCCUUCAUAGAGGCCGAGAGCCAAAAUGCCUCAGUUCGUAUGCACAAAGAUCAGUUGCGACAGUUCAUCCUUCCUCGAAUUAGGAAGAACAAGCUUUGGCUUGCAACAACUGGCAACCCAAUAAGGUAGGAGCCAACUACCGUGUCAACCGUCACAUCAUUGCCCAUCCAGUACCAAGCAUUUUAGAUUAUAUCUUGAUUUUUGCUUCUUGCAUACAGAUAUCAUUAAGGCUCAGUAAACUUUUCAGCCUCCCACGGUCGCGCCUAUAAAAGCACACACAUCAAACCGAGGAGAUCUCCAAACCGAGAGGCGGUCACAAUCACUUGGCAAACAUGGAUAUCAAGGCGGCAACAACGCUUGCCCUGACGCUCGUCCUCAACGAGCAAGUUGUCCAAGGUAGAGUCCUCCACCGAAGACCAGCCCACUGGCCCCAACCGCUCUCCACCGNNNNNNNNNNNNNNNNNNNNNNNNNNNNNNNNNNNNNNNNNNNNNNNNNNNNNNNNNNNNNNNNNNNNNNNNNNNNNNNNNNNNNNNNNNNNNNNNNNNNNNNNNNNNNNNNNNNNNNNNNNNNNNNNNNNNNNNNNNNNNNNNNNNNNNNNNNNNNNNNNNNNNNNNNNNNNNNNNNNNNNNNNNNNNNNNNNNNNNNNNNNNNNNNNNNNNNNNNNNNNNNNNNNNNNNNNNNNNNNNNNNNNNNNNNCCCCCGCCAUAGGUUAGGGGCCUAAAUUCAGUGGCAUCCUGCGCUAGCUUCACCACUGGGAGCAUUCUCGAUCUGGUGGGUCCUCGGAUUUGAAGCCCUACUACAGCGCAGAAGAACCAGUGGCUACUAGCUUCAAACGGGUGUGCAAUGUCGUUUCCUCGGUGUUGAGUAUCGUGAUUAGAUUGAAAACAUAGAAUAGACUAGGAAGUACUUCAUCUUGUCUUUACUUUAAGAAGAUCAUGUAUUCCUAUAUAUGUGCCCAUGAGGCUCAAGUAAUAAACACUGAUUCCACCAAUCUCUCUCUAUUCCUUCUACAUGAUAUCCGCCCAACCGAUCCAAACCCUAGCCACCGCCCGCCACUUCUGCCGCACGCCACCCCGUGGCGGUCGGUGUCCAUGAUCACCAUUGGGGACCGCAUCGCCUGUACGUAGGGUUUAUCCGCCGAUCCAGUUGAUCGGCUGGCUAGAGAGUUUUUUUUCCGAUCUUUUGAUUUGAAUUUUUCUCUCUCUUACCGGUCACAUUGAUCGUCAAUUUUUUGGUUUCCCGAUCUAAAGAUCGAUUUGGGUCGCUGGCCGCCAUUCAUCAUCUUCAACGCGUGCUUUCUACUCCAACAACAGCCUGGCCGACACCUGCCGUCGCGCUCCUACGUUGGCCCGCACCAUGUCGCCCAUGGCUCAAUCUCACGUCCUGCGCGCGUGUUGGUUGCAGCGCGUCGCGUGCGCAACUGCAGCGCUAGCCCGGCUUGACCCAUGGCCGCUCAUGCAUCUGCAUGGCACCACGUGCUAGCCUGAUUGCAUGUAAGUGCUCAUGGCACCUGUGCUAGUCUGGUUGCACCUAGGUAUUGCGAAUGUACCAGAUGGCCUAGCUAUGUGUCACGUCCGGCUGCAUCACACUGGGUGGCUGAGCGGACACUUCGAUUUCACGCGUAAUUGGAUUGAUCAUGCGAGCGUCCACGAUUCCGUACCGCGAACGUUGUUGAGUAUGUGCCACUUCACUGAUUAAGCAACGGGUUGCAGCUACCUCUUCGUUUUGGAUCGCAGCCGUCGCCGUCCCAAGGAUCUCUCCACGUCUACACCGACCCACGUGUUGUCGCUGCAUUGUCCCUUCAGGUCCUAAUGCCACGGUCCGCGGUUCACCGCUGCCCCAAGGCCGUCAGCUCUAGGCCUUCCACGUCUACACCGACCCGCGUGUUGUCGCUGCAUUGUCCCUUCAGGUCCUAAUGCCAUGGUCCGCGGUCCACCGCUGCCCCAAGGCCGUCAGCUCUAGGCCUUCCACGUGGCCAGUGACGAAGGACGGAACUUUUUCAAAAUGGGGCGAACUCUUAAGCCAAAAAAAAAAUUGAUGCAAAACCAACACUACAACCCUUCAGAAUUUGUGGAGUUUUGCGGUUGCAAUCAGAUAUUUAUUACUUUUUUCGUUGCAAGUUUUUUUAGAGAUUCCAACAAGUGACUACAUACGGAGCAAAGCGAGUAAAUCAACACUCUAAAAUAAGUCUAUAUACAUUCAUAUAUUGUAGUCCAUUUAAAAUGUUUAAAAAAAUUUAUAUUUAGAAACGAAGGGAGUAAUACGAAAAUCUCAGACCAAAUGAAAUCAGCUGCAGGAUUUUUAUUCAAGUUUGACGUACUUAUUUAGCUAUAUAUCCUGAUGAAUAUGGGAAGUUUUCAGAAGGCAACUCCUGCGCCGUCGGCGGCCGUGGGCUUGUACCCGGAGUUGUGAGCCGCCUUGUCCGACGGCGGCAUGUCGCCGAACACCAUCCCCCCGAAGCCUCCGCCGAGCAGCCCCGCGCCGAGCCCCAGCGCGAAGCUGCCGUUCCUUACGCAAUAAUUCUUCUGCGCUGGCGACGCGGCGGCCGUGCCACAGCCGGCAGCUGGCUUGGGCGCCGGCGGCAUGCGAGCACACGCCUGAGGGUAGCGCGGCACCGCCGCCUCCGGCGCGUAGACGUACGUCGGAGGACAGUACUGCCACGGCGGCAGCUCGUACCCCACCACCGCGGCCUCGUCCCAGCACAACCCUUCGUCCUGGGCCAGCGGCACCAUCACGGGGCCGAAGUGGUACGCUACGGUGAGCAUGCCCCGAUGCUCGGUGCAGUGCACCUUCCGGACCGGGUACGACUCACGCCGCGGCGGGCCGCCCACGCAGGCGCAGGCCAGCAGGUCGGCGACAGGGAUGAACACCUCGCCGACGUCGCGGUCCUCGAGGCCGAAGAGGCGCUCGGUGCGGAGGAGCACGUGGAGGUAGGCUCCCGCGGCGGCGGCCUUGGCGGGCGUGGGCGGGACGGUGAACGUGAACGUAUCGUCCCACGUCGGGUGCCUGGCGCCGUCGCGGUCGGUCUGGCUGCACCGCCGCGUGCGAGGGUCGCCGAACACGGACGUGAUGGCGUACACCUCCAUGCGGCUGAACACGUUGACGUCCUUCAGGUUGCUCGCCGAGACGAGCGUCAGCUCCAGGACCCUGUGCGCCAUUGCUAACCGCCCCAGCGCUGUUGGAGAAUGGGAAACUACGUGGCGAGCUGCGAGCUUUGCCGUACGGGCUUAUGGCGGCCAUGGCGCCCAGGGGUAUGUAUAGGGGUCGUGCUGGGCCCGCUGCCAGCGACGUACGGGUCGAUCGGCUGCUCCAAGUUUGGCGCGCGGGCAACAUGCAUGCAUGGAUGUGCACGCGUCCGAUGCCAAUGGAAAUUUCUUCAACAGAAUGUGCGCAACAGCUAGCCUGUUACUGAUGACAUUUGAUAUACAAAUUUCUAAAUUUUAAACCCUAAGAUCUCAACAUCUUCUAGAACACCUGUGGUUGUGAAUCAGUGAGUUGUAUAGGACUGUUAGGUUGCUUCUGAUGAAAGAUUGUUGUGCUACUUCUUUCCCACUGAUGCGACAUAUAAUUUUCCAAACUACUGGAAGAGUGGAAGGUGCAUGAUCUUUCCCACUAGAUGGAAUAGAAUUCACAAUCAUAACCGUGGACCAGCUGCAUGCCCAAUUGCCCAUGAAGAACUUACAAAUAAAUAUUCUUAUUUACUCCCUCUGUAAAGAAAUAUAAGAACGUUUAGAUCACUAAAGUAGUAAUAUAAACGCUGUUAUAUUUCUUUACGGAGGGAGUAGGUAAUAACUAGUAGGUAACAAAGUUACUUGAUUAACCUUGUGAAUUUAAACGUUGGAUAAAAACAUUCAAUUGAAGGACAGAAAACAUGAGCACCUAAGAAAAGAAAUCAUUUCUCAAACUGAACUUACAAAUGAUAAUGAAACAAAAAAAACGCAUACUCCUCAUGUAAAAAAAAGGUAAUAUUUUUUUUAGAAUUGUUAACAAUACAUUCAAAUCGAAUGUUGAAUAAUCAAACUCAAAGACACCAAUCGAGCUUUUUUUUAGAAUCUCGCAAAGCUUUAUUACUCCGUACGUCAUGAUGUUUACAGGGACGAAUACAAGAUCACCGGAAUAUCCUAACCAGACAUGACGCCCAUACCCUAACGAUAAGCAAACUUUGCGAGAUUAUGAGCCUCCAUAUUGGAGGUUCUAUACUCAUAACUAACAACACAUGAAGAAAAAUUACUAGAUCUAGCUACUAUUUCUUGAACUAUAGCACCAAAACUUGCUGAGAUUCCCUCCUUAUAUUUGCAUCAAUGGCCACCUUGCAAAAGGAUGCAACAAAAAAAAUCGGUUUAUGUAUAUAUCUUCUGAUAGGGCAUGUGCCCCCCUGAUAGCUGGUGUUUCAAGUACUUGAGGAUCCUUGAUGUUCCUGAUUACAACUGCUGAUGCUCCCAAGAAAGCACAUGUUCAUCCCUACAGAUUGCACCAACAUCACCGAACAAGCCAUCACGAGACACGCUUCAUCAAUGUUAGCUUUGACAUGAUCUUCGGGCAGAGGCAACCAGUGCCUCGGCCUCGAUGUUGAUGGCGUUAUUACAUGUGUGCUUGUAGUUUUGUUCCGCGUGACCUCGAUGUCCUCCAUGUAAAAGGCGAGCGCUCGUGGCACCCUUAAGCCCAAAACGCUAGCUUGGCUUGGAUCCAAUUCAAUUUUUUUUACUGCAUCCACUUAAAUUCAGCGAGGCCAGAAUAAAAAAUUGAAGAUAGUUCUUGACCAAAGAACUCAGCCAUGACACUUUUUUGGAUCAGAGGGACUAUAAAAAGCAAACCAUAGUACCACGUGCCACAUGUGGUAAGCAAUUCAAACAAUUCAAAAAAAGCAAACCAUAGUAAAUAGUGAAUACUAAAAGGAAAAAAAGAGCAAAUCUAUGCUGCAAAAUGCUUGCAAAGAGAGUUAGGAGGGUAUGAAUGCACCAAUCAUCAUCAUUAAAUUCAGCAUUAUAACACUAGUGCAGAACCGGGCUAUAGCACCGGUUCGUAAGGGCCUUCAGUGCCGGUUCUAUAACCGGCACUAAAGGGUGGGGACUAAAGGUCCCCCCCUUUAGUACCGGUUCCGCACGAACCGCCGCUAAAUGACAACCACGGGGCACGAGCCAGCGCCGGGGGCGGGGAGCCCUUUAGUACCGGUUGGAAACACCAACCGGUACUAAAAUGUUUGGGGGGGGGUUGGUUUCAUGAUUUCUUGUUCCUUUAAUUUUGUGUUUUCCAUUUAAUUCUUUUUCGUUUGCUCGUAUUAUACGAUACUAUAUAUUGUACACGNNNNNNNNNNNNNNNNNNNNNNNNNNNNNNNNNNNNNNNNNNNNNNNNNNNNNNNNNNNNNNNNNNNNNNNNNNNNNNNNNNNNNNNNNNNNNNNNNNNNNNNNNNNNNNNNNNNNNNNNNNNNNNNNNNNNNNNNNNNNNNNNNNNNNNNNNNNNNNNNNNNNNNNNNNNNNNNNNNNNNNNNNNNNNNNNNNNNNNNNNNNNNNNNNNNNNNNNNNNNNNNNNNNNNNNNNNNNNNNNNNNNNNNNNNNNNNNNNNNNNNNNNNNNNNNNNNNNNNNNNNNNNNNNNNNNNNNNNNNNNNNNNNNNNNNNNNNNNNNNNNNNNNNNNNNNNNNNNNNNNNNNNNNNNNNNNNNNNUGUUGCCUUGGUGCCUUCAGAGCACGAUGACAAUUGGGAGUGGUUCAUGGGGGCGGUAGCGGGUAAUGGUAUUCUCCUUUGGGUCUAUGACCUGGUUGAACAAAAAUCCCGCUAUUUCCUCUUGAAUUGCUAAUAUGCGCUCCGUUGGUACGAGCUGCUCCCGCACGUCUAUGAACUGUUAAGAAGGAGAUCAAUAUGCAUGUGUAUUAGUUGUGUGACUAGAUAUUGAUAAUCAUGUAAAAAUUGUGAAUAGUGUUCUUGUAAAUGUACCCAUUGAUGUCUAUUAGAUUUGCUCCUUUCGGACGCUAUCAUGCGAAUGUUCUCGCAAACGUAGUAUGCACACAGGUCAGUCCCCGACGCCUGCUUCAGGGCCUUUACAAGAACGGAAUUUAAUCAGAUAAUAAUUAAUCAAGCAUGAUAAUUAAUUAAUGGUAUUGAAACAAGAGUUAAAGAGAUGGUAGCUAGCUAGUACUACUUAAUUACUUACCUUGGGUCGAAACCAAAAUAGCUUUUCUCACCAUUUGCCUGGAGUCACCUUAAUGAACUCUCCCCAAGCCCUACCCGCCGGAAAAAAAAUGAAUAAAGGGGUUAUUAAAUAGUUGAUAUCAGGAAAUGGCGAACUAAAAAGGCCGAGAUAUAGUUAAUAAUGAUUGAAAUUACCUGCCGACUAUCCCCAGUUUCUUUUUUAAGUAGUGAGUCCAGUUUCAACUGUUCCUUUUCAACUUUAAUGAUUAACAAGAUCCAGUGGUAUCUGCAUGCGCACACGUUUGCAUGUCUUAACUAAGUGGGCAUGUGCAUAACACUAAUCAACUACCCUAAACCUUAUACACUUAAUUAUUAACAUCUAGCUAGCUAGUAAGCAAAAACAAAAUUUGUAGUACAAGAUAGUGUGACUCACUUAAAGUUGUAAGGAAGUAGUAUAUCUUCAUUGGUAUUGAGGCGCUUGAAGAACUCUAGCAUGUUUUUCUCUACAUCUGCUUUAUACCAUUUGUAUUUCCAUGUGUCUUCAUUAACAGAAUUUGGGUCAAUGAACCCAAUGCCAUAGCGUCCAGCUUUUUUUAUUUCAUACAUCUUCAUCCUGCAUAAUACCACAGAAAAGAAUAUAGUGAGGAUAAUUACAGGUAAUGAUCGAUCAAUGAGCACUACAGCUAGCUUGAGACUUAAAUUACAGAAAGAAAUCACUUACAGACAAUAGCAACUGACGAUAGAUUUGUCGAGUGCAUCUUGAUUGAAUAACUGAAAUAGUUCUGAAUACUCAACGGAGACAGCUAGCCCAUGGAAGUAAUGCUCCUCGUUGACAUUCACAAUGAGGGACUCUCGAUUGGAACUCUUGGUAAUUUUCAUGUACCAAUCAUGCAAUUCAUACAUUCUCGUUGGGAGUUUCUUGACCUCCUCAGGCUCGACCAAAGGUUCGCCGCGGACAUAUUUCCGUUUUAUGUCCUCCUCUCUAAGCGGAGACAUGGGCUCAAUCUCGGGAGUUGUCCAACAGUGAUACCGAGCAUUUUAGCCCGGCUUCUAUGCUCGUCGGUUUUUACUAGCUGAUUGCCCGGCUGGGGAACGGUUUGCCCACAUGGGGCGCCGGUACUCUCAUGUGUUGGCACAACAAGCGGGGGGAUUGAUUGUGCUGCCUGUUCUCCCAGAUGGGGAACGGUUUUACCGCAUUUUUUGCCAGCUGCUUGGCUCGAUCUCGAGCUCGACUCCUUCUGUAGUCGUGCUCGAUGUGCCUUCCUGAUUUGGCGCUCAUAGUCUGAGUCAACAGGCUUGGGAGCUGGUGGUCUAGCCAUACGAAUAAAGUGGUCAAUCUUUUCCUUAGGCACUUUCUCCCUUGGCGGCGGUGCCGGUUUCGGUCCAAAAUGGGCGUCCACUUGGGCCUUCACUAUGGCUGCGUUUUUCUCCUCGGCCAUGUCGUAAGGCCUCAGAGGAAGAGGAGUGAGGCUUGGACCAUAUUGAAAUCGCUUGCCUCCGCCUGUACCUCCUGUAUUAUCUCGACUCGUGCCGCUACGCACCAUAGAUGCGGCAGCUCUCUUCCACGAUUGCUGAGGCGGCGGAGACGGUUGGCGUGGCUGAGUUGGAGCAGGAGGACUGGCCUAACGCUAUGCCGGACUUGAAGCAGGAGGAGUGGCCUGAUGCGGUGUUGGACUUGAAGCAGGAGGAGUGCCCCUGACGCUGUGCCGGACUUGAAGCAGGAGGAGUGGCAUGUGCUACCUCUUGAGCACUGCGUUGGUUUUCCCUUGCAGAGGAAAGGGUGAUUCAGCAAAGUAGCGUAAGUAUUUCCCUCAGUUUUUGAGAACCAAGGUAUCAAUCCAGUAGGAGGCCACACGCAAGUCCCUCGUACCUACACAAACAAAUAAGAACCUCGCAACCAACGUGAUAAAGGGGUUGUCAAUCCCUUCACGGUCACUUACGAGAGUGAGAUCUGAUAGAUAUGAUGAGAUAAUAUUUUUGGUAUUUUUAUAAUAAAGAUAAAAAGUAAAGAUUGCAAAAUAAACGGUGCAAGGAAAAACUUGAUAACGGGAGAUUAAUAUGGUGAAGACUCGACCCGGGGGCCAUAGGUUUCACUAGUGGCUUCUCUCUAGAUAGCAUAAGUAUUACGGUGGGUGAACAAAUUACUGUCGAGAAAUUGAUAGAAAAGCGAAUAAUUAUGAGAAUAUCUAGGCAUGAUCAUGUAUAUAGGCAUCAUGUCCGUGACAAGUAGACCAACUCCUACCUGCAUCUACUACUAUUACUCCAAACAUCGACCACUAUCCAGCAUGCAUCUAGAGUAUUAAGUUCAUAAGAACAGAGUAACACAUUAGGUGAGAUGACAUGAUGUAGAGGGAUAAACGCAAGCAAUAUGAUAUAAACCCCAUCUUUUUAUCCUCGAUGGCAACAAUACAAUACAUGUUGUUUCCCUUUCUGUCACUGGGAUCGAGCACCGCAAGAUUGAACCCAAAGCUAAGCACUUCUCCCAUUGCAAGAAAGAUCAAUCUAGUAGGCCAAACCAAACUGAUAAUUCGAAGAGACUUGCAAAGAUAACCAAUCAUACAUAAAAGAAUUCAGAGAAGAUUCAAAUAUUGUUCAUAGAUAAACUUGAUCAUAAACCCACAGUUCAUCGGAUGUCGACAAACACACCGCAAAAAGAGUUACAUUGAAUAGAUCUCCAAGAAGAUCGAGGAGAACUUUGUAUUGAGAUCCAACGGGAGAGAAGAAUCCAUCUAGUUAAUAGCUAUGGACCCGAAGGUCUGAACUAAACUACUCACAAAUCAUCAGAGGGGCCAUGGAGUUGAUGUAGAGGCCCUCCGUGAUCCAUGCCCCCUCCGGCGGAGCUCCAGAAAAGGCCCCAGGAUGGGAUCUCUUGGGUAUAGAAGGUUGCGGCGAUGGAAAUACGGUUUCAUGGUGCUCCUGGAUGUUUUCGGGGUAUAUAUAUAUAUAUAUAUAUAUAUAUAUAUAUAUAUAUAUAUAUAUAUAGGAGGAAUAAGUAGGUCGGUGGAGCCACAAGGGGCCCACGAGGGGGAGGGCGCGCCCAGGGGGGUAGGCGCGCCCCCUGCCUCGUGGCCGCCCUGUUGGUUGCUUAACAUCCACUCCAAGUCCUCCGGAUCACGUUUGUUCCAAAAAUCACGCUCCUGAAGGUUUCAUUUCGUUUGGACUCUGUUUGAUAUUCCUUUUCUGCGAAACACUGAAAUAGGCAAAAAACCGCAAUUUGCACUGAGCCUUGGGUUAAUAGGUUAGUCCCAAAAAUAAUAUAAAAGUGUAAAAUAAAGCACAUUAACAUCCAAAACAGAAUAUAUAUUAGCAUGGAAGAAUAAAAAAUUAUAGAUACAUUGGAGACGUAUCAGCCUGACGCUGUGCCGGACUUGGAGGAGGAGGAGUGGCCUGACGCGUUGGUGGACUUGGAGGAGCGGGAGUCUGCUGACGUGGUGGCGGACUUCGAGGAGGAGUCGGUUGACGCGGUGUCGGUGGCCUUGGAAAGAUGAUGCAAUCCUUUCUCCAUAGGAUGAUACGAUGUUUGGCCUCUCCCAGUGUGUGCUCCUCGUCAACUCCAGGAAUGUCAAGAUCUAGCCCCGAAUAUUGGUCCACCACUUCAUCAACCUGGACACGAGCAUAGCCAGCUGGAAUCGGGUUGCAAUGGAAGGUUGCUUCGGGGGAAUUUGUAUAAGCAAUGGCGUCCGCCACCUUCAUGGAUAUGUUCUUCAUUUUGAAGUGUAGCUCAUAGUUAGUGUUCUACAUGAUGUCAUCCACAGGGUAUUUAUCCAGCAAUGCGUCACCCGGGGCGGAACCCACGCUGCUUCUUGGCAUGGAUGGGACGGUGCUAUCCAAUGCUGGAUCAUCCGCUAGCCGCUGCCGCUGCUGAGACCCCCUUUCCUGGCUAAGUGAGUCGAUCUGUUGCUGCUGCCGCUGGAAUUUGAGUGCCAGGUCUGCGUGCGCUGAUUCUAGGCCUUGAAGGUGUUCUACUUCCUGCUUCCUCUGCUCCUCCUCCAACUUCCUCUUCUUCUCCUCCUCCAUCUUCCUUCUUGCACGGCUUCUGUAGUCGGCGUUCCAGUCCGAAAAUCCCUCAUACCACGGAACAACGCCCUUGCCUCGUGUUCUUCCCGAGUGUUCAGGAUUUCCUAGGGCGCGCGUAAGCUCGUCGUUCUCUCUGUUGGGCAUGAACACCCACUACAAAAAAAAAAGACACAUCUGUGACAUUUUCGGCCGAACGAAUUUUUUUUCUGUCAUACAUAUGACACUUCUAUGACGAUAAUUGUGACAAAACCCGGUAUCAUCAUAGAUGUGGUGGGCUCCUACUUCUAUGACAAUAAAUCAUGACAGAAAAUGGGCUUUUCGUCCUGGGCGGGCCGGAGACGCAGCUGCAUGACAUUCUUUGGGCCGUCCAUGACGAAAAAAACCAUGGUAGAAGCGAGGGGGAGGAAAAUUCCGGGGAGUUCCCGGUUAUGGUGGGAGGUCGGGGGCCGAGCGAUGCUCAUUUCUCUCGUACACGUACGCGCGUGUGUGCGAGGCGUUGGCUCUAACUGAACCCGAGCGAGGCGUUGUGCUCUAACUGAACCCGAGCGAUUGCACUGCAGGCUACGCGUUACUGAACCCGAGCGAUUGAUCGAUGGCUGUUAACUGAAUCCGAUCGAGCGNNNNNNNNNNNNNNNNNNNNNNNNNNNNNNNNNNNNNNNNNNNNNNNNNNNNNNNNNNNNNNNNNNNNNNNNNNNNNNNNNNNNNNNNNNNNNNNNNNNNNNNNNNNNNNNNNNNNNNNNNNNNNNNNNNNNNNNNNNNNNNNNNNNNNNNNNNNNNNNNNNNNNNNNNNNNNNNNNNNNNNNNNNNNNNNNNNNNNNNNNNNNNNNNNNNNNNNNNNNNNNNNNNNNNNNNNNNNNNNNNNNNNNNNNNNNNNNNNNNNNNNNNNNNNNNNNNNNNNNNNNNNNNNNNNNNNNNNNNNNNNNNNNNNNNNNNNNNNNNNNNNNNNNNNNNNNNNNNNNNNNNNNNNNNNNNNNNNNNNNNNNNNNNNNNNNNNNNNNNNNNNNNNNNNNAUAGCCGGUGGAGUAGCGCGCGGUGGAGGUUGGAUGAACAGGAGCCCGUGAAGGCUGGAGAAGGUCGACGGUGGAGAUGAACAGUAUCCCGUGGAGUCCCGUUUUGCGGUACGCCACACCCCUCCCGAUGAACAGGACCCCCGUUUCGAUCGUAGGAGGUCUGUUUCGUCCGUUUUGCGGUAUGCCACACCCCUCCCGAUCAACAGGACCCCCGUUUCGAGCGUAGGAGGUCCGUUUCCUCCGUUUUGCGAUACGCCACACCCCUCCCGAUCAACAGGAUCCUGUUUCGAACGUGGCUAGUCGAACACAAGGCCGUUUCCUCCGUUUUGCGGUACGCCAGGCCUCGUUUUCAUCGCCUGCUCCGUCCAAGCCCUCCCGAUGAACACGACCAUGCAUUCCGUUCUGACCCAGCCGGUUGGCUCCCACGCGUUCCGUUGCCUCCCGAUGAACACGACGCAUUCCGUUGCCUCCCCAUGAACACGAUGCAUUCCGUUGUGUCCCCAUGAACACGAUGCAUUCCAUUGUAUCCCCAUGAACACGACGCAUUCCGUUGCCUCCCCAUGAACACGACGAUGACGUUGUUUCUCCGUUCCGACCCAGCCAUGUACACGAGCCCUGGCCGUACGUAUGCGUGAGUAGGCGUUCGAGACCCCGCCCGUAUGUACACAUACGUGGCCAUAUUUUCUUUCUUGCACCCUGGCCGUUGUACGUACGUGUACAUGCUACGUGCGCGCCUCUACUACGACACGUACGCGCCACUACUACGACACGUGCACGCCUUUACAUCCACCAGUAUAUAUGUACGUACACAUUCAUGACCAGAAUGACAACACUACGUACGCUUCGACCAGGUGGGUCCCGACUGUCAGGCACUUCCUUGCGUGCGAAGAUGUAGCUGGUGGGUCCCAGCAGUCAGGGGGGCGAAUUGUUUUUUUGCCCGAACGCACUUCCUUGCGUGCGAAGAUGUAGCUGGUGGGUCCCAGCAGUUAGGGGGAAAUAUUUUUUCGCGAAAUAUGGUGGCCCGUCUGGUGGGCCCCCGCUGUCAGGUGGAGGAAUCAUUAUUUUGCGCAUAAUAAGGAGGCACUUCCUUGUUGCGGCCGUGGACCCAGCUAUCAGCCUCUCCACGUAUAGUCCACGUCCGAUGAAAGUCGUUCCUUGAUCACGUUGACCACGCCGCGCUGACAGCACCACGGCGGUGGACGACGGCGAGGACUAGGAAGGCGACGACUCGGAGCCGAGGAAGACGCAGUAGUGGAUGCCCACGCGAAGAGGAGUACGAGGGUUCACUGGUUCGGCUGCGGUGUGAGGCUGCUGUCGCCGCAGAAUAACAGGGGGUGUGGGUGAGUUGAGGGAUGGCCUGGCCAGCGGUGGGAGUAGUAGGGGGCGGUGAGGCGUCCGCGACAUCACAGCUGACCACGGGAGGCAGGAGCACGCAGCACGACCAGCGCUGGUUUGGGCGGCUGGAGCAAGAAGACCAGAGGUUGAAGAAGCACUACGGCCAUUGGAUGAACAUCAUAUGGUAACAGGAGCUAGAAUCGUUCAUAUUGACUAAGUUGACAAAGCCCUCCGUCCCUGUCAACUUGGUAGGCCCACAAGUCAGCCUCCCACUAUGCUGGGUUCCAGCUGGCAGGGGGAAUAUUCAUUUUCUUGUGUGUAAUAAGGAGGCACUUCCUUGCGUGCGAAGAUAGCUGGUGGGUCCGACAUGUCAGCGGGGGGCACGUUAUUUUUGCGAAAUACAGAGGCCCUUCCAGUGGGUCCCAAAUGUCAGGUGGACGAAUCAUUAUUUUGCGCGUAAUAAGGAGGCAUUUCCUUGUGUGCGGCCGUGGACCCAGCUGUCAGCCUCUCCACGUAUAGUCUACUUCCGAUGGUGUCGUUCGUUCACCACAUUGACCACGCCGCGCUGAGCGCAUCCAAGGUGGUGGACGACGACGAGGCCCCGGACAGCAACGAGCCGGAGAUGGGAAGACGCGGGAGUAGAGUCGCAGACGGAGAGGUGUACGAGGGUUAACUGGUUCUAGUGCGGUGUGGUUCGGCAGUCGGUGGAGAAGAAUAGGAGGUGUGGAGGGGUGGAGGGAUGGCCUGGUCAGCGGUGGAGUAGCGCUUCAUAGCGAAGUGUGCUAAGUAGAGCUGCUAGUAGCGGGAGGCGGCAGGUGGUCCCGGCGGCGCUAGAGGAAGAAGACGAGAGAUUGAAGAUGGAUGCCAGUCGUUGGAUGUAAAUCCAACGGCUAACAUGCUAGAAUCAUUUGUUGACUAAAUUGACAACGACUUGCGUUGGCUUUGACCUAUUGGCCCACAUUUCAGCCUCCAAAAAUGUGGCACGUAUUCAACCUAUUUUUUUCAGAAUUUACAGUCUUUUUUUGCGUGGUAGAAUUUACAGUCAAUUUGAUCUUUUUUUUUGAAUUUCAGCCAUUAGCUGGGCUGGGUGAACAAAUAAUGUAGCGUCCAUGUGGCCCAUUUAUUUUAUUUCCUAAAAAAUUACAGGCCAUUUGCACUUUCUCAAAAUACAUUAUUUUGCUGGGCUGAUUCUAAUUAUAAUAUUGGGUUGGGCCAGCAAUGUUAUCAAAAAAUAAAAAGGGGCUGAGAAUUUUGUUAUAAAUAUAUUUAAAUAAUAAGUGAUAUUAUUACAUUCGUCCUUAAAUCUUACUAAGCUUUUGUACACAAUCACUAGGAUUUUCGUGCCAAAACAAUCCAGGAUUUUAUUUAUUAAGAAAUUAUUUUUAUAAGUUAAUAAGAUGUGGCAUAUUGGUUUCUUACAUAUGUAAGUAUCUGUUAAAUAUAUGAUGACAAUAAAAAUAAUAUAUAAUAACAUAUAAAAUAAAUUUUUUAGAAAAACAGGGAGCAUCUCCCCGGUUCCAUUGCUGAGAACGAAACCACAACAUAUUAUGAUAUAGCAGCUCAAAGAGCAGUUCAAAAGCAAAGGUAGAAAAACUAUAAACUAAGGGGGGUGGAUGAACAAGUUCUCUGAAUAACACAAAUCACCUGAGCGGUGCCAAAGGCAGAGUGGAUAGAGCACUCAAAUGACACAGGGAGGGUCCAGCGAAGCCUUCAUUGUCUUCAGCCGCGGGACCGUGUCAGCCUGCGGCGACCAGUAAGCAAGCGGAGACACCGGGCUAGAAUACGUAGCAUCGUGGAUGUCCCUCUUUUUCGGCGCCAGGUGCUCAUCAUCUUCAUCAGAGAUCUUGAGAUGAGCCCAUGGGUCCAACCCCAAAGCAGGUCGAGCCUUGUUCAGCCACAAGUGAUCGCCAAUGGUUUCUGGAGGGAUCUUGUUAGGGUUUCCACGAAGCUCAUCAACUUGUCCUUGUCCGAUCCGGAGGAGAGAAUCGCCCAGUUCCUCACCAUGUUCCUGAUCAACCUCAAGACCUGCGGAAUGGAAAUCCAGGAGGUGUUACUGAAAAUCAUAGCAUUUCUAUAUUUCCAGAGGCACCAAAGGACAGCUGAGCUAACAGUAUUUAAAACUGAGCACUUUUUGGUAGCAAUCCAGAAUCUGGCGACAGAUUCGAAGGAUGAGCCAAUCUGACUAGAGAAAUAUUCCUCAAUGUGGGCCCAGAGAUGUUUAGCAACUAUACAUUUAAAAAAUAGGUGAGAACAAGACUCUUGUUCUAAGCAGUAAACACAAUCAAGGGGUUUGAUGAUGUGUCUCUUCCUAAAGUUAUCCCUAGUCAUCAAUUUGUUUUUGGAGAGAAGCCAGAGAAAUACAUGAAUUUUAGGGGGAACUCUCAAUUUCUAGACAGCAGGGAUAAACAUGGGUUGAACCCCUCUAAAGUUGAUAACAUGAUAGAGGGAGCUGGAGGAAUACUUCCCCUUAUUGUCCAGCUGCCAAAUCAGGGCAUCCGGCUCGGCAGUAAAGGUAAUGCUUUUGGCAAUUUCCUCCAACUGGAACCAUUGUUCCAUGAGACUAUCACUAAAGUUCCUUCUAAAAGAGAGUUUUCGGCAUUGGCCGUCCCAAACUUCAUUGACACUUUUGUUAAGCUCAUUGCAGACAUAGUAAAUAGGCCAAAAUUGGACUGCUAGGGGGAUGUGCCAAACCAAGUAUCUUUCCAGAACCUGGUUCUGCUCCCAUCUCCUAUGUUCCAUGUGUAGCCAAAUUUCACAGCAUGCAUAAUCUCUUCCUAAUAAUAAAGCACGGAUUGAGUCUCCGGGUUCACCGUCGCAUCCUUUUUACACAAAGGUCCCUGUGGUUUUUAGAAAUUAAACACGCAGUCCAUCCUCCAAGUAAAAAACUACUCGCUAGGGUAUUCCUCCCUCACACGCGAGAGACGCCCCGUCCCAACCACCCGACUCCACGCCUCCCGCCUGAGACUGGACGCCGCCGAUGAGGGCCACGCUGGUGCUCCCCCUCAGCCCGCCUUCCUCCUCUUUACACUCUGUUCCCCUCCUUAUCUCUCCGUUCUCUUGUCAGCAGCGACCACCCAAGGUCGCCCCGAUCCAUGGCCCUCUCCUUCCGCCCAGCUUUGGUCCGUCGCCGGUCAUCCAUGGGGCGAGCGAUGUGCCUCCUCUUGAAGCUCCUAUUUUUGUGUCGCCCCGCCUGCACUGCCCACCAGCGCCUUCCGAGAACUCAUGGUUGCCUUCUGCCAAGCUGCCGGAUUGAUGGAUGACCGCCGCCAUGACCGACCUCAACGUUCUGCACGCCAUGGGUAGCGGCCAUGGAGGCCGCACCUCCGGCCUCUCGCUCGAUGCUAGCCAGGACCUCCGCCAACAUCACAUUCAUCUAUAUCAAGGACCGAUCUACGUCACCCGAGGUUGAUAGCAGUUCGGCCGGGGGCAUCACGACCACAUCCUGAUAUCCGCUGCCUUGGGCACGACCACCACUGCUUGCCUUCCUUGGAGCAAAGAAUUAUGAGCUCUCCCGUACACGGCUGAAGCGCCUACAGGUGUGCGUGUCUGUGUUUUAACUUUUGCUCAUUCUUUUGUUUCUAAACAAGUGAAUUUCCGUUGCUGGAGCAUUUCAUUGAAAAGGAAUUUGGUUCUGAAGCUACUCUUGAAGCCUAUGAUCUGAAAAACACAGGGGAAUUAUUUUUGCUCUAUGUUGUGUUGUGGUUCCUGCCCAAAAGGUGGCAACAGUUCAGACUUCAAACUUUUUUUUGAAGGGCAGACUUCAAACUUAGUAAGCCAUAUGCUUAUAUCUCAGAAAUAAAUUAAAUAGCACAGGAAAGGAGCAGCAACCUUAGCUGAACAUAGAGUUGUGUUACAAGUUCCACAUGCACUAGCUUUUAGUGCAGGUGACGUCGCUAGCUUCUACCGUACCUUGGAUCAUUGAAAGUCUUAGUGCUCUCAACCUGUUCGAUGAAAUAACAACGAUGUUGUGUUUUUCAGGUCAGUCACCAAAAGGGGACAUCGACAGGCACGUACCUCACCAGACGCAUAUCUCUCCACCUGCAGGAUGAUUUCCAUGGCACGGCCCUCCUCAGGUCUGAGCACUACUAAGCAAUAAGCAUACCUUUGCACAAUCCUCUUUAUGUCAGUUUUGUAAACACCUUGGGCAAACUGUAUAUCUAUCGCCGAGGAUCUCAGGACUCCCAUUAGUUGGAACUUAGAAAUGAUGCUCUAAUACUACAGUUGACACACAAAUAAGGAGCUGGCAUAUUAAAAUGGUUACUCUUUGGAACUUUGGUCAGUAUUUAGCAGUGUUCAAUAUUGGAGAGAUUACUAUUUAGCUUUAGAGUAUGAGGGCAUGUGUUGUUCAUUAUCUCUUUUACCCCCUGUCGGCGGUACUGAGUGGCUUAGCACUGAUGCAAGACGAACAUCAGUCGACUUAUACUUUGACCGCAAGUCACUUGAAUGGUGUCAUUAAAACAACCUGAGCAAGAUUGGAGCUGAUGGGUAUUUGAGAUUGUUGCUUUUUGAUGGAACUGCAGCCAAAUGAAUCUCUCGCCUUGUCAAGCAAAAGAUUAAUGAUCUUGUGCAAGAUCUAAAUGUUACCAGUGAUGAUGGCUCUACAGAAACGUAAAACUGUGAGCAGUCAGGUUCUUCAUUUACAAAAUGUUCAGCCAAUUCGACCAUGUCAAAUGCAGUUUUGUGUGGAAGAGAGCUGGUAUAUUUGUAAUUGAUGUGUAUGAUGGCACAUCUUCUGAAUGCAAGCUUCCUCUCGAUAGGAGAUCCUCCAGUUUCAGUGUGAUUUGAGUUAUAGCAUUGCUUAAUAAUUGCUUGAAUUUGACCUUCCAUUUGAUUUUAAAAACUUAAGCCUUCUCUUGUAGGUGUUGAAGUCUGACGGAUUGGAGAAUCAGAUGGUAGUCGCUGGAGAGGCAAGGAACUCCCAUGCUUGCAGCGAUGCACUUGGUGGGCAUUCCUUGCAUUUUCCCAUAAAAUCACACGGGUUCAUGUAUUUAAUUAUAGCAAAGUUACCAUGUCUUUAUCAUGCCAGUAUGCCAAUGUGCCCAGAAAUUAGAUAACAGAGGGACGUUAGCAACUCCCAGCUCUGAAAGCAUACCAAAUAUUUCAGUUUUUAGGCCACUGCUCAAUUUUGAAGAGCUAAUCCUUUGAACUAGAUAUGUGAGCUUUUUGUAAAUUAUAGGAUACAUAGUCUGCUAAGUGGAAAAAGAACUCUUUGAUGUUGGGCAUAUCCUGUAGUAUUUAAAUCAUUAUUUUUUACACAUGUGAUGCGAAUCUUAUUCGUUUAGAAAAAUGGUGUAUCUACAGGAUUGAUACAAACUCAGAAUACAAAUUUUGGGACAACUAUUAACAUUGAAAGAGAAUGAAUGUGAAGACAACAUGUGUGCUGGUGUCCUGGGAUUCAGCAGUUGUAUCAGGAAAACCAAAGUAAAACAGGUACUCAGAUUUUUCUUAUUCUACAUUUUCCAGAUAUAGCAAAGGUUGUACCACAGAAAGUAUCGUGUCUGGCUGACACAAACUCCAAUUGUGGCACCUCUUGUCAAAAGUUCACUGUAUGAACGAGGAUCAUAUAUUUACUUUGAUCUCAACUUUUGGAUGCAGUUAGAAGGUUUCAUCAUAACAAAAAUUGUUAGUUUUUGUAAAUUAACCUCACCAUAUUGAUGAUUGUAGGACAUCAUUGUUCUCCAGUAUGAAACUAUAGGGAAGGGACCUGACGUACAUUUGUGUAACACAGUUCAGUAAAUACAUAUGGAAACUUUAUUUCUUUUUCGAGAUCGAUUUACUUGGUGGUGCUAUUGCCCAUUUCCUCUUAACAAGACAUGUGUGAUGUUCCAAAAAAGGAGCUUAUGUGUUGUCUAACAGCCUUGAUGGUAUUUUUAUACAGGUAGCUGAGGAAAUUGUGCUUGAAGCGCGUCCUAUGAAAAAAUGGGUUGCAUAGACAUAACGCUCAUCUAGACAUGUUUUUCCAGUAGAAGUGAGAAAUAUAUUGCAGGUUUUUAUGCCAAAAGCUUUUAAUAUUUUUCCUCAUAGUGUAAGUAAACUGAUGAUGCAUUCCAUGGCUAAGGGUUUGGUUCCAACAGAAGCAACACAUAUUCAUCUUGCCUACUAUCACAUCAGUGGAUGUCAGUCUCAUUUUUCUGAUCCUACACUUGAGCUAAGAAUUCAUUGCCCUUUUUUUGAACAGGCUGCAGCAACCAGUUUGUCACUACUUCAAUGGAUAUAAUGGAUCAUAUCGUCAUUGCGUAUGCAAAAGCAUGUUUAAAAAUUUAAAUUACCAUGGCACAUUUAAGGGGAGAUAAUUGUUGAACGGAUAGCGUCGAUGCCUUGCAAAGUUUCACAGAGAACAAACUAUAUGUGGAUUUCUUCCAAUUGCAGCAAGCUUCGAGCAAGCAAAACUAUACUCUAUAAAUAAUUUUCUUGAACCAGAGUUCUUUAUUUUCUUUGUAUUUUCAGCUUUCCUUGUAGUGGAUUUCAAUGUACUAAACACUCUCCUUAAUCAAUGGAAGCAACACCUGAUUGCCUUCAUAUAAAAAAACACAAUCUGAACACAUACAAGGCGAUGUAUAGCAGGAACAGAAAAAAUACUGUGCGAAGGUGAGUGCAAGUGCAUGAUUUUCUAGAGUUAUUUUCUUGGCAGAAGUUACUAUAUUCUCAAUAUACAUCAUAAAUAAUUAGGGAAUUCAAAAAAGGUCCGAUUUUUUAAAAAAAUGAUAAUUUUGAAAUAAAAAGUUUAAUAAAUCAUAAAAUGUUUGUUGAGUCAAAAAAUGUUCGUGAUUUUGUAAAACAAUGUAUGCUUAUUCAAAAAAUGUUCCAAAUUUUGAAAGAAAAUGUUCAGGAAAUCAAGCAAUGUUCAUGAUUUUUAUAAAAAGUUUGUGUAUUAAAAAAUUGUAAUGAAAUUGAACAGAAUUUCGCCAAUUCAAAAAAUCUUUAUGAAUGGAAAAAUAUCCUUAAAAUUCAAAAACUGUUCGUGACUUACAAAAUAGUUUAUUCAUUCAUUAAAUAUUCAUUGAUUCAAAAAUGAUUAUGCAUUUCGGAAAAUGUUCAUGGAUUUCAAAAAUUGUUCCACCAAUUUCCAAAAUAAUGUUCAUCGAUUCUAGAAAUGUUCACCGAUUCAAGAAAAUUGUUUAAAAAAUUGUUGACACUUAGAAAAUGUUUUAAAAUAUUAUACAAAUGUUCAUGAAUCAAAUAAUGUUCUUGAUUUUAGAAAAUGUUCGGAAAUUUGUAAAAGUGUCCACAAAUUUGCAAAGUGUUUACGAUUUCCAAUAUGUGCACGAGUUUAAAAAAUGGCAUGAUUUCACGAAAUUGAGAGUGAUAGUGUAUCUUGCUGAUGCAACAAAAUGUGGUCAUGACCGUUGAAGAUUUUUUUUCUCCCGUUGCAACGCACGGGCCCUUUUGUUUGUAGAUUUUAAUCCUUUCCAGAAUCUAGAGGUCUUAGGGUUGGACGAAGGGACAAAAAUAUUAGGUUUAUUUCCUAGGUAUUUAUGGGCAAUAAGAAGCUUCCAGAGUUUCAGGUCUUCCUCAUAGAAUCUUUUAAUCCAAGACCCUAGAAGACAGAUGUUAAUUUUUGGGAGGUUAGGUAUGCCUAGGCCUCCAAAAUCUUUUUUCAUAGAGACUAGGUCCCAAUUAGCAAGGUGUAGCUUCCUAUUUCCCUCAAAAUCAUUUCACAAGCAAUGAGACAUCUGAGAAUUGAUGAGGUUCACUACCCAUUUAGGGAAUUUCAAGAAGGAGAGGAGAUACACUGGAAUGCUAGCCAAACAAGCUUGUAUGAGGAUCAAUCUACCUUUGUAAGAGAGAAGUUUUCCCCUCCACCCAGCAAUCCUUUUAAUGAUUUUAUCCAGAAGGGGUUGGAUAUCCUCUCUCCUCAGUUUAUCAUAGUGGAGAGGGAUACCUAGGUACUUAAUGGGGAAGUUACCUUAUUACAGAUUAGAAUAGAGAGGAAGUCAGCUAACUCCUGAUCAUCCAUGUUGAUAGGGAUGAGUUCACUUUUAGAGUAGUUGAUUCUCAUGCCUGAGAAUUGUUCAAAGCAGGUUAGAACAGUUUUCAGAUUGCUAGCAUGUGUGGAGUCAUUGUCUAAGAAAAGGAUGGUAUCAUCUGCAUAUUGAAGGCAGAUGAUGCCACCAGGGCAGACCUCAGGACAGAGCCCUGCAAUCAGACUAUGAUCAGCAGCUUUGCUCAACAUUUUAGUAAGAAUUACCACUACUAAAUUAAACAAAAGCGGGGAGAUGGGGUCACCUUGCCUAAGGCCUUUACCAGCAAGGAAAAAAUCACUUUCACAGUUAUUUAACUUGACCCCAACAGACCCCCCAUGAGUAAGUUGCUGGAUCCAACUAGUCCAUUUACCCCCAAAACCUCUAAGCUCUAGGAGUUUCAUAAGGAAAUCAAUGUCAACUUUAUCGAAGGCAGUCUAAACUAGAACUACCAUCUAGAGAAAAAUUCUCACAAACAGAGCCUUCAGAUCUGUUUUGGUGAGGGUAAAUAAAGGAAGAGCAUUCAAUGGCAUCAUUAAGAGAAGUAACAUCUAGACCAAUCUUAGCAGCAAUGGCAUUGAAGGAAGGAUCAUUAAAGUUGGAGAAGGAAGUGUGUUUCAUACCCUGGGGUUUUUGCACUUCCAGGUUCUGAACCUCUUUGAGCUGUUGAGCCUUUUCAAUAAUGGUUCUCUUGUCACCAGCUACCCUGGCACUGGUUCUGGUGGCUUGAACAUGACCCCAUUUGGGAAGGUGCUUCUCCUUAGGAAGGGCAGGGAAGAUAGAGUUGUAUUUUGAGUCCAAAUUGUCUGGGAGUUCAUUUGUUUCAACAAGUGCCUCUUGAUCCUUUUGUAUAUCUACAUAACCUUCUAAUUCCAUCAGAUCUUCAUCUUCCAGGAGCUCCAUUUCCCUGAGGAGGUUCAAUCCAUCAGUUUAAUCAAGCACAGAAUUCAAGAUCUUUUCCUGGAUGCUGAGUUAAGGAGUGUAUGAAGAAUCAGGGAGGUGUGUCUUGAGGACUGAAGUGGGUGUAGUUUCUCCAAACAUCUGAUUGUGGCCAAAAGACUGUCCUCUGAUGUUAGGGGCCCCAGAAUUGGCAGCAGGCCCUUUAUCUGAUUCAGAUCUAGAGCUCAUGUUGGAUUCAGCAUCUUCAGUAAGAUUGGUACCAGUUUCAGCUGCAGAGACAUAUGUACCAGCAGAGAGGUUGGUGGAGGUGCCAGUUUCAGUGAGGGUUAAGGACUCCACCUCAAUGAGUAGCCUGUAGAUUUUGUUCCCAACUCCAAAAAGCCUUUUAGCAGGGAUUUUGGAGGGAUCUUUACAUAAGAUUUUGACCCUAACAGUUUCAUAGAAUGACUUGAAAUUAUGCUGCCAAUCCACAUCCAGUAAGACUCCCAGAGUGGAAGUGAUUUGAUCCAGCAUAGUCCAGUCACACCACUUGGGGGUUCAAUUUCCUGAUCUUGAUCCAAGUUUCCUGAAGGUCCUCUUCAGCCUCAAUCCUGCCUUUCCAAACUUCAACAUUGACUACAACAUUGUCUUUUUGAGACCAAAACAGGGGUAUCCAGCAACUUGAACUACAUCUAUUUCAGGAGGGAGUUUGACCAAGAAUGUCCACUCAUCUAGGGCAUUGAUUGGCCAGGGCCAGUUGGUUUUGUAAAUGUCUGCAAACUCAGUGUCAAGUUCCUGCUUGGUCACUUCACCAGCUUCUACCAGAACAAUCCCCACAUUCUUCAGGGAGCCAUGAUACUGAGCAUUUUCAUCAAGUGGGUCUACGUGGUAGAACCCUAAUCCUGGAGCAGCACUUCCAACAUAUCUAGCAGAACUGUGGGUUUUCCUUCUGACAGGGCAAUUGUAACACCCUCGAUGCGACUAUAGCUCCCACGUGUCGAGGCACGACUUAGAGACAUAAUCGCAUUGAAGGCAUAUGUCGCAAGUUAGACAAUCUUCACAACAUCCCAUGUAAUGUGAAUAAUAAAGGGGAGAUAACAUAGUUGGCUUACACUCGCCACGUCAAUCAAGAACAUAAAUAACAUUACAUCAUCCAACACACUCAUGGCCCGACUACGGCGCCAAAAUAAAGAGAACCCAACAUGCGACAACGGUCCCAAUCACCCCCAACUGGGCACCACUACUGAUCAUCGGGAAAGGAAAUGUAGUAACGCUGAGAGUCUUCGUCGAACUCCCACUUGAGCUCGUACUCGUCACCUGGAGCGGAAACACCUGGACCUGCAUCUGGAGUUAUAGUAUCUGUGAGUCACAGGGACUCAGCAAUCUCGCACCCUCGCGAUCAAGACUAUUUAAGCUUAUAGGAAGGGUAAGGCAAAUAUAUGUGGAGCUACAGCAAGCGACUAGCAUAUAUGAUGGCUAUCUUAUUCGCAAAAGAGAGCGAGAAGAGGAGGCAAGGCACGAGCGAGAAACUAGAGAGCAACCUGCACAAACAUUACUCCAACACCGUGUCCACUUCCCGGACUCCGCUGAGAAGAGGCCAUCGCGGUAACACAUUCAGUUGAUUCAGUUUAAUUAAGUUAAGGUUCAAGUUAUCUACAACCGGACAUUAACAAAUUCCCAUCUGCCCAUAACCGCGGGCACGGCUUUCGAAAGUUCAAUCCCUGCAGGGGAGUCCCAACUUAGCCCAUGACAAGCUCUCACGGUCAACGAAGGAAUAGACCUCCUCCCAAGACGUUCCGAUCAGACUCGGUAUCUCGGUAACUCAAGACACUUCGACAGGUUAAAACAAGACCAGCAACACCGCCUGAAUGUGCCGACAAAUCCUGAUAGGAGCUGCACAUAUCUCGUUCUCAGGGCACACUCAGAUUGUCCAAACUUCCGGGAGGCCAGCCCAGAGUUGCCCCUGGUAGCCACCGGCGGCUGACGGUUUGGACCAACACUCAGAGGAGCACUGGCCCGGGGGGGUUAAAAUAAGAUGACCCUUGAGUCUGCAGAACCCAAGGGAAAGAAAAUGCUAGGUGGCGAAUGGUAAAACCAAUGUUGGGCAUUGCUGGAAAAGCUUUAAUCAAGGCAAAAUAUCAAGGGGUUCCCAUUAUAACCCAACCGCGUAAGGAACGCAAAAAUCCGGGAACAUAACACCGAUAUGACGGAAACUAGGGCGGCAAGAGUGGAACAAAACACUAGGUGAGAGGCCGAGCCUUCCACCCUUCACCAAGUAUAGAGAUGCAUUAAGAUAACAUAGCAUUAUAAUGAUAUCCCAACAUGUAAAUAAAAGAUGUUCCAACAAGGAUCGGCCUCCAAUUUUCACCUGCAACUAGCAACGCUAUAAGAGGGGCUGAGCAAAGCGGUAACAUAGCCAAUCAACGGUUUGCUAGGACAAUGGUGGGUUAGAGGUUUGACAUGGAAAUUUGGGAGGCUUGCAAGCAAAUGGUAGGUAUCGUAGCAAUGGCAUAGCAAAAGAGCGAGCAAACUAGCAUAGCAAAGAUAAUAGUGAUUUCGAGGGUAUGAUCAUCUUGCCUGCACAGUUGUCAGAGUUGACUGGAUCCUCACAAGCAAAUUCAACGGGCUCCUCGGUAGCGAACUCGUCUCCCAGAUCUACCCAAACAAGACAAACAAGCAAUAAAGACACAAUCAACCACGUGCAAGCUCAAACAACAAGAUGCAAUGAUGACAUGCUAUGCGGGAUGCGAUGCGGGAUGCAAAAUGCAAGAUAUGACAGGAAAUGCAUGAAGCUGGCCUCAACUUGGAAUUCCAAGGGUGCCACUGGAAAGAUGAGAUGAAAUCGCUUGAAAACGAUAUAAAGAACGCCGGAAUCGGAGUUACGGUUUGGAAAUGGCAAGCGUUUCAAAAAUGACACCGGUCUGCGAUUUACAGCAAGUAGGCAUCUAAACGCAAUGAGAUGAACAUGCUACAGCAACCAAACAAGACAACAAAAUACAUGGCAGGGAUGUACAUAAGAUGCUUAACAAAAGUCUAGCACUGAGCUACGGCCAAUUCAUCCAUUAUGAGGUUCAAACAAGCAUGUCAAAAACGCAAAUGCAAAACAGAUUUCAGACUUAGUGAAAUUAACACUUGUCUGAAAUUUCAGAUCAUGAAGCCCUCUUCGGAGCAGCAAAACAACAUGAUACAUGACCUGAUCAAGACAAGUAAUAACAUGGCAUGGAGCUACUCAACAAGCUUAACAAAAGACCUAAAGUGACCUGGGGCCAAAAGGCUUCACAAAAUAUACUAACGGGCACACGAGCAUAGCUAAAACACAAUCAGUUCUCAGACUUUGUGAAAACUGGGACAUGCUGAAAUAUAACUCACGAAGGCACGUAAACGAGCUCGAUGCACUCACUACGGUGCAAGUCAUGGCAAGGAAAGCAUACAUCCAUUAAGAAGGCACAAAAUACAAGCUAGACAUGGCAAGAACAAAGUCAUAGCAUGCAUGGAUCAACUACAAUAGCAUCGGCAAAAUCGCAAACUAGUUGACGAUCUGCCCAGAUUCACCACGAAGCAAAAGUAGAGCUCGAUUGACUCAAGCUAGGGUGCUCCAUAAUUGCAAACAAAGACAUGGAUGUAUAAAGCAUAACAUUAUUAACAAAACUCCUUUACUGAUCAUCCUCAAAAGAGGCACGAAUCGCUAGAAAACAAGCUGAACAUAUGGCAUCAUGAACUAAAUAAUCCCAGACUUAGUGAAAACUACUAAGUCCCUGAAAACAGAUUUACCGGGUGCCUCACUUUGCAAGCUUGCACAAGUCACCACACACAUCCUAAAAAUGCAUGGGUUGCACCUCUGGAAAUAUAACAAGAUACUUAACAAAACAUAUGAAGGACUCACAGGCAUAUCAUGCACACAUUAAUCAUGGCAAAAAUGACAAAAGUCUAAGAUGAACUAGCAGAUCUGACAAUUUACCCAUGAAGCCUCCUUCUAACAGCAUUUCGGGCAUCAAGAUGAGCUCAAAUGAAAAUGAUGCAAUGGAAUGAAAUGAUGUACUCGUCCAGACAAACAUUUUGAUAUACUAUAUGCCCAAAUCGGAGCUACGGAUGCCGAGAUACGGCCGGUCAAAGUAGGCAUAAAAAAAUUAGGGGGAGAGGGGAAAAGUCAACCGGCUAGGGUAUUUUGGAUCUGGAUCUGGCGGCACGGAUCCCGAGGUUGACCCGCAACACUGCAGCUCUCCGGAGUGCUCAACGUCGCCGGAGAGGAAGGAGAGGCCGGGGCUCGCCGGGGUAGCCGGAUCCGGCCCGGUCGCCGGAGUUCGUCGGCAUGGAGGCGGCGGGGCGGCGCCGGCCCAGGGCGGCGAGGAGGCGGCGAGGGNNNNNNNNNNNNNNNNNNNNNNNNNNNNNNNNNNNNNNNNNNNNNNNNNNNNNNNNNNNNNNNNNNNNNNNNNNNNNNNNNNNNNNNNNNNNNNNNNNNNNNNNNNNNNNNNNNNNNNNNNNNNNNNNNNNNNNNNNNNNNNNNNNNNNNNNNNNNNNNNNNNNNNNNNNNNNNNNNNNNNNNNNNNNNNNNNNNNNNNNNNNNNNNNNNNNNNNNNNNNNNNNNNNNNNNNNNNNNNNNNNNNNNNNNNNNNNNNNNNNNNNNNNNNNNNNNNNNNNNNNNNNNNNNNNNNNNNNNNNNNNNNNNNNNNNNNNNNNNNNNNNNNNNNNNNNNNNNNNNNNNNNNNNNNNNNNNNNNNNNNNNNNNNNNNNNNNNNNNNNNNNNNNNNNNNNNNNNNNNNNNNNNNNNNNNNNNNNNNNNNNNNNNNNNNNNNNNNNNNNNNNNNNNNNNNNNNNNNNNNNNNNNNNNNNNNNNNNNNNNNNNNNNNNNNNNNNNNNNNNNNNNNNNNNNNNNNNNNNNNNNNNNNNNNNNNNNNNNNNNNNNNGGUGGAGGCGGCAGGGAGCGACACGUGGCAGGCGGCGGAUGGCUGGGCGCGGCGGGGCGGACACGUCCGGCCCAACUCGGACGUGUCCGUCGGCGGGGGAAGCGGCGGAUCUGGAAAAAUUAGGGUUUCGAGGGGGGGAGAGAUCUGAAAAACGGGGGGGGCUAUUUAUAGGCAUAAGUGGAGCUAGGAGAGUCCAAAAGAGGUGUGGUUUUCGGCCACGCGAUCGUGAUCGAACGCUCUAGGACAUGGAGCAGAGUUUGGUGGGUUUUGGGCCAAAAUGGAGGGGUGUUGGUCUGCAACACACACGAGGCCUUUUCGGUCCCUCGGUUAACCGUUGGAGUACCAAACGAAGUCCAAUUGAUACGAAACUUGACAGACGGUCUACCGGUAGUAAACCAAGGCCGCUUGGCAAGUCUCGGUCCAAUCCGGAAAUGUUUAAUCCCCACACACGAAAGAAAGCUAGAAAUGGCCACCGGAGGAGAACGAAGCGCCGGAAUGCAAAACGGACAACGGGGAAAAUGCUCGAAUGCAUGAGACGAACACGUAUGAGAAUGCAAUGCACAUGAUGACAUGAUAUGAGAUGCAUGAAAACGAAAACAACACACGGAGACAAAGACCCGAACCCGAGAAAUAAAUAUGACUUGACGCCGGAAACGGCAAGAGUUGGAGUACAAAUUGGGCAAGUUAUAUCUGGGGCGUUACAACACUCCACCACUACGAAAAGAUCUCGUCCCGAGAUCUAGGACUGAAAGAACUCCGGGUACUCAGAACGGAGGUGAUCCUCACGUUCCCAGGUAGCUUCACGGUCGGAAUGGUGUGACCAUUUGACUUUGAGAAAUUUGAUUGACUUGUUGCGAGUCUUGCGUUCAGUCUCUUCAAGAAUAGCAACUGGGUGCUCACGGUAAGAGAGAUCUUCUUGGAUCUCAAUGUCCUCAAAGUUGACGGUGCGGUCAGGAGUCUUGAAGCACUUUCGAAGCUGAGAGACAUGGAAUACAUCAUGAACAUUUGCAAAGUUUGAAGGAAGCUCAAGUUGAUAGGCAAGGUCGCCUCUCUUGCUGACAAUCUUGAAAGGUCCCACGUAUCUAGGGGCAAUCUUCCCUUUGAUACCGAAGCGACGAGUACCUUUCAUAGGAGAGACACGGAGGUAAACAUGAUCUCCGAUCUCGAAAGCCAAAUCAUGGUGCUUACUAUCAUAGUAGCUCUUCUGGCGGGAUUGGGCUGCUUUGAGGUUAUCACGAAUGACUUUGCACAUUUCUUCUGCUUUUGUGAUUAAGUCAUUACCCAGCAGCUGACAUUCACCGGUUUCAGACCAGGUGAGAGGGGUACGGCACUUCCUGCCAUACAAAAUUUCAAAAGGGGCCUUGCACGAACUUGCUUGAAAACUGUUGUUGUAUGAGAAUUCAGCAUAAGGAAGACAAUCCUCCCACUUCAUGCCGAAGGAGAUCACACAAGCCCUGAGCAUAUCUUCAAGAAUCUGGUUGACACACUCGACUUGACCGCUUGUUUGAGGAUGGAAAGCUGUGCUGAAGCGGAUGUUGGUGCCCAUGGCCUUCUGAAAAGAAUCCCAAAACUUCGAGGUAAAGAUGCUGCCACGGUCUGAAGAGAUCACUUGAGGAAUACCGUGCAGAGAGACAAUUCGAGAGGUAUAGAGUUCCGCCAAUUGAGCUGCAGUGAUCGACUCUUUGAUAGGCAGAAAGUGAGCCACUUUGGUGAGUUUGUCGAUGACAACGAAUAUAGCAUCAUUGCCACGCUUGGACUUUGGAAACCCAGUCACGAAGUCCAUUUCAAUGUGGUCAAACUUCCAUUCUGGAAUGGCAAGAGGUUGGAGGAGACCUGCUGGCCUUUGGUGUUCUGCCUUCACUCUUCUGCAGACAUCACAUUCAUUCACGAAUUGAGCAAUCUCGCGCUUCAUUCGAGUCCACCAAUAAGCUUGCUUAAGGUCCUGAUACAUCUUCGUGCUCCCAGGGUGGAUGGAGAGGAGAGAAUUGUGAGCCUCGUUCAUGAUCACUUUACGGAGGUCACCUUUGGGCACAACAAUACGAUCCUCGAAGAAGAGAGUGUCCUUGUCAUCAAGGCGGUAGCACUUGUACUUGGACUGGCUCUUGGCAAUCCCAAUCUUCACCUUUUUCACCAUAGCAUCAAGAAGCUGAGCUUGGCGAAUCUGGUCUUCUAAGGUAGGAGAGACUUGAAGGUUGGCGAGGAAUCCUUGAGGAACAACUUGCAGAUUAAGUUUGCGGAAAGCUUCACAAAGCUCGGGUUGAUAGGGCUUGAGAAUCAGACUGUUGUAGUAGGCCUUUCUGCUCAAAGCGUCGGCAAUCACAUUGGCCUUGCCUGGAGUAUACUCGAUACUCGGAUUAUACUCUUGAAUCAUUUCGACCCAUCGAGUUUGCCUGAGGUUGAGAUUAGGCUGCAUGAAAAUGUACUUGAGACUCUUGUGAUCAGUGAAAAUGUCCACUUUUCUUCCCAAUAGAAGAUGUCUCCAAGUCAAAAGAGCAUGCACAACCGCCGCCAACUCGAGAUCAUGAGUGGGGUAGUUCUUCUCAUUAGGCUUCAGCUGGCGAGAUGUAUAAGCAACAACUUUCUUCUCUUGCAUCAAUACUACGCCAAGACCUUGGAGAGAGGCAUCACAAAAGACCUCGUACGGCUUGGAUUCAUCACGCGGAGUCAAAACUGGAGCAGUGAUCAACUUCUCUUUCAAAGUGUUGAAAGCAAUAUCACACUCCGGAGACCAAAUGUACUUGACGUGCUUCUGAAGAAGAUUAGAGAGAGGCUUCGCGAUCUUGGAAAAGUUUUCGACGAAUCUUCGGCAAUAGCUUGCGAGACCGAGAAAACUGCGGAGUUGCUUCACGUUCUGAGGAGGUUCCCAAUUCACAAUUGCAGACACCUUCUCAGGAUUCACGGCAAUGCCCUUGGCAGAGAUGAUAUGACCAAGAUAAAGAACCUCAUCGAGCCAAAAUUCACACUUGGAGAACUUGGCGUAGAACUGAUGUUCCCUGAGCUUAUCAAGAACCAAACGCAAAUGCUGGCAUGAUCUUCCUUGUUCUUCGAGAAAACUAGAAUGUCGUCGAGAUAGACCAAAACAAAGUCAUUGGUGUAGGCAUUGAAGAUGAAAUUCAUCAUGCGAGAGAACGUCGGAGGAGCGUUGGCGAGGCCAAAAGACAUGACAGUGUAUUCAUAUGAACCAAAGCUUGUUCUAAAUGCUGUCUUGGGAAUAUCUUCUUCACGAAUGCGAAUCUGGUGAUAACUCAUGCGGAGAUCAAGCUUGGAGAAUACUUGGGCACCUUUGAGUUGUUCGAACAGCUCAUUGAUGUUGGGAAGUGGGUAUUUGUUCUUGAUGGUCUUCUUGUUCACUAGACGGUAAUCAACACAAAGUCGGUCCGUUCCAUCCUUCUUCUUCACAAAAAGAACACCACAACCCCACGGAGAAGAACUAGGCUGGAUGAGACCCAUUCUUUCUUGCUCAUCGAGUUGCUUCUUUAGCUCCUUCAACUCUUCAGGUCUGAGCUUGUAAGGACGUUUGCACACAGGUUCCAUGCCAGGCUCAAGUUCAAUAACGAAUUCAACUGGCCGGUGCGGAGGCAUUCCUGGGAGCUCUUCUGGAAAGACGUCUUGAUAUUCUCAAACGACUGGAAUUUGAGAGAUGGCAUCCAAUUCACCCUUCUCAUUGAGAGAAAACAGACGGAUGGAAUUAUUCCGAGCGGCAAAGACAAUUACAUCCUCGGUCGAAUGAGUCAAUUGAAUCUGCCUGGCUGCACAAUCAAACUGAGCCUUGUGCUUAGAAAGCCAAUCCAUGCCGAGAAUAAGAUCAAUAUCUGAGUUACCAAGAACCAUUGGAGAAGCCAGAAACUUGAAAUCACCCAUCAUGAUAGAAAUAUCCGGAACCUCGUGAUUAGCAAGCAAACAUUUAUCCGGAGAGACGACUGCGAACGGUUUAUGCAUAACUUGGGAAGUCAACUCAUGGUUAGAUGCAAAAGGUUUUGAGAUGAAGCAAUGCGAUGCACCAGUGUCAAAAAGAACUUUUGCAGGUUUAUCAUUAACAGGAAGGUUACCCAUGAUCACAUCUGACGAGUCCUCUGCCUGAGCUGCAUUCAUCAAAUUGACCUUGGCAUGCUUGGGGUUAUGCUUGACCAUAGCUGUACUUGCCGAUCUGACAGGAGGAGGAGGAGGAAGACGCCUCUGGUUGAAACACUUGUUGGCAUAGUGACCCUUCUGUUGGCACUUGUUGCACAUGACCUCUGAAAGCGGACGGUGAUACGGAGCACUCGAUCUUGGAGCUUGAGACGAAGUCUUGUUCUGAAAGCCAGGGUUGGGUGGGUGGGAAGAACCACUGCCACCUUUGCUCUUCUGCUGAUACGGCUGACGGAACGGAGGAGGAGGAAGCCAAAACUUCUGCUGCUUGGCCACUUGAGUAGAGGAAGAAGGAGUAACAUCCCUGACUCGCUUCCUGGAAGCAUCACACCUCAACUGAGUAGCCUCUUGCUUCAGUGCCAUGUUGUAGAACUCAUCGUAUCUCAAUGGCUCGAAGAGAACAAGAGCGAGCUGAAUAUCUUCUCUGAGACCACCCAUGAACUGAUAUAUCAUGCUCUUCUCAUCAGGCACGUCCUGCUUGGCAAAGCGGGCGAGCUUCUGGAACAACUUGUUGUAGUCAUAGACAGACAAAGAGCCUUGCUUCAGAUUGCGGAAUUCCUCACGCUUGCUUUCAACCACGCUCUGCGGAAUAUGAUGAGCUCGGAAAUCUCGACGGAAAUCAUCCUAAGUGAUAACACGUCCACCUCUGGAGUCCUUGUACUGCUGGAACCAUUCUGCAGCUUGAUCUUUGAGUUGGAAGGAAGCGAACUUGACAAAGUCCUCAGGCCUGACGUUACUGCACUCAAAAUGCUUACACAGAUCCACAAGCCAAUCGUCAGCAUCGGUUGCCUCAACACAAUUGCUGAAAGUCUUUGGCCCGUUAGCAAGGAACUGGUUGAGUGUAGCAAAGUGACUCUGAUUGCUGCCUUGAUUCCCUUGACUGCCUUGAUUGCGCUCUUGAAGAAUUUGCAUGAUCAGCUGUGUGUUUGCAUUGGUUGCGGCCAUCACAGCUUGCCAUGCCUCUGGAGGAGGUGGAGGUGGUGGCGGAUCAGGAUUCAGAGUCGUGCGCGUUGGAGGAGCCAUCCUGAAGAGGUUGACCACCAUUAGCACAUUGAUAGAUAAAUAUUGAAGCUGAAUCCAACGGAAUGAAAAUUGCAACAUAUAGUCUUCACAUCCGAACAAAAUGAACGAAUGCAUUCCUCUUGAAAUGGUCACAUAUCCAUAAAUUGAGAAGCCACGUAGAAUUAAGGUAGAGAAAUAAAUCAACAAGGUACGGAUCGAGAACGAAUAAUUGGUAAGAAAUCCCAAUCUCAAACCAAUAUCUGUGGAAGAAGAACUAGAGCUACUAGAAUUCCCACCUAUGAAACUCCCGAACCUUUCCGGUUAUGCAAUCAGGUGUUGGGGAUACAGGGGAAGCAUAAUAUCUCACCCAAACUAGCAAAUCCUACAUCCAGCUGUAUCCAUCCUUCAACACAUAACCGAGAAAAACUUUGGAAACCAUCUACCUCAACCUUCGAAAAUCAUCCGUUAUACAAGUUAUGGCGAUACUCCCGAACUCCCGCCCCAGUACUGGGUGGCGUCGAGGUUAUCUCACCAACGAACUGCAUAAAAGAGAUUUUCGAUGUCGGCGAAAAUAUCUCAAGUAUUCCAGAAUUGCAACGAUAAAAUUAUGAUGACAACACCUCAGAGCUCAACUCCCCGGGACACUUCCACUAAACCCCUGACAGGAGGCACCAAGACAAUGUUCUCAUCAUAAGCCAUCGGAACGAUUCCAAGAUACUCGCGUGAUCCUAAAAUCUUUUUUUAGUGAAAUUUGAGAAGAGAAGAGUCAAAACUCUACGUCAGGAUGCCUUACCAGAGCGAUGAGGAGACUGGGAAGUAAAAAGAAUUCCUAAACUCUCUGAUAUAUAAUUCCUAACUGACUCAAAACAUUUUUCUAGACACAACUCGGCCGCUAAAAACGAUCAAGCAAUGGGGCUCCUAAGGUCGGGGAAGGCUCUGAUUACCAACUUGUAACACCCUCGAUGCGACUAUAGCUCCCACGUGUCCAGGCACGACUUAGAGACAUAAUCACAUUGAAGGCAUAUGUCGCAAGUUAGACAAUCUUCACAACAUCCCAUGUAAUGUGAAUAAUAAAGGGGAGAUAACAUAGUUGGCUUACACUCGCCACGUCAAUCAAGAACAUAAAUAACAUUACAUCAUCCAACACACUCAUGGCCCGACUACGGCGCCAAAAUAAAGAGAACCAACAUGCGACAACAGUCCCAAUCACCCCCAACUGGGCACCACUACUGAUCAUCGGGAAAGGAAACGUAGUAACGCUGAGAGUCUUCGUCAAACUCCCACUUGAGCUCGUACUCGUCACCUGGAGCGGAAACACCUGGACCUACAUCUGGAGUUAUAGUAUCUGUGAGUCACAGGGACUCAGCAAUCUCGCACCCUCGCGAUCAAGACUAUUUAAGCUUAUAGGAAGGGUAAGGCAAAUAUGUGUGGAGCUACAGCAAGCGACUAGCAUAUAUGGUGGCUAUCUUAUUCGCAAAAGAGAGCGAGAAGAGGAGGCAAGGCACGAGCGAGAAACUAGAGAGCAACCUGCGCAAACAUUACUCCAACACCGUGUCCACUUCCCGGACUCCGCCGAGAAGAGGCCAUCACAGUAACACACUCAGUUGAUUCAGUUUAAUUAAGUUAAGGUUCAAGUUAUCUACAACCGGACAUUAACAAAUUCCCAUCUGCCCAUAAUCGCGGGCAUGGCUUUCGAAACUUCAAUCCCUGCAGGGGAGUCCCAUCUUAGCCCAUGACAAGCUCUCACGGUCAACGAAGGAAUAUACCUCCUCCCAAGACGUUCCGAUCAGACUCGGUAUCUCGGUAACUCAAGACACUUCGACAGGUUAAAACAAGACCAGCAACACCGCCCGAAUGUGCCGACAAAUCCCGAUAGGAGCUGCACAUAUCUCAUUCUUAGGGCACACUCAGAUUGUCCAAACUUUCAGUAGGCCAGCCCAGAGUUGCCCCUAGUAGCCACCGGCGGCUGACGGUUUGGACCAACACUCAGAGGAGCACUGGCCCGGGGGGGGGGGUUAAAAUAAGAUGACCCUUGAGUCCGCAGAACCCAAGGGAAAGAAAAGGCUAGGUGGGGAAUGGUAAAACCAAUGUUGGGCAUUGCUGGAAAAGAUUUAAUCAAGGCGAAAUAUGAAGGGGUUCCCAUUAUAACCCAACCGCGUAAGGAACGCAAAAAUCCGGGAACAUAACACCGAUAUGACGGAAACUAGGGUGGCAAGAGUGGAACAAAACACUAGGCGAGAGGCCGAGCCUUCCACCCUUCACCAAGUAUAUAGAUGCAUUAAGAUAACAUAGCAUUAUAAUGAUAUCCCAACAAGUAAAUAAAAUAUGUUCCAACAAGGAACGACCUCCAAUUUUCACCUGCAACUAGCAACGCUAUAAGAGGGGCUGAGCAAAGCGGUAACAUAGCCAAUCAACGGUUUGCUAGGACAAUGGUGGGUUAAAGGUUUGACAUGGCAAUUUGGGAGGCUUGCAAGCAAAUCGUAGGCAUCGUAGCAAUGGCAUAGCAAAAGAGCGAGCAAACUAGCAUAGCAAAGAUAGUAGUGACUUCGAGGGUAUGAUCAUCUUGCCUGCACAGUUGUCAGAGUUGACUGGAUCCUCACAAGCAAAUUCAAUGGGCUCCUCGGUAGCGAACUUGUCUCCCGGAUCUACCCAAACAAGACAAACAAGCAACAAGGACACAAUAAACCACGUGCAAGCUCAAACAACAAGAUGCAAUGAUGACAUGCUAUGCGGGAUGCGAUGCGGGAUGCAAAAUGCAAGAUAUGACAGGAAAUGCAUGAAGCUGGCCUCAACUUGGAAUUCCAAGGGUGCCACUGGAAAGAUGAGAUGAAAUCGCUUGAAAACGAUAUAAAGAACGCCGGAAUCGGAGUUACGGUUUGGAAAUGGCAAGCGUUUCAAAAAUGACACCGGUCUGCGAUUUACAGCAAGUAGGCAUCUAAACGCAAUGAGAUGAACAUGCUACAGCAACCAAACAAGACAACAAAAUACAUGGCAGGGAUGUACAUAAGAUGCUUAACAAAAGUCUAGCACUGAGCUAUGGCCAAUUCAUCCAUUAUGAGGUUCAAACAAGCAUGUCAAAAACGCAAAUGCAAAACAGAUUUCAGACUUAGUGAAAUUAACACUUGUCUGAAAUUUCAGAUCACGAAGCCCUCUUCGGAGCAGCAAAACAACAUGAUACAUGACCUGAUCAAGACAAGUAAGAACAUGGCAUGGAGCUACUCAACAAGCUUAACAAAAGACCCAAAGUGACCUGGGACCAAAAGGGUUCUCAAAAUAUACUAACGGGCACACGAGCAUAGCUAAAACACAAUCAGUUCUCAGACUUUGUGAAAACUGGGACAUAUGCUGAAAUAUAACUCACGAAGGCACGUAAACGAGCUCGAUGCACUCACUACGGUGCAAGUCAUGGCAAGGAAAGCAUACAUCCAUUAAGAAGGCACAAAAUACAAGCUAGAUAUGGCAAGAACAAAGUCAUAGCAUGCAUGGAUCAACUACAAUAGCAUCGGCAAAAUCGCAAACUAGUUGACGAUCUGCCCAGAUUCGCCACGAAGAAAAAGUAAAGCUCGAUUGACUCAAGCUAGGGUGCUCCAUAAUUGCAAACAAAGACAUGGAUGGAUAGAGCAUAACAUUAUUAACAAAACUCCUUUACUGAUCAUCCUCAAAAGAGGCACGAAUCGCUAGAAAACAAGCUGAACAUAUGGCAUCAUGAACUAAAUAAUCCCAGACUUAGUGAAAACUACUAAGUCCCUGAAAACAGAUUUACCGGGUGCCUCACUUUGCAAGCUUGCACAAGUCACCACACACAUCCUAAAAAUGCAUGGGUUGCACCUCUGGAAAGAUAACAAGAUACUUAACAAAACAUAUGAAGGACUCACAGGCAUAUCAUGCACACAUUAAUCAUGGCAAAAAUGACAAAAGUCUAAGAUGAACUAGCAGAUCUGACAAUUUACCCAUGAAGCCUCCUUCUAACAGCAUUUCGGGCAUCAAGAUUAGCUCAAAUGAAAAUGAUGUAAUGGAAUGAAAUGAUUUACUCGUCCAGACGAACAUUUUGAUAUACUAUAUGCCCAAAUCGGAGCUACGGAUGCGGAGAUACGGCCGGUCAAAGUAGGCAUAAAAAAAUUAGGGGGAGAGGGGAAAAGUCAACCGGCUAGGGUAUUUUGGAUCUGGAUCUGGCGGCACGGAUCCCGAGGUUGACCCGCAACACUGCAGCUCGCCGGAGUGCUCGACAUCGCCGGAGAGGAAGGAGAGGCCGGGGCUCGCCGGGGUAGCCGGAUCCGGCCCGGUCGCCGGAGUUCGUCGGCGUGAAGGCGAGGGGGCGGCACCGGCCCGGGGCGGCGAGGAGGCGGCGAGGGGCGGCCGGCCGGNNNNNNNNNNNNNNNNNNNNNNNNNNNNNNNNNNNNNNNNNNNNNNNNNNNNNNNNNNNNNNNNNNNNNNNNNNNNNNNNNNNNNNNNNNNNNNNNNNNNNNNNNNNNNNNNNNNNNNNNNNNNNNNNNNNNNNNNNNNNNNNNNNNNNNNNNNNNNNNNNNNNNNNNNNNNNNNNNNNNNNNNNNNNNNNNNNNNNNNNNNNNNNNNNNNNNNNNNNNNNNNNNNNNNNNNNNNNNNNNNNNNNNNNNNNNNNNNNNNNNNNNNNNNNNNNNNNNNNNNNNNNNNNNNNNNNNNNNNNNNNNNNNNNNNNNNNNNNNNNNNNNNNNNNNNNNNNNNNNNNNNNNNNNNNNNNNNNNNNNNNNNNNNNNNNNNNNNNNNNNNNNNNNNNNNNNNNNNNNNNNNNNNNNNNNNNNNNNNNNNNNNNNNNNNNNNNNNNNNNNNNNNNNNNNNNNNNNNNNNNNNNNNNNNNNNNNNNNNNNNNNNNNNNNNNNNNNNNNNNNNNNNNNNNNNNNNNNNNNNNNNNNNNNNNNNNNNNNNNNNNNNNNNNNNNNNNNNNNNNNNNNNNNNNNNNNNNNNNNNNNNNNNNNNNNNNNNNNNNNNNNNNNNNNNNNNNNNNNNNNNNNNNNNNNNNNNNNNNNNNNNNNNGCUGGGCGCGGCGGGGCGGACACAUCCGGCCUGAUUCGGACGUGUCCGUCGGUGGGGAAAGCGGCGGAUCUGGAAAAAUUAGGGUUUCGAGGGGGAGAGAGAUCCGAAAAACGGGGGGGGCUAUUUAUAGGCAUAAGUGGAGCUAGGAGAGUCCAAAAGAGGUGCGGUUUUCGGCCAAGUGAUCGUGAUCGAACGCUCUAGGACAUGGAGUAGAGUUUGGUGGGUUUUGGGCCAAAAUGGAGGGGUGUUGGGCUGCAACACACAUGAGGCCUUUUCGGUCCCUCGGUUAACCGUUGGAGUACCAAACGAAGUCCAAUUGAUACGAAACUUGACAGGCGGUCUACCGGUAGUAAACCAAGGCCGCUUGGCAAGUCUCGGUCCAAUACGGAAAUGUUUAAUCCCCACACACGAAAGAAAGCUAGAAAUGGCCACCGGAAGAGAACGAAGCGCCGGAAUGCAAAACGGACAAUGGGGAAAAUGCUCGAAUGCAUGAGACGAACACGUAUGCGAAUGCAAUGCACAUGAUGACAUGAUAUGAGAUGCAUGAAAACGAAAAUAACACACGGAGACAAAGACCCGAACCCGAGAAAUAAAUAUGACUUGAUGCCGGAAACGGCAAGAGUUGGAGUACAAAUUGGGCAAGUUAUAUCUGGGGCGUUACAGCAAUUCUCAACUUUAUGAGUAACCAUUUUGUAGAUAAAACAAUUCUUGGGAUUGACACAUUUAUCCAAAUGAUGCCUUGGUUCCCCACAGUUGUAGCAGAUCACCUCAGAGUAUGCCAUAAGGCCCGAAGCAGGGGCAGGAGCAGUUUUCUGGAUGUCCUGUCUCUUCUUUUGCUGAUUCUUGCCUUGAGAUUUCCCACUGAUCUGAGAGUCAGAACCACCAGCAGAUUGAUCUUGGGCAAUUACAGGAGCCUGCCCAGAUUGUGCCCCCAUUUGGGGCAGAUGUGGGCCGUACCACUGCCCAACCGGCGCUCCCCCCCCCCAUUGUGAUAGGGCAAAUUCAUUGGAGUUCCUGGUUCCUUCUCAUCCUCCAGCCAGAUGUUGUCUCUCAGGAAGCAGAAAUAACCACCAAACAGCUCAAUUGAAGCAGAUUGCAAGCCUAAUUUCAAUCUUCUUCAGGUUUGGGGGAGAGGUAAGGUACGGGAUCCACCUGCUCCGGCUCUGAUGGCGUGCUGGUGGGCAUGAGUCCAGUCAAGCAUUCCCAUCUCGCAGCACGGUGUGGAUCUCCUGAAUUCACUUCUCCUUUCGCCCAUCGAACGAACGUAAUCGGCGACUCCCUGGGGUGGGGCAUCCUGUGCUUCUCCGAGAAAUCUCCUUCGAAGUAGAUCCGCAUGGCUAGAUUCAGCAGCUCCCAAUCCACAUGAUCCUUACACAUCCGAGCAUACCUGCGCGAGUGAGAAAACAGAUUCGGUCCCUCCUCGGCUUCCUCCCUCGCAGCUUCCUCCUCUGCUUCCCUCCAUUCGCGCGUGCACUGGGUCCAGGAGAGAGCGUCGUCGCAGAUCCGCAUCGCCCGCUCCCUCCAUCUCCUCCCUCGAGUCUCCCGCAGCACCGCCGGCACGACGGAGUUGAGCGGCUGGAGCAUCCGCGGGAAGCCUUUGUAGACAUGUGGGAGAUGCAUCUUGUACAUCUGCCUGUCUUCCAACCAUUCCCCCGUGGAUAUGGUCGGCGACUCCAUGGGGCACGCGAGUGGACUUUCUGAGGGGGUAGGUGCGCCCGGAGUCAGGAGGCAGGGGUGGCGGCGAGAUCUAUGGCGGCGGCAAGGGUGGAGGUAGUGGCGGGGGCGGCGGCAAGGGUGGAGGUGGUGGCGGGGGCGAAGGGGAUCGCGAGAGCAGUCAUCUAUUUGCCAAUUAUGUGAACUAAACAGUCAACAUAUAAAAUAAUUUAAAUAUAUAUAAUAUAGUUAUAAGCGAAACAUAAGUUGAACCUAACGUUCCUAUUCUUAUAUAGAAAAAUAGAACACACCUCUGCGUUUUCUUCAAAAAAUACAUAAAUUGGGCUACCAAAAAUAAAAUCUCGGAUGGGAGGUCCAUAGGCCGGUCGAUACAUGAUGGCCCUAAUAAAAUACAAACAGGGCUAUGGACCUCCCAUCCGAGGUCGUGGGCUGCGCAUGUUAAAAAUGAAAGCCUAGACGGGGCAGCCCAAAACCACGUCCAACACUUGCCAAAACUUCGUCCCUCGUUUUCUCUCUGUUUUGCACACUCGACAUUGUGUGGGCAUUUUGACUGUGCAUCAUAUGAAGAUGUGCUAUGCAUGAAUGUUGAUCAGCAUGAUGUUAACUAGCUGGUAGUUCCAUUUUCGACCAUGAAUAAAACUUCCAACAUGAUGUUAACCCUGUUUGAAAAGGCUGUUUUAAUAUAAAUGCUAUGUCUCUGAAAGUUGCAGCUUCUUAUCUGAAACUGAAGUUGCAGUUUCUUAUCUGAAACUGAAACUUGCAGUUUCUUCUCUGAGAAUCACAUUGUCUGCACUUUUAUACUCUUAUGAAACUACAUUUUUUAAGUGCUAAAAAUAAAUAUCUAGAAUUCAUAAAAUACUUCAUAUGCUCAAUACCGCAAAUCUGAAAUUCAAAAGACAUUCAUAUCUGAAAGUACUCUCAAAAUACACAACACAAAACACAAUUCACAACCUGCAAAUACUGAAAACCCUAAGCUCCUCCUGAAAAUUCACAACCUGCCCGACUAUUGGGCUGGGGGGGCAGCCCCCUCCUAUUCCUCGGCCGCAGACAGCCACCCCGUGAGAUGAUGUGAACGGCGAGGGAGACGAUGGCGGGGAAGCGUCGUCGGGCCAACUGCUUUUCUCCUCUUGCAGUUGGGUUCGGUCAACGAAGACUCCACCGGCUCGCUCUGGCAGGACACCCUCACAAACGGCACCCUGUAGAUGCUCGAUCCUUCAAUCUCUGGUGGAUGCUCCAUCUGGGAUCGAUACUCCCACCACCGCUCCCUCACGAUCGGAUUCGGCGAAUCUGUUUGCUCCAUGGCCCAGAGGAGCAGCUCUAUGUACUCCAGCGUGACUCCCUCCGGGAGUAUCGCCGCCUUUUCGCUCUGUUGCAGAUAUUUGGCCAUGGAUGUCGCUGUCGCCACUAGUUGGUCCUUGUUGUCAAACCAAGACUGUAUCUCCAACAUCCUACCUAGCUUCACAGAGUCGCCGUCUGCGAUCCUCACGUAUCGGUUGUACUCCUCCGUCGAUCUACUUAUCCACAGCACCUUCACUUGCCGGCGGUGGUUUUUGAAUGGAAGAGGAGAGGAGCAGCGCUGGUUUUGGAUUAGAACGGGAGAGGAGCGACGCUGGUUUUGGACUGGAACAGGAGAGGAGGGGCAGUGGUUUUGAAAUGGAAGAGGAGAGGAGUUGCGUUGCAUUUAGAUUGGAACAGGAGAGGAGCGGCGGUGGUUUAAGAGGAGAAGAGCAGAAGAGCGGCGCUGGUCUUGGAAGUAUUUUUUUGUUGUUUUGCGUAUUUUGGGUCAAAGUUUGACCACGUACUAUAUUUGAGAAGCAAAAUGUGAAUGCAUGUCACCAAAAAUUGUAUCGUUUCGUUCGUAUCUGAAUGUACUUUCAAAUUAUAUUAUUUUUUUAAGGUAUAACAUAUAUUUUAUGUGCGAAAAUCAUGGUCAAUUAUGACCCAGAAUAAAAGGGAGACUAGUUAAUGUGGGGUCGCUUUCUUAAUUGAAGGGUAAAUUGAUUUUGAUUUUGAUCCAGUCACAGCGCGCCGGCCCUCUCGUCCAAUCCUAAAUCACUGCCGCACGCUCCUCUCCCUCUUCUCCAUUGCAAAACCACCUCCUCUCCUCUCCAUCAUCUUCAUUCCGAAACCACCGUCUCGCCUCUCCCUCUUCUGAUCUUCUCCAUUGCAAAACCACCUCCUCUCCUCUCCAUCAUCUCCAUUCCAAAACCACCGUCUCGCCUCUCCCUCUUCCUUAUUGCAAGACCACCGUCUCUCCUCCGUUUUCUAUACGCUUUGCUCCAUGGCGUGGGCGCAAUCCAUGGAUACAAAAUUAGUAUACUGUAUACUAUUUAAAAGUAGAGGGCGGGGCUUUUCCUGCACGGUAGGCGGCGGGGCAGUUCCGCCUAGUCGGUUCGACAGAGACGCGAGAAGAUGAGGGAGUAGGCUGCUGCAAAUGUAGGGCUGUGUGAUUUGACAGCGAGUUACUGCUGGACAGGUGGGGCCUCGUGAUUUGACUUGCCAUUAUCAUUUUAACUGCGGCGCUACGACCGGCGUGAGUCUCCCAAUUCCUGACCACCUCCAUACAGGUGCCUCUCCCAAUGCUCCACCAUGUAAGAGAGGUUGGCUCUUGCAUGAGAGCCCACUUCUCCACUUUUUCCUUGCCUCUCUUUCCUCCACAUAUGCAAAAAUUCCAUGUAAAGCGCACUAUUGUACUUACUUUUACUUGCUCCUACGGGUGCUUAAGCUUGCCACAUAGGCAUAAAGUCUGAUGUGGGAAGUUCAUCAAGAAGAGAGAGACUAAUUUGGUGACCCAAGGAAGAAACGGUGCUAAGCGCGUGUACCUAGGUGAAAAGACAAUUUUGAGUCUAUAGCUAAUUAAAUGAAGGAAACUUAGCAACACCAUUUCAUUGGAAGAGGUCACUCCUUGGCAAAUGCAAUAAAUACUAGUACUCCCUCUGUCCCAUAAUAUAAGAACGUUUUUGGCACUACACUAGUGUCAAAAACAUUCUUAUAUAUGGGACGGAGGGAGUACGAACAAAGAGACAGAGAGGAGUAAAAAAUACACUUAUAGCCAACCUUAUAGCCAACCUUGUUGUAGUAUGAGUGACUAAGUGAUGACUAUGUAUGACAUGCCAACAUCAGAUAGCCUAACACACCGUGUUAAAUCUCCAAGGGCGCGACCGCGCGAGCUACGUGACGGUCGUGGUAGGCGCGACCAUGAUAUGGGCUGCUGGCAGCCCUUGGAUCUGAGAUCAAAAGGUCGCAUGCUAAGUUGCUAAAAAUUUGCAGAAUAACCCUCCAGGAUAGGAUAUUCACCCAUAGGUCUAGAAUCACGCCAUGCAACCGUUCGAUCUCAGAUCCAAGGGCUCUCAGAAGCCCGUACCAUGGGAGAAUGGAAAGCCACUACCCUGUCGUUCGCACGCUGGCAGUUCGCUCCUACUCGUCCCCACACGUCCUUCAAUACUACGACGGUUCGCUCCUAGUCGUCCUGUCCAUUCACAUUCGGUGGUUCCACUAAUCCUAACCCUCCUCCCAAAUCCAUGGUGUCCCAAAUCUCCAUGAUCGGCAGUGAGUACAAGGUUAGAACCAUCACCGGCGAUGAGUUCGACGUCAUCUACACCUGUUCUUCCGUGACGGUGAAAGGAUGCCUUUCUCGCUUCAGACGCAUGUUCGAAAACUGAGAUGAUGAGUGGGUCGCUGGGCUAGAUGUUGAGUACACCACAGUCCUGGGACCAGAGAAGGAUCUAAAGGACGAAGAGAGGAAGAAGCCCGCCGUGGUCCAGGUUUGCGUGCAUGACUUAUGCUUGGUCUACCACAUAUGCCAUGCCGACGUUGAGUUCCAGGAUUUUAAGGACUUCCUCGAGAGCAACCUAGUCAAAUUCGUUACUGUAGACUUUAAGAACGACAGGGAUGUCCUGCGUCGGAUAGGUCUCGUUGUAGGCAACCCCUUCGACCUCCAGAAGAAUCGGCUGGUGUCCUCUCGUCAGCCUUCAAUGCUAACCCUGGCAGGAGCCAUGGUUCAUCCUUCGUACGGUAAACUGGAGAAACCUCCAUACACGUUUCAUCAUCAUGCAUGGCAGCGGAAUGUACUAGAUAUAGACCACAUCCACUACGCUGCAAUGGAUGGCUACCUUUGCUUCAAUAUCUACAAGGGUUGGAUGAAGAGCAACAGCCAAGUGUGCGGUUCAAGCAAAGAAGUAUCGGCCAAGAGGAAGAGGGACAAGGACGAAGUCGAGCACGUGGACGAGGACUCCGAGUAAGGUGGCAGUGUCGUUGCUCAUGGUGGUUCUAAUGCAGUGUCUACCAGAAUAGUUGCAAAGUUUAAUUUCAGGUGUGCUUAAUUUAAUUUGAGGGGUGUGUUGUGCUGAGCCCCCAGCAGAACUAUGUUAUGUUUCUUCUCGUUACUUUAACUCUUCGGUAUGUACAUACUAGUAUUUCUUACAUUUCAUCUUUUAGUUGGUAUAGUACUACCACUCGUUUCUUCACAUUAUAUACGUACAAUAUAUAUGGCCAACAUCAUAUAGCCAACAGUGCUUAGUUUUGUCAAAGAAUUCCAGGAUGUUUAGAGGGUGCUUGGAUCCAAGGGACUUAUUUUAGUCUGACUAAAAAUAGUCUCUUUAAGAGGCUAAAGUUCCAAGCACCCCUGACAAAAGAGGGGCUAAAACUAGUCUUGAGACUAAAAAAUUUUAGUCAGGGGUACCCCUACUAAAAUGUGGGUUGGUCCUCUCUCUACUCAUUUAACUCCUCUCCUUUAACACAGACGAAUUCUGGAUUGGAGGAUUUGGAGGAUAAUAAAUGCUCAUUAACUUGAUUUUAGCCUUUUUAGUAUUUGGAUCCAAGCAUGGGUGAGGCUAGGAUGUUUUAGUCCCACUACUUUUAGUCAUGGGACUAAAACGUAUCCAAGCACCCUCUUAGUUUUAUUUGAGGGGUGGGUUGUACUGGACACCAUUAUUGUGACUAGCCUUUUUAAUAGUAGUAUAUGCAUAAUUUGGCGACGAGCGCUCUCUAUAUGUACCACCUUUUUUUUAAUUUCAAGUUUUGCUCCAUGGCGCAAUCCAUCGAUACUACUGCUGUACAAAAGUAUACAUUUUUUAAAAGGCUAGAGGGCGGGGCAGUCUAGCUUGGUCGGUUUCAUGAGAGGCGAGGGCCUUUGUGAUUUGACGGCUCAUUACUGCUGGAAGGCGGGGCCUUGUGAUUUGACUGCUCGUAUAAAUGCGCCGACGACCUGAUCGAGGAGGAGCAAAGAACCGUGCGGUAUACUCAAGUUUUCCACUGGAGUAGUACUGCGAUGGAGGAGCACGAAACACGGCAGCCCAGUGUCAUAUGGCGAUAAAAAAUUGAUCUAAUUUGCUAGUCAUCUCAUUGUUAGCAUUGUUCUAUUCAUUCCCUCAAAAAAACCAUUGUUCUAUUCAUGCCUCGCAGAGAACGUGACAUGUGCGGCGAAAUACCCGAAGCAAAAGAUGAAACACAGGAGCAAAAGAAGAAGGAAGAUUAUCACCCCAAAUGAUCUAAUUCACCGCGGAGUCGUAACUGCUUCUUCAUCUCCUCCACGACCUCCAUCUCCUUGCGCAUCUCCUCCGCCAUCUUCUUCAUUCUGUCCAUGAUGCGAGAUUUCUCGAUGCGAGCCUUCAUCAUCUAUUCCACGGCCGCAUUACGUACCAUGACAGCAGCCGGGUGCUCGAUGCGAAGCUUCGCCAACUCCUCCUUCUGUUCCAUGAUGAGGGCCUACAUCAUCUUCAUGGAGAAACUACUAUUCUCAUGCAGCUUCUUCCAGCUGGCAUUCUUCUCUUUCAACAGGUCGAUCUCGUGGCAGAGCUUCGCCUUGUCCUCCUGAAGUCGCAGGAUUUUGCCAGUCGCCUUCUUCUCCGAGGCAAUGCUCUUCUUCAGCAGCAUCACCAAGCCAGCGGUCAACGCCCCCUACUAACUGAGCUCAGCGGGCAUGUCGUCGAGGCUCUCCUUCAGCAACUCCAUCAAGCCUUGGAUGAACUCCUUCUGCUUAUUGAGGUGCUUAUUGAGCUGAUCGGGCAUGCCGUCGAGGGAUAAAGACUCCAGCUCCGCGGCUAGGGCGCUCCUGGGAGCCAUCACCUGCCCGUGAGAGAUCUUUCGAGGUCUCUGCAUGGCGGCGAGCCCUCUUUUUUUCCGCAGCCUUUGUUGCUGCUCCCUUGUUACGAGUAGUUCUCGACCUAGAGCUCUGCUCACCGGCCAUGGCAAUGACGGAUGAAGAAGAAGCACUUAUGAGGAGGAAAGGUAGAGUAAUUUUCGGUUAGGUACUUCCCCUGUUUAUAACCUAAGUACUAGUACUACUACUAAUACAUGCAUAGUGGGAACACGUUCAGGUUUGGUACGUACUAGUAGGUGUGAGCAGGCUUUCGAAUGUGAUGGGAACAAGGAUUAAUUGAUGGUUUUGGUUUCAAGGCCCGAAACGGUUCCCGAUGAGUUUAGCAGAACAUAAAUUUCAAGUACUACACUGCUCAAAUGCGUAAAUAUUAUGUCACUGUCAAAAAUUGGCACAAAAUACGAAGGAGACCAAUGGAAGUACUACUAGCAACCCACGAUUUAACUACUCACAUGCGCGCAGUGGAGUAAUAAUGUCUUUCUUCCGCCCUCACGUCCACUCAAUUUGCAUGCGCUAUAUUAAUUGACCAUCAAUGAAGUGAACGACUUUACAUGCGUCAAAUUAUCACAUGGGGUGGAUCUUGGUACAAAAUUGCGUCCGCCCGUGUACCCGCAUGUGCGUGCGAGGGAAUGAGUGCGUGCACGGCGUGCAUGCACAUUUUCGCUUCAUGCAUGUACUGCCAGUAUGACUCAGGGAGGACGAGUACAUUCUUCUGGAACCAGCAGCACGUCACUGUGAUCAAUCCAUGCAAGGAGGUCGUGACAACACCUCCACAUGUGCCACGUGGCUUCAUGAACUGUAAGAGAGACACUGUGUAGCAUGCCAUUGGUAUUCUAAUUUACGUGUUUUGCACAUACUCGAAGUACUAGUAAGGUACACGUGCAUUGCACGCAUCAGAUUUUGCAACCAAAUUAUGAAUAAAUACCACACUAUAGCAUGUAAGCUCUGAGUCAUAUAUGCCUGAUGUAGCCCUUCGUUUAAUUCUUAUAUUUCAUCUCAUUCAAAAUCAAUUAGUUUUUAUAAAAAAGCUAAGAAUGCGGGAAUAGGAAAAACAUGGGAUUAUAGUGGAAUGUUGUCUUGAAUCCUACAGGAUUGUACGAGUGUUUGAUUGUGCAUAGAAAAAACGCAGAAUUCUUUCAAAGAGGAUUGAGUGGAUGGGAUGUUUCCUAUGAAAUCUAGUGCAAAUGAAUCAUAUGGAAAAAUUCCUAUGGUUUACAAUCCUACUAAUCAAACAACCAAGAUAGGAAAAAUUCCUAAUGAUUAGAAUCCUCCAAAAUUCCUUUGAUAAUCCUUUGAAUCAAAGAAGCCCUUAAUCUAUUUUAUGAUUCAUGGAAUUGUGCGUUGUAAAGCAUAAAGUAAAAACAAAUAAUGGCAAUUCAACUAGAAAAAAAGUUUGGGCAGUUAUGAUACGGAAGAUUCUAGAACAAAAGAGAACCACUGUUGUUUUGAGGUUUGUGAAUUAUGCUUAAGUUCAACCAUGGAGCCUGCUAGAUUGUACAUGUGGCAAAAUCUGGUCAGGGACUAGAAGAUGGUUUGAGGGGCCGAGUGGAGGGAGACUAUGAAGGAAUGCACAAGUGCGAGAUCGAUAUUUAGAGAUAGGGGGCGAACACGUGUGUUGUUGCACGCAGUGGUGGAGCCAUGAAAAAUAAAUGAGCUAGGGGGCCAAGCAUUGCUAAUUCUUUACGAGGAGGGUCAAUUCAUGAACUUAAACCAUUUUUAGCAGCAAUUGUCUAAUGAUCACAUUCAUAUUAGCCUCAAUAUAUAGUGAUGUUAGGGGGGAGGGGGUAGGGCCCUUACUGCCCCUGUCUUCGCCAUUGUGCACGCGUCUGAGAGAUGAAGCGGAAGGCAUGGAUGAUGAGAGGGGGCAUUGGAUAUAUAAUUAAUGUGGGUGUAUUAGCUAUAUAUGUUAAUCCUAUAUAGAGAGGUAUAGAUUGAUCGAUGUGGACGUGGGAAAGAGGGUGAGACCUCACUGGAUAUAUCGAUUGAUCGGUUUGUGUGGAAAACUAUGAAAGACCUAGCUAUAUACACACAUACAUAGAGGAACAUCGAUCAUUGCGCAUGCACGUGUGAGAGAUAAAGAAUGCCUGAUAUGAUGAAGAGGGGGGGAUUUGUGUGGGUGUGUGCCUUCAUGGGAGACCGACCUGAAUAAAAAGAUUGCAUGCGUGUGAUGGAUAAUGCCGACUGGUAGUGUGUGUGCAUGCAUGCACGAGAGAAAGUUAGUAGUACAAUUAUAAAGAGAAGACUACUGUGUGGGUGUAAAAGAAUAGGUGAGGUCAUAAUCAAUGUAAAGUUGAAUUCAAAUAUUUGAAUAAGAGAUCCUGAUGUUUGAAACCCAUGCAUGCAUGAAUAUAACGGAGAUCUGCGCGGUGUGGUUUGGAAACGAGCAGGUUGUAAUGUAUACACAUUAAACAAGGUCAGACUGAUUUGAAUUUGAGAUACUGAUGGCAGACAUCAUUUGGCCACGUCGCAUCCGUGCAUGGACACACUAUUCUAAUUGGAGAUGAUGGGCGGCUUUGGCAUCACAUAUCUAUAUCUAUACCCCUAUAUAUAUAUAUAUUAUUUUUUAUAUUUUUUAUAUUGUGUGCGGGUAACUUUAACUUUGAAAGAUGGUCGUUGGAUGAGGCGAAUCCGAUGGUCCAAAGAUGGCAAAUUUGAGCACUACUGGCUGUUGGAUAUCAUCUAGAUUCCACUAGAUUUCGCCACAUGUAUAAUCUAGAAGACUCCAUGGUUGAACUUAAGCAUAAUGCACAAACAUCAAAACACAAGCACUUCUUAUUUGUUCUAGAAUCUUCCGUAUCAGAAUUGCCCAAAUGUUUUUCUACAUGAUUUGCCAUUAUCUGUUUUUACUUUAUGUCUUACGACGCACAAUUCCAUGAAUCUUAAAAUAGAUUAGCUUUCUUAUAAAAACUAGAUGAUUUUGAAUGAAAUGAACUAUAAGAAUGAAACGAACAUCUACAUCAUGCAUAUAUGACUCAAAGCUUGCAUGCUAUAAUGUGGUAUUUAUUCAUAAUUUGGUUACCAAAUCUCAUGUAUACAAUGCACGUGUACCUUACUCUAGUCUAAAUGGUGUUUGUGUGUGUGUUGUGCGUGUUGAGGUGCAAAUUAUCUUUUUUUGGGUACAUGUUAAGCUUGUUCUUCUGAAAUUUCAAGCCACGCCUUGUUAUGCCGAAAAUUCAAGCUAGCGUCUAUGUCUAUCGUGCUGCGAAACUCCCUCCUUUUCAACCCGUGACUUGUUAGCCCGAAAUAUUUAAGAUAUAUCUUUGUCUCGUUGUGCUCCGACAACUCCCUCCAUCUCAACCCGCACCUUGCUAUUCCGAAAUGACAACGCGCGCGAAAACUCCCACCUCUUGUGAAAUCCCGACACGUGAAAUGCCCGUGGUACCCCUGAACCGAAAGAACCGCCUCAAAUCGGUGGGGGUACUUUCGUAACUUACCCCACAUUUCGGACGAGCGCGUCUCUAAGCCAUGGUUCCCCACUGCCAUCCCAUCCGCCCACCCAUUCAUACACCAAGGCCGCGAAAACCCGCGAUGAAACCCCACACCCUGCUCCGUCCACCACCCAGCCGGAGCCUCUUCCCCGACGACAUCGUCCACAACAACACCUCGACAUCCCUCAUCCAUCGUACCGGAUGAGGAUCCGUCGUCGAUCUCAUCGUCUCGCCGGUUCAGCCACCCCGUCCUCCACCUCCAAGGAGCUGCCCCGACGUUCUCCUCGUCUUUUGCGCCACCUCCAUUCCCACACCGCCAUCUUCACCUACACCACCGGAAGAGCAUCAUCAUCACCAUUUCCUUGGAUGAAGUUGCAGCCUAAUCGGCGCCACCAAAGAGGUUGUACACUAAUCGCCACAUUUUCUUCUUGAUUCGAUCUCACGGUGCUGCCGGCGCUCAGUCCCGAGCCAACACGGCGCGGCUCCAUCCACGGCGGCGUCGCCAGCCACUUCCUCCACGGUGUCGCUCGCUCGGCGGCGACGUCGACAUAAGUAGGAGUUGCUGCUGCUUUAGCUCUCGCUCGCGCUACUACUCUGCUCUUGCUCUCGGUCCCCUUCCUGGUCUGCUCUUGCUAUUGCUCUUGCUCGCGCUGUUGCUCUCGCUCUUGCUUGCGAUGCUGCUCCGAUUUAGCUAUUCUUCAGUCAACUGAAUCGACUUUUGGGUCAGUCGAUUUUCAGGGGGUGGGAGGGGCUCACCAGGGUGAAGGAAAGAACCAGCCACAGUGGGGAGGGAGGCUCGCCGGAGAGGUACCCCACUAUCUAUCUUAGGGUUCUGGAUGGGGGCGNNNNNNNNNNNNNNNNNNNNNNNNNNNNNNNNNNNNNNNNNNNNNNNNNNNNNNNNNNNNNNNNNNNNNNNNNNNNNNNNNNNNNNNNNNNNNNNNNNNNNNNNNNNNNNNNNNNNNNNNNNNNNNNNNNNNNNNNNNNNNNNNNNNNNNNNNNNNNNNNNNNNNNNNNNNNNNNNNNNNNNNNNNNNNNNNNNNNNNNNNNNNNNNNNNNNNNNNNNNNNNNNNNNNNNNNNNNNNNNNNNNNNNNNNNNNNNNNNNNNNNNNNNNNNNNNNNNNNNNNNNNNNNNNNNNNNNNNNNNNNNNNNNNNNNNNNNNNNNNNNNNNNNNNNNNNNNNNNNNNNNNNNNNNNNNNNCCGGCGGCGGGGAGUGUUUUCGGGGCGGGCGGGGCGGCACACUGCCGGCCGCGGGCGGUGGGGGGCUGCUGUUUGGCCGGUGGUGGCUGACGGCUCAGGGGGGUGGAGGUUGAAGAUGAACCAUAGGCCCUUCAUUUCAUAUCCAACGGUUGCAAAAUCGACUGACCAGAGAUGAAAAAGUCAGUCGACCGAGGUGUAGCCUCACCUUGCUAGUGCGUUCAGUUUCGACAGCAAAAUUCAAUUUCGACAGCAAAAUUCAGUUUCGACAGUUAAGUUCAGAGAUGAGCUGCUAAUGUAUUUUACAUCUAGCACUUUGUGGUUAUGUAUUUUACGUCAUAUAUUGGAGAUGCUAUUAGAAUUCUACUCAGGUUAACGUUGUUCGUUGUCUCUCUUGUCCUGCUUCAGCCUCGGCGUCGUACAACUCACCGGAGCUGCUCCAACAACGAAACCCUCCAUCACAGCGGAGCAGUACCUCGGGCUCCAUCUCCAGACGCCUAAGAUCUUCUUCCCCUCCUCCGACAGCCAAGUCAGCUGGAGCAUCCUCACCGGCCAACCCAAUCAUGCUGAGAUCGACAUGGCUUCGCCAAAGAGGUUGUACACUUGUUGCAUCUCUUUUUUACUCUACAUGUUAUAUAUAUUGUCCACUAAGCACUCGUAGUAAUGGGAAAUACGAUUAUUUUAUCCUACUAUAUGACAAGCAGUUCAAGAUGGGAAUGGGCCGGGUCGACCCGCUGGGUCGCUGACCCGGCCCAAAAUGUCAGGGCCAAUGGGCCAAGUGGGUUGGCCUCAAUUGAUAUAUGGGUCCGUGGAGUCAGCACCGUGCGGCCCGAUGGGUCAGAUGGGUCGACUCAGUCCCCCGAUCAUCUCUGCUGCCGCUGGCUGCCCCCUGUUGGCCUCAACUCGUCGUGUACUUUUUGACCUCAACUCGUCGUGUACUUUUUGACGAAAUCGACGAUGUGCUCAUGUGUAGAUGGAUUACUUGACCGGAAGACACGCACAUAAGAAGCUGACCAAACUGGAUCGAUUAUUGGAGAUGCCCCUGUACACACAAGCAGGCAGGUGGAUUGAUUUUUAUGUGAACGGCACCCCCGAGCAUCUCUGCUGCCGCCGGUGUUCGUCCCGCCGUCGAGCUCUUCAUCCUGGUCGCUUUCCUCUUCCUUCUCAACUUGCCCAGCUUGCCGUCCCGGUGGCCUUCCCGGUCUUCAGACUGUGCCAACUGAAUUCAUGGAUUUUCUCAUCUUAAUUUUGGGUUGGCCUCAUAUACCCAACGGGUCAGCGAGGCCAUAGUUUUUUGGUGAAAUGGGUCGACCCAUGGUCUCACAUACUGACCUUGGGGCCAGAGGGCCAGGUCCAAGGCCAGGUCCGGGUCGACCCAUUCCCAUCUUGACAAGCAGUGAGGUACCAGGCAACUUAGCUAUCCGUGAUGGACUCUCUUGAACGCCAUCAUUAUUUAUCUCUGCGCGUUUGAGCUGUGCAUUUGCCGAUGGGCCUGGGAGUUGAGCUAGUAUGGCAGUGGCCUGGGUCCAAAGUAAUAGAAGAAGCACAAAAACAUUUUUUUAGUGUAGGAUUUUCCUUGCUCAAGCCUGCCUACUAGAAUUGCCAGUGCUUGAAAGGAAAAGUGAAUGAAAAACAUAGGAAUUGGAAAGUUUCCUAUGGUACUACUUUUCAUGAAUUUGGUGCAAAGGAAUGGAGCAAAGGAAAACUGUAAGAUUUGUUCCUUUAGUGUCUCCUUGAAAGAAAAACCGUAGGAAUUCUAAUUUCCACUUCUCCUCCUUUUCAUAUUCCUAUUCAUCAAGCACAAGACUAAGAGAUAGUAGCAUAAUAGCAUUAUAACCAUACAUUUUCUUGUGGUUUGACUUAAUCUCACCAUGCUUUUUUGCAUCCUGUGAUCUUCCAAUUGUUGUGAAUCAAACAACCAGAUUGGCAGAAAUCCUGUGUUUUUAAAUUCUAUGUUUUGCACAUGCAUUCCUAUCCUAUUCCUGUCUAUUUCCUAUCCCUGCAUUGUUAGAAUCCUCAAAUUCAAAUAAGCCCUUACUCAAUUACUUCUGUUACAGAUAUGUGUCAAAUAAAACCUUGUGUGGUUUAUCCUGCUCCUGCGGUGCUGUGUUCCACCCCAGCUCAGCUGCUCCAACGAUGGAAGGGUUCACCACAGCAGGGAUCCGCUCUCCAAACUGUCUUUCGCCGCCUCAGAUCUUCUUCCCCGCCGCCAGCAGCCAUGGCAACUGCAUUACCAUCAUCAACUGAGCAGAUGACCUUGAGGACUACACGGGUCCGCAAGAGAGGUCGCACUCUUCCGUGUCUGCUUACAUUAUGUGUCGCUUAAUAUGAUGACAUGCUACAUUAUCGUCGUGUUCACCUAUUAGACUCUGAGUCAGGUCCAAACUAAUGCUGAAACUUGAGUUUUUAAAUGGUUGUGGGGUACAUAUUGGGGCAGCAAUCAGUACUAUCUGUCUACUAUCUGGUUAAUCUUCGGUGUCUACUAUGAGUUUCAUGUUGGGUGCAAACAAACAUUAAAGGAGCCAUUAUCUGUAUUUUUUAACUAAAGCUAUUAUCUGCCUGCUAUCAUUGGUUUUGGGUCUAUCCACAGUUUGCUACCAUCACUCUGGAUUUGUGCAUACACUCCUUACAUAAUCUCACUAUGUUUUAUUCCUAUGCAUGCCAGUUAUUGUACACAAUGGAACUUAUCAUGUAGAGCAAAAGAGACGAGCCUUGCGUGUCAAUAAAAUUUCAUGCAGACGUCGUUCCAUGGUGGGCGCAAAGGCAGCCCCCCUCCACCCAUUUCAGAUCAUAAUCAAGAGGAAGAUAACUGUUCUGAGGGGGAUUCAGAAGGAGAAGACCACUCCUAUUUACCCCAUGAGGUCUUCGCUCUAACUUGGCAUGCUGAUGUUGGUAAUAUCAUGCAUAUGGUGCCUUGCAUUGCUUACUGUAUACAUUAAAGAUGACAUCUGCUUAGUUUAGACAUGCUUUGUGUCAAUGCCAUCUUUUUAGUUUCUUUAUCGUAUAUGUGAAUCAUGCAAUGCCAUCUUGUCUAGCCAGGCAUCAUAUAUGUGAAUUUUGCAAUGCCACCCUAGUUAGCCAGUCAUCUUAUAUGUGAAUUAUAUCAUGCCAUCAUUUUUUAUUACGUGUUAAAUUUGUCAACAAUUUUAGUACAUUCAAUUACUCUUCCUGUGCAUCAGCCAUUCGGCACGGUCAUGGAAAAAUCUGGAGUGGAAACAAGGUCUUCAGAGCAGACAAUGCGAUCUGACGAAGCGCAUGUCUUGCUGGUUACCGAUAGCUCCUCAGAGGAAGUUUCAGAGACAGAUGACCAGUCAUAUUUCCCCCCGAGGUGCAUGCCCUAACUUGGCAGGGUUAUGUUGCUCAUAUCGUGCGUAUGGUAUCUUGCAUUGCUAUGUCAUUUGCUUAGUUUAGACAUGCUUUGUGUGAAUGCCACCUGUUUAGUGUCUAAUUACCAUAUAUGUGAAUUAUGCAAUGUCGUCUUGUUGCAAGACAUUAUAUAUGUGAAUUAUGCAAUGUUAUCUUGUUGCAAGGCACUAUGUAUGUGAAUUAUGCAAUGCCAUGCUGUUUAGGCAAGCGUCAUAUAUGUGAAUUAUAUCAUGCCGUCCUUUUUUGUAUUUCUCAUUGCUUUUGUCGACAAUGUUUGUAUAUUCAACUGCUCUUCCUAUGCAUCAGCCAUUUGAAUUGGUGAUGGAGAAAUCUGGAGUGAAAACAAGGUCUUCAGAGAAGACAAUGCUACCUGCUAAAGCAGAUAUCUUGCUGGUUACAGAUAACUCUUCAGAGGAGGAUUCAGAGGCAGAUGACCAGUCCUAUUAUCCCCCUGAGGUGUAUGCUCAAACUUGGCAGGGUUAUAUUACUCAUAUAAUGCAUAUGUUGUAUUGCAAUGCUUAGUUUUUACAUCAUAUACACAAUAUUGAAUGCCAUCUCCUUAGUUGACAUAUCAUAUAUGUGAUUGCCCUCUGCUCACUUCCUUAGUAUAUAAAUCAUAUAUGUGAAUUAUGUCAUGCCGUGAUGUUUACAUAGACAGCAUGUAUCUGAAUUAUGGCAUGCCAACCCAUUUUCUAAAGACAUAAUAUAGUUAUAUCAUCUCAUCAUGUUUACAUAGUCAUCAUAAUUUAAAUUAUGUCAUUCUAUCCAUGAAUUAUAUCAUGCCAUCAUGUUUCCAUCGACGGCAUGUUUGUGAUUUAUGGCAUGCCAACCACUUUAAUAGACACAUCAUAUAGUUAUAUCAUGUCACCCUGUUUACAUAGUCAUCAUAUUUUGAAGUAUGUCAUUCUAUCCUGUUUAGUUAGCCAUCACAUGUGAAAUUGUGUCAUGCUAUCCUGUUUAAUUAGCCAUCAUAUAUGUGAAAUUAUGUCCUGCUAUUCUGUUUGCCUAGACAACAUAAAUGUGAAUUAUUUCAUGCCCUGUUUUCUUCCCUACUAUCCGUUGCACCUGUCUAUCUUACAAUGUCUGUACAUUCAAUUACUUUUCUUGUUUAUCAGCCAUUUCAAUUGGAGGGAGUGAUGGCAGUAUCUGUGGGAGUAAAAACACGGUCUUCAGAAAAGAUCGUGCUACCUGUCGAUGCAGAUAGAACCACGGUUGUACUUGCCCAAGAACCAGCCCCACCACACAUAACCCACACUCAUGCAGAUUGUACCCCUACCCAGUUGGACAGAGAACCAGCUACACCCUUCUAACCCCAACCCCAGCAGAUAGACACCCAGUUCCCGUUGACACAGCACCGUCUCCACCACAGAGCACCCAAACACGAGCAGUUAGCAAGGCAACUGUAGUGCCCAAAUCACGAGGACCACCACUCCGAACCCGAAGUCAACGCUUAAAGCAGAAGAAGAAUUGUUCUGAGGUCAGGUUCCGUAGCUAUGGUUCAUACUACUUUGCUCUUGCAUCACUGUAUUUACUGAUACCAACUAAUUUCAAAUUUGAAGGAUGCAAUUAAAACUCCAAUGGCGCAACAGGUAUGUUUUAAACUUGUUUCUUCAACGUGUUUGGCUGUUUGCUGUUGUAACUUGCUCUAUAUUGAUUUCGGUUUCAAUUGAAUAAACAGUUAUGUUCUCAUGCCAUGCACAUUACAAGUGUUGUUAUUGCUAUGUAGUUUCCCACACUUAUAUUCUGUCUAUGCUGCUUUGUCUUAAAUAGGUAUGAUUCGAACUGUAUCUAUCUUGAUUUGGCAACAUAAACUAGAAUGAUAUAGACCAUAUAGUGACCAUACUACAUAGAUAUAUGUUUGUUUCAUGCUGUUAUCCUGUCCACCUUACUACUGAACUGGUUUACCAAAAUGAGUUUCAUAUACUACAUUGUAAACCUGAGAUGUGUUUGUUUGUUUCUCUUUUAGAACGCGGAUAAAAUAUUGGAGAAGAGUACCUUGUUAUGCAAUGGUAAAGGAAGUAAUGCAGAUAAGGUUCAAGAUAGUGAGACAUCCCUGUUGGUCUCCAAGAAAGCUGAUAAAAACUAUAUUGAAGACACUGAGACAACCCCAAAGUCCUGUCUUGAUGUAGUGUUCGAGUUACUAGCUACCACUGCUAGCACCAGCUCUUCGAACUCGUUGCCUAAAUCAGUUCGGCUUCUUGAGUCUCAACUUCAAGUUGAAAGACAUCGAUCAGAUGUUAUGCGACAGGAAGCCGAAGGACUGAGGAAGUCCCUGCAUAAUUCAGAUGCAUACUUUCUAGUGCAACAGCAAGCGCUGGAGGACUUAAGCGCGAAACAAAAGAAAGUUAAUAAGCUUGCUAUGCAUCUUGCCAGCAUUAUGGGUACCCAGGAUAUUGUUUCUUGAGCUCUUCUGAAGUGGUUUCAGUUCUAGACUUAUUUUGCUGCGGCAUUUAUAUGCUAUUGUGUUCCCUAUAUUUGCACUGGUGGCGAAGUUUGAUGCCCAGUGGAUGUAAUAUGUGUAAUAGCUAUGAUAGCCUAGUGUAAGUUGCUUGCUUAUUUAUUUCCUUGUUGUCUUGUUUAUUUGUUUGCUUGUAGUCAGUGCAGUUCUUUUUCUGUGGUUUGCUAGUGGCUGCAAUAACCUAUUUUUUAAAACUAUGCCAAAAUAACCAUGGGCUAAUAUUUACUGUAGUGACACUGGGCCUUCUACGGGCCAUAGAAACAGUGGGCCUUCUACGGGCCGUAGAAACGAUGCGCCUUCUACGGGCCGUAUCAUCAAUGGGCCUUAUACGGGCUGUAUGAUCGAUUGGCCAAACAUGGGCCAAAUAGCCCGCAUUCUGGCCGUAAACGGGCUAGAGUUGGAAUCGUCCGUUCAUGGGCUGACCAUAACGGGCCAUCGUUAAUAGGCCGUACUUGAUGACGCUAUGAAAAUGGCCCAACGUAUUAACGGACCACAAACGGGCCGACUGUAACCAUGGGCUGAAUUUGUCCCAUAAGCAGAAAAUGACAGUAAUGGGCCGUAAGUAAAAGAAUGCUAGAAAAUAGCCCAAGAAUAAAUGGGCUCUCAUAAGGCUGAAAGAUAACAUGGGCUGGAAACAGCCCAAUGGAAUAACGGGUCGUUAAUGGGUAUAAAGUGAUACACUGUUCUUUACGGGCCAGUUUCACCACGGGCCGUUAAUGGGUGUAAAGUGAUACACUGUUCAUUAUGGGCCAGUUUCACCACGGGCCGUUAAUAGGCCAAGAGUUACAUAGGGCCUCAUAUGGGCCAAAAGACGUCAUGGGCCAUACAUGGGCCAGAAGUGAAAACUAUUGGGGAACGUAGUAAUUUCAAAAAAAUUCCUACGCACACGCAGGAUCAUGGUGAUGCAUAGCAACGAGAGGGGAGAGUGUUGUCUACGUACCCUCGUAGACCGUUCAUGCAAGCGUUAUAUCAACGCGGUUGAUGUAGUCGUACGUCUUCACGAUCCGACCGAUCCAAGUACCGAAAGCACGACACCUCCGAGUUCUGCACACGUUCGGCUCGGUGAUGUCCUCGCCUUCUCGAUCCAGCAAGAGGGGCGAAGUAGUAGAUGAGUUCUGGCAGCACGAUGGCGUGGUGACGGUGUUGGUGAAGAACAAUCUCCGCAGGGCUUCGCCUAAGCACUACGAAUACUAUGACGGAGGAUAAACUAGAGGGGACGGGGUUGCCGGCACACGGCUUGGUGUUUCUUGAUGUGUCUUUGGUGCUAGCCCUCUGCCCCUCUAUUUAUAUGUUGAGCCCCGGGGUCGAAACUUGGAGCAAAAGCCUCCUCAGUCGGUUUUGCCCGAAAGGCAAGAGUCCCACUCGGACUCCAGGACCAAAUGCCACAAUCCUUGGCGUCUGGCCCAGACGCCAUGGGCCUCGGCGUUUGGCCCCCUGGCCUCCGCAAAACUCCUUUUGCACGAACUUAUAGCCCCAUGGGCCUGACCCCUUGGCCUAACCAUAUCAUCCAAUAUAUGAAUCUUUACCCCCGGAUCAUUCCGGAGCUCCUCGUCAUGUCGAUGAUCUCAUCCGGGACUCCGAACAACAUUCGGUCACCAACAUACAUAACUCAUAAGUAUUAUAUCAUCAACGAACGUUAAGCGUGAGGACCCUACGGGUUCGAGAACUAUGUAGACAUGACCGAGACACUUCUCUGGUCAAUAACCAAUAGUGGAACCUGGAUACCCAUAUUGGCUCCUACAUAUUUCGACGAAGAUUUUUAUCGGUCAAACCGCAUAACAACAUAGAUUUGUUCCCUUUGUCAUCAGUAUGUUACUUGCCCGAGAUUCGAUCGUCGAUAUCUCAAUACCUAGUUCAAUCUCGUUACCGGCAAGUCUCUUUACUCGUUCCAUAAUACAUCAUCCCGCAACUAACUCAUUAGUUACAAUGCUUGCAAGGCUUAUAGUGAUGUGCAUUACCGAGUGGGCCCAGAGAUACCUCUCCGACAAUUGGAGUGACAAAUCCUAAUCUUGAAAUACGCCAACCCAACAAGUACCUUCGGAGACACCUAUAGAGCACCUUUAUAAUCACCCAGUUACGUUGUGAUGUUUGGUAGCACACAAAGUGUUCCUCCGGUAAACGGGAGUUGCAUAAUCUAGUCAUAGGAACAUGUAUAAGUCAUGAAGAAAGCAAUAGCAACAAACUAAACGAUCAAGUGCUAAGCUAACGGAAUGGGUCAAGUCAAUCACAUCAUUCUCCUAAUGAUGUGAUCUCGUUAAUCAAAUGACAACUCAUGUCUAUGGUUAGGAAACUUAACCAUCUUUGAUGAACGAGCUAGUCAAGUAGAGGCAUACUAGUGACACUAUGUUUGUCUAUGUAUUCACACAUGUAUUAUGUUUCCCGUUAAUACAAUUCUAGCAUGAAUAAUAAACAUUUAUCAUGAAAUAAGGAAAUAAAUAAUAACUUUAUUAUUGCCUCUAGGGCAUAUUUCCUUCAGUCUCCCACUUGCACUAGAGUCAACAAUCUAGUUCACAUCACCAUGUGAUUAACACCCAUAGUUCACAUCGUCAUGUGACCAACACCCAAAGGGUUUACUAGAGUCAAUAAUCUAGUUCACAUCGCUAUGUGAUUAACACCCAAAGAGUACUAAGGUGUGAUCAUGUUUUGCUUGUGAGAGAAGUUUAGUUUACGGGUCUGCCACAUUCAGAUCUGUAUGUAUUUUGCAAAUUUCUAUGUCAACAAUGCUCUGCACGGAGCUACUCUAGCUAAUUGCUCCCACUUUCAAUAUGUAUCUAGAUUGAUACUUAGAGUCAUCUCGAUCAAUGUCAAAAUUUGCAUCGAUGUAACCCUUUACUACGAACCUUUUUGUCACCUCCAUAAUCGAGAAACAUAUCCUUAUUCAACUAAGGAUAAUUUUGACAAUUGUCCAGUGAUCUACUCCUAGAUCACUAUUGUACUCCCUUGCCAAAAACAGUGUAGGGUAUACAAUCGAUCUAGUACAUAGCAUGGCAUAUUUUAUAGAACCUAUGGCCAAGGCAUAGGGAAUUACUUUCAUUCUCUUUCUAUCUUCUAUCAUUGUCGGGAUUUGAGUCUUACUCAGUUUCACACCUUGUAACACAGGCAAGAACUCUUUCUUUGACUGUUCCAUUUUGAACUACUUCAAAAUCUUGUCAAGGUAUGUACUCAUUGAAAAACUUAUCAAGCGUCUUGAUCUAUCUCUAUAGAUCUUGAUGCUCAAUAUGUAAACAACUUCACCGAGGUCUUUCUUUGAAAAAACUCCUUUCAAACACUCCUUUAUGCUUUGCAGAAUAAUUCUACAUUAUCUCAGAUCAACAAUAUGUCAUUCACAUAUACUUAUCAUAAAUGUUGUAGUGCUUCCACUCACUUUCUUGUAAAUACAGGCUUCACCGCAAGUCUGUAUAAAACUAUAUGCUUUGAUCAACUUAUCAAAGCGUAUAUUCCAACUCUGAGAUGCUUGCACCAGUCCAUAGAUGGAUCGCUGGAGCUUGCAUAUUUUGUUAGCACCUUUAGGAUUGAAAAAACCUUCUGGUUGCAUCAUAUACAACUCUUCUUUAAUAAAUCCAUUAAGGAAUGCAGUUUUGUUUAUCCAUUUGCCAGAUUUCAUAAAAUGCGGCAAUUGCUAACAUGAUUCGGACAGACUUAAGCAUAGAUACGAGUGAGAAACUCCCAUCGUAGUCAACACCUUGAACUUGUCGAAAACCUUUUAUGACAAUUCUAGCUGUGUAGAUAGUAACACUACUAUCAGCGUCGGUCUUCCUCUUGAAGAUCCAUUUAAUCUCAAUGGCUCGCCAAUCAAUGGGCAAGUCAAUCAAGGUCCAUACUUUGUUCUCAUACAUGGAUCUCAUCUCAGAUUUCAUGGCCUCAAGCCAUUUCGCGGAAUCUGGGCUCAUCAUCGCUUCCUCAUAGUUCGUAGGUUCGUCAUGGUCAAGUAACAUGACCUCCAGAACAGGAUUACCGUACCACUCUGGUGCAGAUCUCACUUUGGUUUACCUACAAGGUUCGGUAGUAACUUGAUCUGAAGUUACAUGAUCAUCAUCAUUAGCUUCCUCACUAAUUGGUGUAGUAGUCACAGGAACAGAUUUCUGUGAUGAACUACUUUCCAAUAAGGGAGCAGGUACAGUUACCUCAUCAAGUUCUACUUUCCUCUCACUCACUUCUUUCGAAAGAAACUCCUUCUCUAUAAAGGAUCCAUUCUCAGCAAUGAAUAUCUUGCCUUCAGAUCUAUGAUAGAAGGUGUACCCAACAUUUUCUUUUGGGUAUCCUAUGAAGACGCACUUCUCCGAUUUGGGUUUGAGCUUAUUAGGUUGAAACUUUUUCACAUAAGCAUUGCAACCUCAAACUUUAAGAAACGACAGCUUAGGUUUCUUGCCAAACCAUACUUCAUACGGUGUCGUCUCAACGGAUUUAGAUGGUGCCCUAUUUAACGUGAAUGUAGCUGUCUCUAAUGCAUAACCCCAAAACGAUAGUGGUAAAUCGAUAAGAGACAUCAUAGAUCGCACCAUAUCUAAUAAAGUAUGGUUACGAUGUUCGGACACACCAUUACACUGUGGUGUUUCAUGUGGCGUGAGUAGUGAAACUAUUUCACAUUGUUUUAACUGAAGGCCAAACUCAUAACUCAAAUAUUUUACUUCUGCGAUCAUAUCGUAGAAACUUUUAUUUUUGUUAUGAUGAUUCUCCACUUCACUCUGAAAUUCUUUGAACUUUUCAAAUGUUUCAGACUUGUGUUUUAUCAAGUAGAUAUACUCAUAUCUGCUCAAAUCAUCUGUGAAGAUCAGAAAAUAAUGGUACCUGCCGCGAGCCUCAAUAUUCAUCGGACCACAUACAUCAGUAUGUAUGAUUUCCAACAAAUCUGUUGCUCGCUCCAUUGUUCCGAGAACAGAGUCUUAGUCAUCUUGCCCAUGAGGCAUGGUUCGCAAGCAUCAACUGAUUCAUAAUCAAGUGAUUCCAAAAGCCCAUCAGCAUGGAUUUUCUUCAUGCGCUUUACACCAAUAUGACCUAAACGGCAGUGCCACAAAUAAGUUGCACUAUCAUUAUUAACUUUGCAUCUUUUGGUUUCAAUAUUAUGAAAAUGUGUAUUACCAUGAUUGAGAUCCAACAAACCAUUUUCAUUGGGUGUAUGGCCAUAGAAGGUUUUAUUCAUGCAAACAGAACAACAAUUAUUCUCUAACUUACAUGAAUAACCGUAUUGCAAUAAACAUGAUCCAAUCAUAUUCAUGCUCAACGCAAACACUAAAUAACAUUUAUUUUAGGUUUAACACUAAUCCCAAAAGUAUAGCGAGUGUGCGAUGAUGAUCAUAUCAAUCUUGGAACCAUUUCCAAUACACAAUGUCACUUCACCCUUAACUAGUCUAUGUUCAUUCUGCAACUCCCGUUUCGAGUUACUAUUCUUAGCAACUGAACCAGUAUCAAAUACUGAGGGGUUGUUAUAAACACUAGUAAAGUACACAUCAAUAACAUGUAUAUCGAAUAUAGCUUUGUUCGCUUUGCCAUCCUUCUUAUCCACCAAAUACUUGGGGUAGUUCCGCUUCCAGUGACCAGUCCCUUUGUAGUAGAAGCACUUAGUUUCAGGCUUAGGUCCAGACUUGGGCUUCUUCUUGAGCAGCAACUUGCUUGCCGUUCUUCUUGAAGUUCCCCUUUCUUCCCUUUGUCCUUUUACUUGAAACUAGUGGUCUUGUUAAACAUCAACACUUGGUGCUCUUUCUUGAUUUCUACUUUCGUCGAUUUCAGCAUUGUGAAGAGCUCAGGAAUUACUUUCGUCAUCCCUUGCAUAUUAUAGUUCAUCACGAAGUUCUAGUAACUUGGUGAUAGUGACUAGAGAAUUCUAUCAAUUACUAUCUUAUCUAGAAGAUUAACUCCCACUUGAUUCAAGCAAUUGUAGUACCCAAACAAUCUGAACACAUGCUCACUGGUUGAGCUAUUCUCCUCCAUCUUGUAGGCAAAGUACUGUCAGAGGUCUCAUACCUCUCGACACGGGCAUGAGUAUGAAAUACCAAUUUCAACUCUUGGAACAUAUUAUAUGCUCUGUGGCGUUCAAAACAUUUUUGAAGUCCCGGUUCUAAGCCGUAAAGCAUGGUGCACUUAACUAUCAAGUAGUCAUCAUACCGAGUUUUUGUCAAAACGUUCAUAACGUCUGCAUCUGCUCUUGCAAUAGGUUUGUGACCUAGCAGUGCAUCAAGGACAUAAGUCUUCUGUGCAGCAAUGAGGAUAAACCUCAGAUCACGGAUCCAAUCCGCAUCAUUGCCUCUAACAUCUUUCAACUUAGUUUUCUCUAGGAACAUAUCAAAAAUAAAAUAAGGGAGCUAAACGCGAGCUAUUGAUCUACAACAUAGAUAUGCUAAUACUACCAGGACUAAGUUCAUGAUAAAUUUAAGUUCAAUUAAUCAUAUUACUUAAGAACUCCCACUUAGAUAGACAUCUCUCUAAUCCUCUAAGUGAUCACGUGAUCCAUAUCAACUAAACCAUGUCCGAUCAUCACGUGAGAUGGAGUAGUUUCAAUUGUGAACAUCACUAUGUUGAUCAUAUCUACUAUAUGAUUCAUGCUCGACCUUUCGGUCUCAGUGUUUCGAGGCCAUAUCUGUUAUAUGCUAGGCUCGUCAAGUUUAACCUGAGUAUUCUGCGUGUGCAACUGUUUUGCACCCGUUAUAUUUGAACAUAGAGCCUAUCACACCCAAUCAUCACGUGGUGUCUCAGCACGAAGAACUUUCACAACGGUGCAUACUCAGGGAGAACACUUAUACCUUGAUAAUUUAGUGAGAGAUCAUCUUAUAAUGCUACCGUCAAUCAAAGCAAGAUAAGAUGCAUAAAAGAUAAACAUCACAUGCAAUCAAUAUAAGUGAUAUGAUAUGGCCAUCAUCAUCUUGUGCUUGUGUCUCCAUCUCCGAAGCACCGUCAUGAUCACCAUCAUCACCGGCGCGACACCUUGAUCUCCAUCGUAGCAUCGUUGUCGUAUCGCCAACUUAUGCUUCUACGACUAUUGCUACCGCUUAGUGAUAAAGUAAAGCAUUACAGGGCAUUUGCAUUGCAUACAAUAAAGCGACAACCAUAUGGCUCCUGCCAGUUGCCGAUAACUCGGUUACAAAACAUGAUCAUCUCAUACAAUAAAAUUUAGCAUCAUGCCUUGACCAUAUCACAUCACAACAUGCCCUGCAAAACAAGUUAGACGUCCUCUACUUUGUUGUUGCAAGUUUUACGUGGCUUCUACGGGCUGAGCAAGAACCAUUCUUACGUACGCAUCAAAACCACAACGAUAGUUCGUCAAGUUAGUGUUGUUUUAACCUUCUCAAGGACAGGGUGUAGCCACACUUGGUUCAACUAAAGUUGGAGAAACUGACACCAGCCAGCCACCUAUGUGCAAAGCACGUCAGUAGAACUAGUCUCGCGUAAGCGUACGCGUAAUGUCGGUCCGGGCCGCUUCAUCCAACAAUACCGCCGAACCAAAGUGUGACAUGCUGGUAAGCAGUAUGACUUGUAUCGCCCACAACUCACUUGUGCUCUACUCAUGCAUAUAACAUCUACGCAGAAAACCUGGCUCGGAUGCCAUUGUUGGGGAACGUAGCAAUUACAAAAAAAUUCCUACGCACACGCAGGAUCAUGGUGUUGCAUAGCAACGAGAGGGGAGAGUGUUGUCUACGUACCCUUAUAGACCGUUCGUGGAAGCGUUAUAUCAACGCGGUUGAUGUAGUCGUACGUCUUCACGAUCCAACCGAUCCAAGUAUCGAAAGCAUGACACCUCCGAGUUCUGCACAUGUUCGGCUCGGUGACGUCCUCGCCUUCUCGAUCCAGCAAGAGGGGCGAAGUAGUAGAUAAGUUCUGGCAGCAUGAUGGCGUGGUGAUGGUGUUGGUGAAGAACAAUCUCCGCACGGCUUCGCCUAAGCACUACGAAUACUAUGACGGAGGAUAAACUAGAGGGGACGAGGUUACCGGCACACGGCUUGGAGUUUCUUGAUGUGUCUUUGGUGCUAGCCCUGUGCCCCUCUAUUUAUAUGUUGAGCCCCGGGGUUGAAACUUGGAGCAAAAGCCUCCUCAAAGUCGGUUUUGCCUGAAAGGCAAGAGUCCCACUCGGACUCCAGGACCAAACGCCACAAUCCUUGGCGUCUGGCCCAGACGCCAUGGGCCUCGGCGUCUGGCCCAGGGCCAGACGCCAGGGUCUCCGACGUUUGUCCCCCUGGCCUCCGCAAAACUCCUUUUGCACCAACUUAUAGCCCCAUGGGCCUGACCCCUUGGCCUAACUUAUAGCCCCGUGGGCCUUUACCUCCGGAUCAUUCCGGAGCUCCUCGUCAUGUCCGUGAUCUCAUCCGGGACUCUGAACAACAUUCGGUCACCAACAUACAUAACUCAUAAGUACUAUAUCAUCAACGAACAUUAAGCGUGCGGACCCUACGGGUUCGAGAACUAUGUAGACAUGACCGAGACACUUCUCUGGUCAAUAACCAAUAGCGGAACCUGGAUGCCCAUAUUGGCUCCUAUAUAUUCUACGAAGAUUUUUAUCGGUCAAACCGCAUAACAACAUAGAUUUGUUCCCUUUGUCAUCGGUAUGUUACUUGCCCGAGAUUCGAUCGUCGGUAUCUCAAUACCUAGUUCAAUCUCGUUACCUGCAAGUCUCUUUACUCGUUCUGUAAUACAUCAUCCUGCAACUAACUCAUUAGUUACAAUGCUUGCAAGGCUUAUAAUGAUGUGCAUUACCGAGUGGGCCCAGAGAUACCUCUCCGACAAUUGGAGUGACAAAUCCUAAUCUCGAAAUACGCCAACCCAACAAGUACCUUCGGAGACACCUGUAGAGCACCUUUAUAAUCACCCAGUUACGUUGUGACGUUUGGUAGCACACAAAGUGUUCCUCCGGUAAACGGGAGUUGCAUAAUCUCAUAGUCAUCGGAACAUGUAUAAGUCAUGAAGAAAGCAAUAGCAACAAACUAAAUGAUCAAGUGCUAAGCUAACAGAAUGGGUCAAGUUAAUCACAUCAUUCUCCUAAUGAUGUGAUCUCUUUAAUCAAAUGACAACUCAUGUCUAUGGUUAGGGAACUUAACCAUCUUUGAUGAACGAGCUAGUCAAGUAGAGGCAUACUAGUGACACUAUGUUUGUCUAUGUAUUCACACAUGUAUUAUGUUUCCGGUUAAUACAAUUCUAGCAUGAAUAAUAAACAUUUAUCAUGAAAUAAGGAAAUAAAUAAUAACUUUAUUAUUGCCUCUAGGGCAUAUUUCCUUCAAAAACAGGCUGGAAUCAUAUUGGAUGGCCCAGAUGACGCUACUGGGCCUAAUUCGAAUACAGCGUAACGGGCCUUGGGUUAGCGGGCUGUAAAUGGGCUAUAUGCGAAUAGGCCGUUAACAGGCUUUCCAUGGGCUGGCCCGCCACCUUUUGACCAAGUCAAACUGGCUGUUCUUUUCACAGGAAUGGGCCUUUGUUGGGUCGUGCCACGUGUCGACGUAUCAUAGGCGCCUUCUGUCCAAUGAGUGGAUGACAUUUGUCCCAGCGAUGAGCCGACACGUGUUUCCUCUAGCCAAUGAUGAUUUUACACGUGGAAAAUCCCCAUUGGUCGAGGCUGUUAACAGGUUAUCGGAUCCAAAACCCGACCCGGUAGCUUAACGGCGUUCUGUUACGGUGGAUGCCACGUGUCGGUCACCCUUGACGAAAGCACUUCUGUGACGCGCGAUUUAUCGUCAUGGAAGUGGACACUUCCGUGAUGAUAAUUUUGGUAAUGUCAUGGAACACUUCUAUGAUGGCACAGGCAUGACUAUCUUGAUUCUGUCAUAAAUUUGUCAUGGAUGUACAUGCAUGACAGAAAACGUGACCUGCUGUGACAAACACGUAUCAUCACAGAAGUGUAUUUUUUAGUGACCCUCUUUCGAGCAUAUUCUAUUGCUUGAAGUAACUUAUCUUCGGCUCCUUUAAGACUUGUCUUCUUCGAAACCUGGCAUGUCUUCAGGUNNNNNNNNNNNNNNNNNNNNNNNNNNNNNNNNNNNNNNNNNNNNNNNNNNNNNNNNNNNNNNNNNNNNNNNNNNNNNNNNNNNNNNNNNNNNNNNNNNNNNNNNNNNNNNNNNNNNNNNNNNNNNNNNNNNNNNNNNNNNNNNNNNNNNNNNNNNNNNNNNNNNNNNNNNNNNNNNNNNNNNNNNNNNNNNNNNNNNNNNNNNNNNNNNNNNNNNNNNNNNNNNNNNNNNNCGCAUAGAACCAAGUUCUGCACCUGGGGGCCAGCUCUUAGUAACUGGAGUGACCUCUGCAUCCAGAAUCUCUUGCUCAGACUUAUCCCACUUAGGCAUUGCCACCGUGUAGCCACCUGGCCCCAGCCUAUGGAACUGCUCCUUUUUGCGGCAUUGGCCUUGUUUUUUCUCGACCGUUCCUUAGAAAAUUCUGAUUCCUUGAAUUUCAUGAAAGCGGGCCAGUGUUCUCUUUGCUUCUCCAGUGUUCCCAUGAAUUCUGGAGUCUUCUUUCUAACUUCGACGUACUUGGUCCAUAUUUUUUUCUUGUGGGUGUUGAAUGCAAUUGCCAUCUUCCUAAGAGCAGCGUCCUUGACUUUCUCCACAUCUGCAUCAGUGAAUUGGUCUGGUAGGGUGAAAUGUUCCAUGAGAGAUUCCCAAAGCGUUGAUUUUGCUCUGUCGUUGACCCAAGUAAGAUCUGGACAUUUCUUUGUUGGCUCUUUCCAUUCUUGAAUGGAGAUCAGGAGUUGGUCCCUCACAAGAACUCCACACUGACGAAUGAACGUGUUCGCAAUGUUCUUAGGCGCGCUAGGUUCGCCAUUAGCUUUGAUGGAAUCGAUGUUGUACUUUACGCCCUCCUUCAACUUUUUGCCUGGGCCUCGCACUGUCCUGCUACCUGUAGAAGAUUUUCUCGACCCGGAGGGCUAAAAGAAGAAAGAUCGAUUCGUUAAUAUAUCUUCAAAUCAUUAAAAACAUGUGAUGAUCACCAUAUGCCUGCUUAUAUAAAUAUAGCUCGGCGGUCUCUGUUAUUUCAAGAUCAUCAUUUUCGGUGUCAUCAUCAUCAUAGUUAAUGACUUCAUCAAUUCGGUCGUCGCGAUCGAAUAUCAUAUCAUCACCCUCCCCGGUGUUGUUCAGAUAUUGGGAGCCGUCAUCAUCUUCAUUCUGAUCAUCUGGCCCACGAGGGGAGCGUAUGAUCUCGAACAGGACCUCUUCUCCCUCUCUGCCGAUAUUGUCCGCCAUAGCUUUUAUUUAACUAAUCCAGAAGAAAUAUAAAACAAUUUAGUAUCUAAAUUACAAUGCAUGCAUGCAAUCAAUAAGUAAAAACUGAAUCAUAGUACAUAAUCUUGUACAUUGUCUCGAAUAAUAUAUAUAAUCUCGAAUACAUCAUCUUGAAUAUUAUAUAUCAAAUACAUCACUAGCUAGCUAGCUAAUAAAGAUCGAAUACUACAGAAGAAUCUAGGCCACUCGCGGUUCCUGAGGCGCGGGCGGUGGACAUCCAAAGAGAAAGAACCAUCACAAGAUCAUAGCUCCGAUCAUCUCCCCAAAGAACCUGCCAGGCAGUGGAGAACCUGACGUCCAUAGCAGCCAUGUAGCGAUGGACGUGCUCGUCCUCCUCCCUGACUUGGCGACGCACCACCUCCGGCGGGGCCGGCUCCCUCUACACCGAACGUGGCCCACGCGAACGUCACCAAAGGAGCUCAAGGUCGACGACGGGACCCGGGGCUGGGUUCCUCACCAUGCGGCGAGCCCCUGAAGGUAGCACCUCCCAGUGCCAGCCUGGCAGAGCCCAGUCCCGGACAUGGGUCCUCUAAACCAGGACGUCGUCGCGAACGGGUUGACGGAGAGGAUGCGGGCCGAGCAUCAUUGACGUCGAUAGCAAAUUCUUAUGAAAAAAAUUCCUAUAUAUGCAAUGUCAUUUUAUUAGGAAAUUUUGAGCAACUUUUUCCUAUGCAACUUCUCCUAGUCCUUCGUCUAACAAAUAUAUAUAUAUGGUCAACUUUUUCCUAUGCAACUUUUUUAUGUGCAAUUUUUUUCUAUACUAGGAUAUGCAACAGAAAAACUAAUUAAGCAUCUAACACUAAAAACAGAAAAGCAACUUCUAUAUAUCCAUUAAAAAUAGAAAAACAACAUUAUAUAAAAAUAAUCCAUACUAAUUAAACACUAAUUAUAUCCAUCUAACAUGCAUUCAUACAUAUAUAUACUAGUGAAAAAAUAAUAAUCUAAAACAUCUAAACUAAUUAAACAUACAAAAAUACAUAUAUACUAAUUAACUUAAGAAAAUGUGUAUGUGUGUGUGUUCAUCAUGCAAGUGUGUGUGUGGGCUCGGGGAGGGGCGGCCAUGGUGGCCGGGGGCAAGGGAGAGGGAGGAGAGCUCACAGCGGGGCGACGACAAUGGCGAGGCGAGACGACGGGGGUGGAGACGGGGGGCGGCGACGUGUCGGGGGGCAACGGGGGUGGCGACGCGGGGACGGGCCGAGGGCGGCGAUGGAGACGGGGGCGGCAACGGAAACGGCGCGCGUCGGGGGAAGCGACGGUGUCGAUCGAGCGGGGCAGGCAGUGCGUCGUCGAUGGAGAAACAGAGGGAGAAUGAAAUUUUUUUCAAGUGUUGUUUAUAUAGGAGGGACCUUUAGUACCGUUUGUAGCCACCAACCGGUACUAAAGGUCAAAUUUGGCUAGGCCAAGCGGCAGGAACGGCACCCCUUUAGUACCGGGUCGUGGCUCCAACUGGUACUAAAGACCCCCCCCCCCCUUAGUACCGGUUGGAGCCACCACCCGGUACUAAAGAUGGUGCGCUGCUAGGCGAGAGGCGCAAAAGUUUAGUCCCACCUCGCUAGCCGAGGGGCGCCCACACCUGCUUAUAAGCCUCGUCGCCGCUGCUGUCUCGAGCUCCUCUCUCAAGCAGGCCUUCUGGGCCUACCUCUUCUGCGAUGCCCUGUUGGGCCUACUGGGCUAGCGGGCUUGCAUCCUGGCCCAACUAGAGGUUGGGUUUCUAGUCGUAUGCAGGCCGCUGUGGCCCAGUAGGCAGGCUUUUUAUUUAGUUUUGUUUUUUCUUCUUUUUCUUUUUUGCUUUAUUUUUUUUUUAAUUUAUUUUUUGAGUUGUUUUUUGGUGUAUUUAGAGUUUCUUUGUGAAUAUUUUUGCUUUAGUUACAAAAAAUUACAAACUAUCUGUUAGUGCCGGUAGUUUUCAAAUUUGAAUAGUUUAAAUUUGAAUUAUUUGAAAUUUAUGUGGAUCACUAGUUUGUGACUAACUUAACCUUAAAAAUAGAUUUUUCAGUGAUUCUUUUUUCUUAUGUUUAAUAUUAGUGUGUUUUAUCAUUAUAUUCAAUUUGGUAAUAGUUAGGUUAUUUAAAAAAUGAAAUGCCUUUGUAACAGAUGAGUUUUUGUCCGAAACCGUGAUACUUCGAAAGAGAUUGUACAUUCUGUACACGAAGUGCAUCCAGUUUUUGCCAUAACCCUCUCUAAUUUUUUGCACAUGCUAUGUGGGUGAAAUUAUGAUAGCAUGCCAACUUUCAACCUUUUCAGAAUUCAUUUCAAGUGUUUUUCAAUUUGAGGGUCAUUUAGCUGAAAAAAUCAGUACAUACAUGAAAGAAUUUGUUUGCACAUAAAAUUUCUUCGCGUUUCAAAUGCCAUAACACAUAAGUACCCUAACUAUUACAAAGAUUCCCUCCGGUUUGUUCGAAGCGGGACUUUCCAGAUAUAUAAGUCCGGAAACUCACUAGAGAAGAAAGUGAUGACAGUGAGAAGCCGAUCACAUCCCAGAGUGGGAUCUUUGGGCCGUGUGAAAUUUUUUCUUCGCCUGUGUCUCUUUGCGUCGUAACCAUGGACAAUCUUCAUCAUUUAACUGGAUGCUCGGGUCAAUAUUCACUGUGAAUGGAGCAAUUUCAUGAAACUUUUCAUAAUCUUCUGACAUGUCUGUCUUGUCAUCCACUCCCACGAUGUUUCUUUUCCCAGAAAGAACUAUAUGGAGCUUUGGCUCAUCGUAUGAUGCAUUCGCUACCUUAUAUUUUCUUUUUCUCAGCUUGGUGGACAUGUCCUUCACAUAGAAAAUAUGUGCCACAUCAUUGGCUAGGACGAAUGGUUCGUCUGCAUACGCAAGAUUGUUGAGAUCCACUGUUGUCAUUCCGUACUGCGGGUAUUCCGUUACCUCGCCUCGUGUCAUAUUCACCCAUUUGCAAUGAAACAAAGGGACCUUCAAACCACGUCCAUAGUCAAGUUCCCAUGUGUCCUCUAUGUAACCAUAAUAUGUUUCCUUUCUCGUAUUGGUUGCUGCAUCAAAGCGGACACCACUGUUUUGGUUGGUGCUCUUCUUAUCUUAUGCGAUCGUGUAACAUGUAUUCCCAUUUAUCUCGUACCCUUUGAGAGUCAUUACAUUCGAAGAUGGUAACUGGGACAACAAGUACAUGUCAUCUUCAAUAGCGGCGUCAUGCAUGGCAUGUGACUGCAACCAGCCGGCGGAAGUCCCCGUUUGUUCACGUGUAAUCCAGUCGUCAGACUGUUUCGGGUGUUUGGAGCAUAGCAAAUUCUUGUGUUCGUCCAUAUACGGAGCCACCAACGCGGAAUUCUGUAGAACUGCGUAGUGUGCUUGAGUGAGAGAAUGCCCGUCCAUACAUAUUAUUUGAUCCCCUCCUAGCGUGCCUUUUUCAUCUAGUCUGCCCUUAUGCCGCGAUUCAGGAACACCAAUCGGCUUAAGGUCAGGAAUAAAGUCAAUACAAAACUCAAUGACCUCCUCAUUUUCAUGGCCCUUGGAGAUGCUUCCUUCUGGCCUAGCACAGUUAUGAACAUAUUUCUUUAAGACUCCCAUGAACCUCUCAAAGGGGAACAUAUUGUGUAGAAAUAAAGGACCAAGAACGUUAAUCUCUCCGCAUAGGUGAACUAGGACGUGUGUCAUGAUGUUGAAGAAGGAUGGUGGGAACACCAACUCGAAACUAACAAGACAUUGCACCAAAUCAUUUUCUAACCUUGGUAUGAUUUCUGGAUCGAUUACCUUCUGAGAGAUUGCAUUGAGAAAUGCACAUAGCUUCACAAUGGCUAAUCGAACGUUUUCCGGUAGAAGCCCCCUCAAUGCAACCGGAAGCAGUUGUGUCAUAAUCACGUGGCAGUCAUGAGACUUUAGGUUCUGGAACUUUUUCUCUACCAUAUUUAUUAUUCCCUUUAUAUUCGACGAGAAGCCAGACGGUACAUUCAUACUGAGCAGGCAUUCAAAGAAGAUUUCCUUCUCUUCUUUGGUAAGAGUGUAGCGGCAUGACCCUGAUGUAUGUCGUCUUUUCCGUGCAUACGUUGCUGGUCCUCCCGUGCUUCCGGUGUAUCUUUUGUCUUCCCAUACACACAUGUUCCAUUCCACAACUGUAAGAGUUCUUCAACUAAUGGCCUUAGGUACACAUGAAUGCCCUACUAGGGAAAAGCCUACCAGCAGUGAGGGUUUUGGGCCUCUCAGUAGCGCGGGCACCGGCGCUACUAAUAAGGCGCUACAGCUAACGUAUAGCAGUAGCGCCGGUUGUCCCACGCUACUGCUAUACAUGAAUAGCUGUAGCGCUCUUUGGGAAAGGGCGCUACUGAUAUUAUCUGCAGCGCUGUUUGCUGGGACGCGCUACUGACAAUGCGGCGCUACUGCUGAAUUUCCCCCCUCGCUACUACUAGUUUAUUUAUUAGUUUUUUUCCUGCAUAUUUGUUUUGUAUUUGAAUAGGAUUUAUACAAUAAUCUUUAGCAUAUCAUACACAUACAAAUGUAAUCAUAGCAUAUACAUACAAUUAGUCUCAUCAAAUCAUGUCAUCAUCAUAAUCAUCAUCCAACACAAAGUGGUCUCUCGUCAUCAUCUCGAAAAUAGCGAUACAAGUCUCGAAUGAUAUGCAAAUACAUUGUCAUCCAUCUAAACAAUGAUAUACGCGAGAAGAGCUAUCACUUUGAGAACAUGAGUUCGUAUCCUUGUCGUAUAUAUACUCCUGGCAUAGCACUUCUUCGCCAUCUAUGAUCUAUGCACCUGCAUCAUCACAUGAGUCGAUGAUAUGCAACAUAUAUAGUUGAGCAACAAAAAGAGAUAGACUUGGAAAAAAUAAAAACAACAUAUCAUAAGCAUAAAUAACAAAGUUCAUCGUACCCCAAAAUGCCCUAACUAGAGUGAUUUUCGCUAGUCGAGGAGGAGGACGGUUUAACUACAUCACAAAUAAAGUUUCACCGUGCAUAACUCAAAGUUUUGUCAUACAGAAAGUAUGGACUAAACGGACACAUUGUCAUAUAUCGACAAUCACUCCAACAUGUCGUUCCAUCCAUCCAAGUCAAGGAGAUAGUCCCCGAGCCUAGUGAAAGGCUUCAGGUCGAGACGCUGAGAGGCUAUCCAUGUUUGGACGUCUGCCCACGACAUUUGUCCUUCUCCGUAGAACAUCCCUGUUUUUCCGGCGACCUCCUUCAUGAUGAUUUGGGCAAGUUCGCGCUGGAUGUUAUAGAACUCAGCUCGAAGUCGAUGAUCCUCUAUAUCUCCUAUGUCCUUUGCCCAUUGCAGAAUAUGGGCAUCGCCGGAAGAAGGUGCCAUGCGAAGGUUCUAGUGAUCCCGUCUGUACUCCAGCAUGUGGUGUAGGACAUAGAAUCCAUCAUUAAGAUAAUCGUCCGGUUGCUGGAUGCAGCAGAAGUUGGUCUUAUGGCCAAAGGCGACCUUGCCGCCCCUCAUCUUCUUGUCCCUGACCUCUCCACCCAGUGAUUGGUAGUGAUACAUAGCACUGUCGAGAACAUCCUUGAUGUGGGUGUAAUCCUUUUUGUGAAUGUUCUUCGACAUGUCCAAGUAAAGAGCGUGGGAGAAUCGGGGGUAGAGGAUGAUGAGGACGGCGCGCCCGCCGCUGCGCAAAAUAAGUCCUCAAAUUAAUUAGCCUCCACCGUGCAAAUGAAUGAUUGAAACCGAAGGAAGGAUAGCAGCGCGGAUGACUUACACGGGAUGAUAAGGCACGAGAAUCGCCCCCUUGUCCUUAUUGGUGAGCAUGAAACUGACGAUGUAAUCCCUCGCGUAUUCACGGUGAUUUGCGCAGACUCCCAAGAAGCCCUCGUGCAUGUAGUACGGGUCAGUGACACAGAUAUGAGAUAUCUGCUCAACCCCGAUGAUGUAGUUCAUGUGCAAGGCAUAAAGGCGGACAAACGUAAAAUUCAGCUUCUUCACGUGAAACAUGUCGAAUAUGUAAUCGAAUCAGAGGAAGAACUUAUCCACGGGGAAGCUGUCGAUGUACGACAUUUGCCGCGGAACGUUAACCACGUAGAGUGGGUAUCCUGGAUCUUUCGAGGCGAUGAGGUCUUUCUCUACCCGCAGCACAUCGUCAUGAAGUCUCUUUAGAUUGCCGAAUCUGGCCCAUAGCGCUGUUGCAGGUAGGAUUGGUUGACCGGCGAUAUGCCAUUUAUCCGCAUCGGGGAUAUCUAUACGGUCCUGAAGCCGAGGCUGCUGAGGCAGCUGGAUCAUAGAAACAGCUUUUUUGCCUUUCCUCGCUCUCCUCCUAAACUUCUUUACUACCGGAAGGUCGUCCAUAAUAUGUUGAGAUGGCAAUUCAGGCACCGACUCAUGACGCUCAAACCCUGAGGAGGCGCCAGUAUAGACAUACUGUUCAGCAGCGUCAUCGUCGUCCUCAUCCUCAUCCAUGGCGACGUCAUCAGCGACUAAUGGAGCCUCCUCCUUACCCCGUCCGCUAUCAACCAACCCGACACCCGACGAUAAUUGGGUAGGUGGGCUGUUGAUGUUCAUACCUUGCUGAGGCUGCGUGCUCGUGGGUGUGCUCCCGGCCGCCUCCAGAUGAAGCAGACUCUUUGGCCACAACAGGACCCACCCAGCAUUGCAACAAUCACCAAGCCGCCGCGGUGUCUCGUCGUCAUCCCCCAGUAGUACUGGAGGAGGCAAAUUCUCGUGGUCCGGUUUGACACUGGCCACAGAAACCUUGAAGACGUUCGGGGGGAUCGGCCGACUGUGGAACAAUGGUUCCUUUGGUUCCAUUAUCGUCGCCUUCCCCACUUCCACCUUCUGGUCGCCGAUGGUGUACAAUAUGGUGCACGGGGUUUCGUCGGCCUGCAAAGAAAAGUCUGCGACGUGAGACAUCCGAAAGGCAACGAAAACAGGAGAUUAUACAUUUAUAUUGAAGGGGGCCGAUGUGACAGAUACCAUGAGGGCGUUGAGCUCAGCCAAAGACGAAGCACCGCCUAGCACGUCCGGUGCGGGAGCCGGUGCGGGAGCAGGUGCAGCUGCAAGUGCUGGUGCAACGCUAGUCGAGCUGCUCCCCGCCAAGAAGUCAGCAAGGGGAAAGUCCGCUGCAUCUUUUUUGGAUUUUGCCUGGUCCAAUUGAAAACGGUCGGAACCAAGGUAGUAGAAAUAUCUAAAGCCACCUGUUUUGCGGCAGCUACCGCUGUUGCGACUAUCUCAGUUGAUUUCUUCUCAACCGCAAUCUCAACCCUCUUGUCGAUGUUUUCUUCAUUGAACCUCCGUCUUUCCUUUCUCUCCUCCGUGGUCUCACGGUAGUACUUCUUCCACGUGGCGCCGUCUCCGACACCGUGCACGCAUCCAUACGACGGUCGAGUAUCCACCGGUUGUUGUUUCAAUAUGUUCAACGCCCGAUUGAAUGGAGUGUCCCACUUGGGCCUCGCCAAUGCCUCAGACGGUGAGUCGCUUUCGGCCGCAAUCCUGUGCUGCUCUCUCUGCAAAAGGCACAAUGAUCGUUUACAAAUAUGACUAACGUGUGCAGUCGAAUUGAUCAGAAACUAAAAUUACUAGCAGUCUCAUGAACUCCGUAAUGACCGGUGUUGUCUCGUAAACCUUUUUCACUGGGUCCCAACGGUGUCGGGCCCUGAGGACGUCACACUCCUGCGGGACGGUGAACUCCGCCAAGGGGUUUGGGAUGCCCAGACUCGUGGCUUCCGCGUCCUCCUUGGCCCAUUUGGACCUCUUUCCGCCGUAACCACGGCUUCCGAGGUGGUGGCUCCCAAUGUUCCUCUCUUGAAGCCCCUUCAUGUACUUAGACUUUUUUUUGGCAGCUUCGGCCUCGCGAGCCUCCUUGAAUAUUUGAAACUGCUCUUCCAUGAUUGUCGGAUUAUCCUUUACAAUCUCGGAGUAGGGUUCCUUCUUGUCGAUGAUCCUUGCUUUCACUCGAUUUUUCCAGGCGGCCAACGCGUCGCUAAACUUGGUCAUGGCGUGUUUUUUUAUCUUCUUCAUUGUCGGGUCCUCAUCUGGAUCUUUAUAAUCCUUCUCAUUCCGUCCCGGGAACAAGAAUAUCUGGUGAACUUCUUUAGGAGGGAGCUCCUCAUAUUUUCUAUCUUCUGUAGUUUCUCAUCGUUGAUGGUGGCGGUUGUCCGUACGAUGCAGCCUAUUUGAUUGCCGUAGCAUCGACGCGCUUCCUCGGGCGCCGUUGGCUCAAAAUUGCCGUCGUCCACCUCCGUGACCACCACUCUAGUAGUCCUGAGUUUGUUAGGAACCCGUUGCCUCUUUGCUUUCGGUUCUACAUUGGCUUCGCUCCCCGAGGCAGCGCCGGUCUCAGUCUCAGCGCCGGUCUCGAUGCCGGUCUGAGUCUGAGCGCCGGUCUCAGUCUCAGCACCGGUCUGCGUGUCGGUCUCAGUCCCCGAUGCCACUGGUGGGCCCAGCAAUAACAUCGGUUGAUCAUCGGUAAGGCUAAAAAAUUCGUCUGCCGCCCGGUAGGCGUCGUCGCAAUCACCAGAACCCUGUCCUUCAUCAUUGUUAGCCAUGUUUCCUAUGAUUAAAUCUAGUCAAUUAAUUCUAGACCUAAUAAAAUGAAUAAUGACAUAAAAAAGGCCUAUUAUUUUGCAGGAAUGUUGACUCCUUCCUGGUAUGGCAAAUCACGGGCACUCGAUAUGUCCUAGUUUGUAGCACAAGUCAUGCCGAAAUUCACGAAAUUUUUUGGCAUGAGCUUUGCUAAAAAGUGGACAAAUCGAGAACCUGAAAUUUGCCGGAAAAGAAAUGAAUCAACAUUCCGGCAAAACAUAGGCCACUAAGCAUCAUUCCCUGCAAACAGUGUCCAAAUAUACACGAGCAACCACAUGUGCAAACAGUGUAGAAGAAAAUUCAUUUAACUACUAAUAGAACAAAAUUUAGUUAACUUUAGUGCUCUAUAAUGAUGAAAGGAAAAAAAUCAGUUAACUACUAAUUUCAUUCAUUUAGGUUAUUCAUUUAACAUCACCUAAUUAACCUACUGUACCAAUACUACUAGCAGCACUACUAACCUAAUUAACCUAGCAAAACUCUAGUGCCCUAACUGAAAAACAUCUAAUUAACAUCUAAUUUUUUUCUCUAAAAUACAGAGAGAGAUGAGUGAGGGGGAGGGGUGGGGACUUAUAAAGAGGGGAGAGACGGUGGCGGGGAGGUGCUCGGUGACGGAGGCAGGGGCGGAGAGGGCGGGCUCGGGCACGGGCAAGGGCGGUCCUGGGCGGGCUCAGGUGGCGGUGAGGUGGAGGGCGCCAACGGUGACGUGGAGGGCGGCCUUGGGCGGCAGCUAUGAGGCUGAGGGCGGCCUCGGGCGACGGCGGUGAGGCUGAGGGCGGCCUCGGGCGGCGGCGGUGAGGCUGAGGGCGGCCUCAGGUGGCGGCGGUGAGGAGACGGCGGCGAGGGCGAGGGACGAUUUUGGGAAGAAUUGGUGGCCGGGGGGCGGGUGGGGGGAAACCGCUGUUUAAGUGAAACGUAACGGCAGCGCGUUUCCGGAAACGCGCUAUAGCUAAGUUAUCUAUAGCGCGUUUACUGAAACCCGCUACUGCUAUUCCUUUCUCCUUUUUUCCCUUUUUUCUUUUAUUUUUCUUUACAUUUUAUUUUUUCCCUUUCUCCUUUUUCUAUUUCUUUCAUUUUCAUUUAAUUUUUUACUUGUUUUUCACUUUAUUUUAUUUCCGUUAGCAGCAGCGCUUUACACGUAAGCGCGCUGCAGCUAAGGAGAUUACCAGUAGCGCUGGGCCAUUAUACGCGCUACUGCUAGGUUGGGCUAGCCAUGUGCGCCCAGUUCAAAUGUAGCAGCAGCGCUUUUCGCUAGUACGCGCUACUGCUAAAGUCAUAGCAGUAGCGCGGUUUAUUUACGCGUGCUGCUACUAAGUAGCAGCAGCGCUUGAUUUUGUACAGCGCUACUGGUAAAAUUCUGUGUAUAGGCUUUUCCCUAGUAGUGAUGUCAUUGUCGGGUUGCUUAGGUCCUUGGAUGAGCACUGGCAUCAUAAUGAACUUCUGCUUCAUGCACAACCAAGGAGGAAGGUUAUAUAUACAUAGAGUCACAUGCCAGGUGCUAUGGUUGCUGCUCUACUCCCCAAAAGGAUUAAUGCCAUCUACGCUUAGACCAAACCAUAUGUUCCUUGUGUCACCUGCAAACUCCUCCCUGUACUUUCUCUCGAUUUUUCUCCACUGCGACAUGUCAGCGGGUAAUCUCAACUUUCCGCCUUUCUUAUGGUAUUCUAUGUGCCAUCGCAUAACCUUCGCAUGCUCUUUGUUUAGGAACAAACGUUUCAACCGUGGUAUUAUAGGAGCAUACCACAUCACCUUGGCAGGAAUCUUCUUCCUGGGGCGCUCGCCCUCGACAUCACCAGGAUCAUCGCGGCUGAUCUUAUAGUGCAAUGCACUGCAUACCGGGCACGCGUUCAAAUCCGCGUACUCGCCGCGGUAGAGGAUGUAGUCAUUAGGGCAUGCAUGUAUCUUCUGCACCUCUAACCCUAGAGGGCAGACAACCUUCUUUGCUUCGUACGUACUCUCGGGCAAUUCGUUGUCCUUUGUAAGCAUCUUCUUUAACUUUACCAACAACUUUCCAAAUGCCUUGUCAGAUACACCAUUCUCUGUCUUCCAUUGCAGUAAUUCCAGUGUGGUGCCCAGCUUUUUAUUGUCAGUUUCGCAAUUCGGGUACAACAAUUUCUUGUGAUCCUCUAACAUGCGCUGCAACUUCUUCUUCUCCAUUGCACUUGUGCAGUUUCUCUCUGCAUCGGCAAUGGCCCGACCUAAAUCAUCAGUUGGCUCAUCUGAUGCCUCUUGUUCAGCUUCUUCCCGCAUUGCCAGCUCAACUUCUUCCUCCAUUGUUGUAUCAUCGUAUUCAGGAAACCCAUGACCAUGAUAGCUAUCGUCGUCCUCUUCUUCUUCAUUUUCUUCCAUCAUAACCCCUCUUUCUCCGUGCUUGGUCCAAACAAUAGUGGGGCAUGAAACCGGACUCAAACAGGUGGAUGUGAAUGGUUCUUGCGUUAGAGUAAUUGUGAUCAUUCUUACAGCCAGCACAUGGACAAGGCAUAAAACCAUCUGCCCGCUUGUUUUCCUGAGCCGCAAUCAGAAAAGUAUGCACGCCCUCAAUGAACUGGGGAGAGCAUCGGUCAUCUUACAUCCAUUGCCGGCUCAUCUUCAUUACACAACACCGAAUAGACCAAAUUAAUACAAGUUCAUACAUAAAGUUCAUACAAUACUUAUUCUCAUAAAGCAAACAUAUAAAUAGCUCUCUAGAUAAAGAAUUUAAAUACAAUAACAAAUGCGAUCAAGAUCGCAACUAAGGUAACAAUUCCAACAGCAUAAUGAUACCAAGCCUCACUAUGAAUGGCAUAUUUUCUAAUCUUUCUAAUCUUCAAGCGCAUUUUCUCCAUCUUGAUCUUGUGAUCAUCGACGACAUCGGCAACAUGCAACUCCAAUUCCAUCUUCUCCCCCUCAAUUCUUUUCAAUUUUUCUUUCAAAUACUCGUUUUCUCUUUCAACUAAAUUUAAACUCUCGACAAUAGGGUCGGUUGGAAUUUCCGGUUCACAUACCUCCUAGAUAAAAAUAUCUAUGUCAAUUUGAUCGGCAUAAUUUGUCAUAAACACGAAAUGCAACAAAAUAGUUAUAAAAGAAAAUAUACCACAUCUGAAUCAUAACCCGGACGAGGGCCGGCGGGGACGGAUAUCAAAACCAUGGCACUAUGAAUAACAAACAACGUACGGGUAAGAUAAUUAUACAAGUAACUAUAUAUCUAAAUCACACAAACAUGAUUUUUUUAUAAAAAAUAUACGAACAAGAGGGCUCACCCCACAAGGUGGUGCCGGCCACAAGACGGUGCGGACGAUCGACGAUGGUUAGGACGGAGACGGGAAGGCACUAAGUAAACCACACCUACAUAUGCAAACUAAGAGUUAUUUUGAGCUCAAAUUGCAUAUAAACCAUAUAAACUACGACAUAUAAUUCCUCCCAAAUUACUAAAACCCAUAAAUUAAUGACUAUAUAAAGCAUUGCAAAAGCUAAUCUAGCAAUAAGAGAUGAAAGGACAAAGUUGCUUACCUUUGUGAUCACUUGAAUGGAUGGGGGCCUUCAAAUCUUGACAAAAUUUGGGCAAAAUGUGAGAUGAGCUCGAGGUAGAGGGGGAAGAACAGAGAGGAGAGGGGAAAAGGGAAAAACAGAUAGAGCUCGCUCGCUGGUGGACGAAGGGUUUAUAUAGGACGACCUUUAGCACCGGUUCGUGCCAUGAACCGGUACUAAAGGUGCUGGAGGGGUCCUAGACUGACAACAUUCUGCCACCACUCUCUUUAGUACCGGUUCGUGGCACGAACCGGUGCUAAAGAUUCGCCACGAACCGGUACUAAUGGUAGCGGCCCAGCUAGCCGUUGGAACCGGCACUAAUGGUCAAAUUAGUGCCGACUCAAUUACAAACCGGGACUAAUGAGCUGAACAUUUGACCCUUUUUCUACUAGUGUAAUUAGAAAUGCAACACAUUAUUCUUAUAUUUGUUCCCACACAUUUAUGCACCAACAAAUGAUGAAUGCAUUCGGCGCAGAUACAUAUAGUACUCUCUAGGAUCUAGACAGUUGCGCGAGUGUCAUCACUACAAUGCUCCUGGGCUAAGUAGAGACGAUUCCCCGAGAGGUCAAAUGUUAAAGUUAAUUUGGAGCAAUAACCAAAUUAAUAAAGGUAUGGGAUCCCUUAAAAAAUUAUUAGAAAGUUAAAACUUUUUUUGAGGGAAAACCAUCAUGGCGCAUUUUAUUACUUCAAAAAAAGUUUACAUCGUUCAACAAAAACUGCAGAAUAAAGCUAGGGGCCUCAUCGUGCCAAAUACAAUCAACUUUUUGUGAAAAACAAAACCUAGUUACUUCGUGCGCCACUACAUUAGCUUCCCUAUGACAAUGCAUAAAAUUAACCAAACCAAUAUCUUUCGUGCACGAUGCAUAAAUCGGACCUGCUUGGUCAUACCACUGACUUGUUCCAGAUAAUGCAUCUAUAACACCCAUGCAAUCAGACUCUGCUUGAAGGCGAUUAUAGCCAACCUCAUUUGCUAGCAGUAAAUCAUCUUGAAGGGUCAUCGCCUCCAUAGUUUGGGCAGAAGCGGCAUAGGGAAUGAACCGAGAACGUCCAGCUAGGAAGGUACCUGAGGAAUCUCGGAGAACAGCACCUGUCGCCCCAGUUCCAUCCUCCGCAUGAUAAGAGGCAUCAACAUUUAAUUUCAAACAUCCCCCGGCUGGUUUUACCCAUUUCUCCUUUACAACACUGGUCACCUUCGCAGAACUUUUAGAAUAAUUUGAAGUAAUUGCUAGAAUAGAGAGUGCACACUUGUUCACCGGAGGGACCGCACCUUCAUGUGUUACCUGACGGCGCAUCCACCAUAUAUACCAACACGCAGUAAGCACAACAUCGUGAAUACAUAAAUCAGGGUAGCUCGGCAUCUGAUUGAAGUACGUAUCUGAUAUGGCCUCUGUAUUUAUAUUAAGUAUGUUGCAUACCUCUGCCUUUGUCUCCACGGGUGUAUUUGGGGUGAAAAAAAAAUACUUGACUUGCCCACGCUGACUAGUUGUCCAGAAUUGUUUCAGUAGGCUUGAAGAGCACCUUGCAAGGAAGUUGCAUUAGACCUAUUUACUUUCAUGAGAAAAAGGGAAUCAUCGGCAAAUAACAAGUGAGAGACCAACGGUGCAUUCCUGCACACCCUAACCCCAUCAAUGCCACCAACUUCUUCUUCAUGCAUUAGUACACUUGAAAGACCCUCUGCACACAACAAGAACAAAUAGGGUGACAAGGGGUCUCCCUGUCUUAACCCUCUAGUAGGCACAAUAUUGUCAGUUUCCUAUGAAUUGAACCUUAUAUUAUACUGAACUAAGGAAACACAUUCCAUCAUCGUGUUGACCCAAUCCUCAUGAAAUCCCAUCUUUAACAUCAUAUUUCUCAAAAAGACUCACUCCACCCUAUCAUAGGCCUUGUGCAUAUCCAAUUUUACAGCACAAAUACCUUCUGUUCCAUUCCUCUGAUUCUUAAUUUUGUGUACACAUUCAUACGCAAUUAAGACAUUAUCUGUAAUCAGCCUACCAGGAACAAAAGCGCUUUGAGUUGGAGCAAUUAUUUCUGGAAGGAUCACUUUCAAUCUCUUUGAAAGCAUCUUGGAAAUGAUUUUAUAAAUCACAUUACAGAGGCUAAUGGGGCGAUAUUGAGCAAUAGUUUCAGGACAGUCCACCUUCGGUAUUAAAACCACGGUAGUAUCAUUCCACCCAGCAGGUAUAUGUUUGGUGUUUAUAGCCUUCAGCACCUCCUGCGUAAUUUCCUGGCCUACUAUGUGCCAAUAUUUCUUAUAGAAUAUAGCUUGCAACCCAUCCGGCCCCGGGGCUUUCAAAUCCCCGAUGCUAAACACAGCCCAUUUGACAUCCUCUUCAGUAAAUGGAGCUAAUAAUUGUUCAUUCAUCGCUGCCGUGACACGCUGCUGAAUCUUCGCUAGGAAAUCUGGAUCUGUUGCAUUCACCUCGGAUGAAAACAGGUUAGCAAAAUAAUCUCUAAUGAACGGAUUCAACACAUUCGUACCUUCCAGCCAAUCCCCAUGUGCAUUUUUCAGUUUUUUAAUUAGGUUACGUUUCUUCCUUGUUGACGCGAACAAAUGGAAAAAAUUUGUAUUCUUGUCACCACUUAACAGCCAAGUUAGUCGGGCUCUCUGUAGCCAAUAUAUUUCCUGUUGUUCUAGCAGCAUCUCAAUUUCUGCUGCUAUAUCUUUCCUCCUCUUUUCAUUCUCAUCUGUCAUAGCAUCUCUCAUAAUAUUCUCCAGUUCUUGCUGGCAUUUCUUAAGACGUUUUCUAGGCUUCUUUAGGACCCUACUGUCCCAAACAUGGAAGCAUGCAUGCAUUACUUUUAAUUUAGCAAGUACAUCUCCCGUGGCAUGCCCACUCGCCUCGUCCCAUGCCUUUUGCACAACUUCUCCAAACGAAGGUUCUUUCAGCCAACGUGCUUCGAAGCACUUCCGCCCCCUGCUGUUUGGAGGGUUAUCUUGGCGAUAGUAUUCAGUAUCUAGCAGUAUAGGGCGAUGAUCCUGAGUGGUUAAACUCCAUAUUUAUCAGCGCAGCAAGAGGGUGCAUCUGGGGCCAUCCCGAGUUAGCAGCAGCUCGGUCUAGUCUUUCCCGAAGACGUCCUCUCCUCCAUGUGAAUUUGUCACCUACAAAACCAAUAUCCUCAAGAUUGCAGUCAGUGAGUGCAUCUCUAAAUGCAUCCAUAUAUUGCAUUGGCCUCGGAUUACCUCCUUCUUUUUCAGAUAGUUGCAAAAUUUCAUUCAGGUAUCCCGCAAUCACCCAUGGGAGAUUAUUCUGCUGCUCCAACAUCCUCAUACGGUUCCAAGUCCUAUAUUUUUCUUGCCACUUAAAUUCUCCAUACAUCCCAGUAAACCUCCAUUCUUCGCCACUUGAGUCCUCAAUUUUAACAUCAAUAUAGUUUGGUGAUGCAUAGAUUAGUUGGACACCCGAGUCCCUCUUCCAGAACAUUGCUAGUCCACCUUUCCGGCCAUCACUGACCGAAACAACCUUCACAUCCAUCUGCAAUUUCCUCCUUAAACACUCAGCCGGAUAAUCGUCAAGGUGUGUCUCCGACAGGAACAUUACCUCGGGGUUACAAGAGCGCUGGACUUCCAGCAGGGCACGAAUUGCUGCAGCGUUACCCAAACCAUGGCAGUUCCACGACAAUAUUUUCAUUAAGCCUAGCAGUUGUGCUUAUGUUCCCUUCCUCCUCUGUCCUUGGUUUCUUUCUAUUCUUGUUUCUGCUUAGCCGACUGACUAGGGAGGACAGCAGUACACGUACAGGAACUACGUCCCCAGCACCGUCCUUGGGAUUUGAACACUACGUCCAGAAUUCAGAUAUCCACAACUCCACUAAACCAAACGCAUCCAAUCUGAGGAGAUUGGAGCACAACUUCGUCCACAAGACCUUCAAACACCAGUAUUCGAGAUGCUCAUCCUAUUAUCCUAUCCAGUUGAAUGAGCAGACUUCCCACGUACCUUGUGAAAAUAACAGAAGACGCUAAGGUUGUUGGGCCACUAUGGUUGGCCCAUACAUACAUGGAGGCUGAAAGGUUUGGGUAGGCACUAGGAGGCACGUACCGGACCUUGCCUAAAAGCCCGCCAAACUACCUGAUUGUCGCCUAAAUUGACGGAUUCUGAGCUUAGUCAUUUUCUACCUAAAUCUGGGUCAUUUUUAGGUAGAAGCUAGACAUGCGUGGCUCCGUAUGCCUAAUACUUGGCUAGUGCCUUGGUCAACUUGUGGGCUUGGUUGGGCCUUUGCCUUGGCAGGAUUCAAAAGGUUUGUUGGCACGGCAAUAUACUAAACAUCGAGUACACAAAUGGGUAUGCACACUUGCACGUGUGACAACACAGUAGAGUAAGUCAUACAUUUUAUGAGACCACACUUGGCAUAACUUAUGUCACUCCAUCUCAAAAUAAGUGACUUAACUUUGUACUAGCUAUGUGCUAAAGCUAGUACAAAGUUGAGUCACUUAUUUUGGAAGCUAGUACAAAGUUGAGUCACUUAUUUGGGGACGGAGGAAGUACAUGUGACCACCAUUGCUAUAUUAAUAACCUGCGUAGAAAAAUAUAAAAUUGAAAAAAAAAGAAUAUAAAUUUCUAGAUAAGUUUGGAAAAUCUGAAGCUUUUAAGAAACUUGGAAACAUGUGAUGUGUGAUGUAUUGUUCUUACUACAAAGUUUCUUCAGUGGUCAAUCUAGGAAAAAUCUCGAAAUUAGUAUAAUUAAUCCUAAAAAAAAGAUAGAAAAUCAAAUAGGAAUCAGUUUUCCCCUCAUUUUCUACCAAAAUGAGUUUUUCUUUCCAUAGAAAUUUUUUCAUGAAUUUUACUUGCUUGGUCCUAAGCGCAACUCAUACACACACGUCACAUGUGUAUGUUCAAGCAUGCUUUUCGUGAGAAAUCAGAGAUUUAUAUUUCAUCUGUGUUAAAUCAUUAAUUCUACUAAGAAGGUGAGUCAACCAAAUUUUCUGGUUGAAAUCAUAUAAUAUAACUAGUGGUUCAUUAAAUUCAUUUCGUUGAAGGAUUCCAAAGGAGUAAUUGACGUCAAUUUUGACACUAGUUAUAAGGAGUGCCAAUCAUCAACAUAAACCAAAUCUAAAACUCUGCUCAGGGUGGGCACGCAAAAAAUUAUAAUGAACUUCAGGGGCCCGGUGCAACCAUUGAUGGUUGAACAAAAGGAUGCUUGUGGCAGUAAAAACCCAACGUUUCCGAAAUGAACCAACCAGGAAAUUAAACAUACAUAGACAAUGGGCAACACAAGAAAGUCAUCUUUACCAUGUUACUUUCGUUGAAAGAUUCCAUUGCAUUGAAGUCCACAGUUGGCGCCUAUCGCUUAGCCAUGGACGAACGCGAGCGUCCAUCGGCACCCGCCACGAGCAGGGCACCGGAUGCUCGUCGCGCCAUCUGAAAGAUCAUAUGGGGGUGCCCUGCUCCCCCCAAGGUACGUGACUUUGCAUGGAGGCUUGUGUCCAAUUCUCUGGCUACUUGAAAAAAUAAAUUUUCUCGCCACCUCAAACAUACUGACGUGUGCCCCAUUUAUGGUGUGGAACGGGAAGACAGUUUCCAUGCAAUGUGUAGGUGCCCCCUUGCAAAGAACCUCUAUCUGGCGUGCCAUGGCCUCGUACUGGCCAUUGCCAGACAUUGAUGUUGUUCGCAACACCGGACCAAAGUGGCUUUUUACCCUGCUCGAGCCGCUCACGGAAAAUAUUCGCAUGGUGGUCAUCUCCUGAUGCCCAUGUGGCGUGUGUGGUACGUUCGAAAUGAACUCACGCAUGGGAAGCUAGCCCCUCCAACAGAAGCAUUGCGACGCUUCCUGGGGUAUAUAAGCUCUUUCAUGUGCAUUCAACAACAUUCAUCGGGGAACAUUGAGAAAGGCAAAGUGGUGGUGCACGUACUAGCUAGCCAGAGCAGCUACGACAUGCAACAUGCAGGAAAACCAGCAAAAGGAGAUUUCCUGGUCACUGCCUGCCCAUGGAUGGACGAAAUUGAAGUUAUAUCAAGGAAACGAGGGCGGCUCGUGGUGGAAUGGUGCUUCGAGAUGAUACCGGUGCUAUUAUUUUUACUGCAUGCAGACAAAUCACCAUAUGCGAUGAUGGACUAGAGGCAGAGCUUAUGACGUGUAAGGAAGGCCUUGAUCUUGCUCUUCACCGCACUAUCUUACCCAUUGCCAUUGAGUUGGACUGUGCUCGGGCAGUCUCAAUGUUAAACGCGAGUCAUGAGGACCGCUCGAGAUACAGUACACUUGUGCGAGACAUCCAGAUGUUAGAGGACCCACGGAAGAUUUUUAUUACGCAUAUUAGGUGCACUCAAAAUAAAGUUAGUCAUAGCCUCGCAGCUUAUGGGCGUAGUAUAUCCCAUACUGCCAUUUGGUUUGGUACGGGCACAGACGAAGUUGUAAAUUUGUGUACGACUGAAAAGCCACCUUGAGUUAUGAAAUCUCCCUACUUUCUGCAAAAAAAAAAGUCCACAGUUGGCGGAAACACAUAAACAAGGAGUAAUUGGCAUCAAUUUCAACGCCAGUUCACUCGCCAGCCAGCAAGCAAAGCACAAGUUGCAUGAUCCGGCUCGUCUUGUCAUUUUAUGAUAAUCUUGCGACCUUUUGGAGUAACAACAUCGUCACCAUCAAUCUCAAUGGCACCAACACCAAACAAUGCCUGCAUCUAAAAGACUGAAACACAACACACGCAUCAAGUCAACAACAGCUUGACACAUCACACACCCUAGAAUGUAGAAAGAAAAUAUGUAAAACAAGUCGCACACGCAACAAAAUACUUGUAGAUCUGGUAAAAGGCAAGCUCAUGCGUCAAUCGAUUCAAAGAAAAUGUCUAGACUAUCUUAACCCCAACCCACGGGAGGCUAUAAUUACCAGCGCCGAAGCCGAAUGGCUCACUAUAAGCGGCCUGAGAACGCAUCUGAUCAUAAAUCACCAGAUAAAGCUCAGUUUCUCAACAAAAAUUGCACCACUGCUUCUUUUAAUACCAAAUAAUUACUAAAUGUGCAACAGCGCAAACAACAACUAUUGCCUGACACUGGAUAGCCUACAAUUGAAAAUCAUCGGCUAGCACUCAUACCAAGUUCAGGGGUGUUUUGACAUUUAGCGAGAAAUUUAUUACUAAACCAGUCUACGAGCAAGCAAGUAGUCGGUCCGUGAUUCAUAUACACAGAAACUGAUCUAGCGCACAGUAAUGUUUAUUACUUGAUGCCGCAGAAACUUGAGGCAUAUUGCACAAAAACUAUGUACAGCAGCAGUAGAAAUCAAACAGUCUCCCCAACUUGCUAGUAUUAUAUCUCCAGGAGGGUAAUAAUAAUCUAAAUUCACAUUUUGGCAUACAUAGCUUUCCUCCAGAUAAUUUGCAUCGGAGGGAGUCUACAAAGUAAACCAUAGUAAAUAGUGAAUACUAAAAGGAAAGAAAAAACAGCGAAUCUUUCAUACUUAAACAUCCUGCAAAAUGCUUCCAAAGAGGGUAGGGUAAGAAUGCACCAAUCAUCAUCAUUAAAUUCAGCAUUAUAAUUAGGAAUGUAACCCAUUAUUCUUAAAUUGUUCCCACAUCGGUUUAUGCACCAACUAAUGAUGAAUGCAUUUGGCGCAGAUACAUAUAGUACUCUCUAGGAUCUAGACAGUUGGGCGAGUGUCAGCACUACAAUGCUCCUGGGCAAAGUAGAGACGAUUCCCCGGGAGGUCAAAUGUGAACCGCGUGUCCACCUGCUGCGCCGCGCCGAGCACCGUCAUCUCCUCGUCCGGCACGACGGCGAAGCACAGGUGCUCAUGGUUCACCCUCAUGAAUAACAGUUCCGGCUUGAUAAAAAGCCUGGUCGCGUCUUCGUACAGGGUCACGGUCAAGCUCGGGAGGUGCGCGUGGCCCCACGAGCCAAAGCAGAGGCGGUACCCCUGCACCGGCACCGUCGAGCGGCGCGCCCCCUGCUUGUGCAUGUUUGCCGCGACCUCGGCCUCCACGACGUCAUACGCCG
rnacentral:lncRNA from 1 species